UUUAUUUUAUUUUAUUUUUUUUGUAUUUUGAUUAGCAUUCGUUGCUGCUAGGCUCAGUUUAAGAACUAAUGAGUGUGAAAUGUAGUGCUAUUUUUAAAGUUUGAGUUCGAGUUGAGGCAAUGUUGAUGAAUAUUUGAAGUGUAAUCUGGGUUUUUAGUGGAAGUGGAAUAUGCUGUUUUCUAGUUUUAGCGGCUGAUCUUUGAAGUAGAAUUCCAGGUAGAAGGAGAUUUUGCUACCAUGCACUUUUUUUUUUUUUUUUUGUGAAGAUUCGUGUAUUGUUUCUAUUAUAUUUGUCUGUUUGCUAAUGAUUCAUUUGUCCUUAAGAACUUGAAUGCUGUUCUAUCGUGAAUAUGGUUGACUAUGUUUUUAUUGCUUUUUCUGUUUUUAUGAACUUGUUGUGCUAUUUGGGAGCGAUUAUGUUGUCAUUAAGAAGAUUGUGAAUUUUAGGAAUUAACUGAUAUUGGUGUGGACAGGGAUGCCUAUGGAUUUGCAGUCAGACCACAGCAUGUCCAAAGAUACAGAGAAUAUGCUAGUAUCUACAAGGUUUUCUUCUUUUUUAUGUAGUUUUCCCUAUUAAAUUAUCGAUGUUGAAUGUAGUUGCUAACACCAUUUUUGUGAUUGAAAGCCUAUGAGGGGAAACAAAAAGGAAACCCUCAUUUGAAUUUCUUAGGUGUAGAGUAGCUGAUAUCCUAGCAGUAAUAAGAAUAUAGAAUAAAUUCAUUUCACUAGUCCAUUAGCUGCACCAAUGUUGAUUGCAUGAACUUUAUUGUUUUAUUGGAUUAUAAUCUUGAUUUAUUUUUAUACUACUUCAUUUGGAAAUCAAACCAAGAUUUAAGAAAAAGAAUUCCUGGUAAAAUGAUAACCUGUUGCGAUGUACUCUUAAUUUUAGGAGGAAGAGGAGGAAAGAUCAGAGAGGUGGAAUAGUUUCUUGGAACGGCAAGCAGAGUCUGCUCAAUUGCCUGUAAAUGGUUUGUCUUUAGAGGAGCAUAAAAAGGCAUUGCAUACUGAAAAAACAGAGCAGGAUGCUGGAAAUGGUUUGGAGAAGGGUGUUGAAGGAGAUGAUUUAAGUAUUGAGAAUCCUGGUUCUGAUGUUUUGACUGAAACUCACGCAGAAAAUGAAGAGAAGCAGUCCACAGCCAGUAAAAAAAUUCACAGGAUCCAAAUAUGGACUGAAAUUAGAUCAUCCCUUCGUGCCAUUGAAGAUAUGAUGAGCCUUCGUGUCAAAAAGAAGAGCAAUCAACCAAAAGAGCCUCAAGAAACUAAAAAGGAACCUCCUUUUGAAGAUGCUAAAUCUGUGAAAGGAUUAUCUGAAGAGGACUCUGAGGAUGAGUUUUACGAUGUGGAAAGGUCAGAUCCAGUUCAAGAAAGCCCUUCCAAUGACAGUGUUGGCACCUCUGGCACAGGUGCUACUGCUGGUGAUGCAGCCCCCUUAGAUUCUUCUUCUCCCUGGAAAGAGGAACUGGAUGUCCUUGUUCGUGGGGGUGUCCCGAUGGCACUUAGGGGGGAGGUAUGAUUUAUACUCAUCUUUUCUUUUUCCCUUAUUUCUUUGGCACAUGAGCUUUACAAAUGAUUAUGUUCACAUUUCCAGCUCUGGCAAGCAUUUGUCGGUGUCAGGGCACGUCGAUCAGAGAAUUAUUACCAGGAUCUGCUUGAUUCAAAAACUAAUUCAGGAAGUCAUGUCGAACAGCAGCCAGGCAGUGAUUCUAAGGAUAUAACUGCAGAUGCUAUAUGUGUACCUGAGAAAUGGAAAGGACAAAUCGAGAAGGUUAUUGUGAUACUUACUCUUUCAAUUUUAAUGUGGGUCCUACUUUCAUGUAGAAUUGACAAUGCAAGUUUCUCAACAAUUGGUUUCAAUUCAGGAUUUGCCUCGGACAUUUCCAGGUCAUCCCGCUUUGGAUGAUAAUGGUAGAAAUGCUUUGAGGCGGUUGCUUACAGCAUAUGCUCGGCAUAACCCCUCUGUUGGUUACUGUCAGGUACUUGAAUGUUGAAUUGCUUCCAAUACUUGGUGAAACAAAGUACAUUUUGAUUUGGUGACUAGUUCUUAUAUAGUUGUUGGGUUGGACAUGCAUACAGGCAAUGAAUUUUUUUGCUGCCUUGCUACUACUUCUUAUGCCCGAGGAAAAUGCCUUCUGGUAAGUUUAGAAACUCUUUUGACUUUAUCCAUUUUAGCUGAGUGCUUCUCCGAUCCUCUCUCAUCUGAGGGAGCAAUGAACUAGCGUAGAAGCUGUCCUAGAUUUUUAGAGAAUGUUUAGAAUCAUAUUUCUCAUUCCAGAUUUCUUUUAUGUACAUGCUUCUGAAUUUUGGUCAAUUUUUCAGGACAUUGAUGGGCAUUAUUGAUGAUUAUUUUGAUGGCUAUUAUUCAGAGGAAAUGAUAGAGUCUCAGGUAGUACUUGCUAUAAUUCUGUUUCCUAACAUAUUAGUUUUUUGGUGUUUGUGUUUUUCUUUAAGAUACGUAAUGAGGUCUUGAUGGGUAAGCUGUUGUCAAUGGGUAUUCUAAUUUAGUGUUCCAUGUUGUCAGGUUGACCAACUUGUUUUUGAGGAGUUGGCGCGCGAAAGAUUUCCUAAAUUGGGUUGGUUAUUCUUUGUUGUUUGUCAUAUAUUUUGCAUUUAUAUAACUUUUGAUUAUAUGAAGUUCUUUUGGUGAUUUCUUAUUUGGGCUAAUUUCUGGUGCAGUAAAUCAUCUGGAUUAUCUGGGAGUGCAGGUUGCAUGGGUUACAGGACCAUGGUUCCUCUCAAUUUUCAUGAACAUGCUUCCAUGGGAAAGUGGUCAGGUUCUAUGCUUUUAUGAUUUGCACUUGUCUAAUGUUGUAUGAUAAUGUUUACUAACAAAAUAUUGGCCAUUUCUUCAAUUCCUUGCAUUCUCAUUUUUGUAGCAUUGUUAGUGUUACUGGUUAUGAGCUUGCUAUAAUCUGACAGCAUUCUCAUUUUUCCUAGUUCUCCGAAUCUGGGAUGUGCUGCUUUUUGAAGGAAAUCGCGUCAUGCUAUUUAGGACAGCACUUGCUUUGAUGGAGUUAUAUGGUACUGGGUAAAAACUUCCGUUUUGUUUUGUGGCAUUUGAUCUUUCUCAAUUUGCAUAUUCAGUGUUCUUUAUGAAACUUAAUUGACUUCAGCUUUCUGUAGGCCCUGCAUUAGUCACCACUAAGGAUGCUGGAGAUGCAGUCACUUUGCUACAAUCCCUGGCUGGCUCAACUUUUGAUAGCAGCCAACUAGUGUUGACAGCUUGCAUGGGUUAUCAGAAUGUACAUGAAGCCAGAUUACAAGAGUUGAGAAACAAGCAUCGACCUGCUGUUAUUGCUGCAGUUGAGGAAAGAACAAAAGGGCUUCAAGCUUGGAGGGAUUCGCAGGGUCUGGCAUCAAAGCUAUACAAUUUCAAGCAUGAUCCCAAAUCAAUGCUGAUGGAGACAAAGCAGGCUAGUGGUGAUCUAUCUCGUUCAGAGUCUGGAUCCACUAGUGCAGAUGAAGUUCUUAUAAGCUUGACAGGAGAUGUGGAGAUAGACAGUGUUCCGGAUCUUCAAGAUCAGGUACCUUCUCCCCCCACACUACACAGGCACACCCCCAUCUUUUCUACCACAAUCUUCUGUUUGAAUUAGCAAGUUGCAAAUGUUUAAUGUGUAUUAUAUCACAUGCAUGAUUCUACAUUGUAAAAUGGGAAUGCACAAGUAUUUUGAUUAAUCCCCUGUUAAAUUGUUCUGUCUCAAAUUUACUUUUGCCAUCAUGCUUGUGGCUAACUCCGAGACUAUGGACUUGAUAUUCCGUUUUUUUAUUAAUUAAUACAUGCAGGUAGUGUGGUUGAAGGUAGAAUUGUGCAAGUUGCUGGAGGAGAAAAGAUCUGCUGUACUCAGGUUUUUCAUAAUGAUUAUGUUUAAAACUUUUUUAUAAACAUAGGGCUUUACAUGCUGCAUGCCAUACUGUGCUUUUUUUGUGCACUUUAGUUUUUGCUCUCACUGUUUAGAUACUUAGUAAACUAUGGGUAGAAGUGUGACUUGGAGAUUGAGGUUUUUAUUUGUGUGAUGGAGGGAAAUUUGGUUGAUAUUUGCAUUAGUAUUAACACUACGGAACACGGAUAUGAGUUUCCUUGUUUGGAUCCGUUAGAUUAUUGGAACCACUUGGCCAUUUUUAUAUUAAACGUUUAUAUUUUUGUAGAAUAAUGUCUUCACCCUGUUUAUAAAUGUCUGCUUUAUGUGCUAUACUGCUAUGUUUGUUAUCUUGCAGUUUCAGGAGGUUCUCUUCAUUCCUUAAAAAUUUUUAAUCCUACAUUCUUUAUCCUCUCUGGAUUGCCUACUUUCUCCAAGAUUCUUGUGUAUUCAGUUGACUAGGCACAGAUUUCUAUAACAUAUGAAAAUAAUAGUCACUUUUAACUGCCAAUUUGAAGGAUUGAUUAUUUCACUUCACUGAAUGACUAAGUGGGUGGAAUGGAGGAAAGCAUUUGCAUAACUUACUGUAAUUAGUUUUGAUUAAUGCUUUUUGUAUUAUGCCCAUGUUCUGAGCACUUGUAGCAGUACUGUAGUAGAGGAGAGCUUCUGCAAAGACUUCAUCCCAUGUUUUCUUUCCUUUCUGUUUUUUGGAUUAUUGAGGAUUGCAUUGAUCUAGUAAUGCCAAAUUUAGAAAAAUGUACCAAUUCAGCGCAUUGCAAUUUUCCAUUCUUAGUUCUAAAGAAUUAAUUCAAUUUCUCUUCGUUUUUAAUUGUGUACCACAUGAGAGAUUACAAGCUGUUUGAAAACAAAAGGAUUCGAAUUACAAACAGAAAAACAAUGAGAGGCAAGUUUAGGUGAAGUAUUUCUGCAAAUAUUAAGUUAACCAUUUCCCCAUAAUGUAAUAGUUCAUUAUGGGUUUGAAGAGAAGAGUGAUUGAGGGGCCUAUACAUUAUUCCUUUGUUUUAAAUGUGGCAUUUUUUUAAGUUACUUACCAUGUAAGUUGCUUGAUUCUCAAAGAAGGUGCAAGCAAUUAACAAAUUUGGCAUGACCAAACUUUUGAUCUUGUGCUAUUUGAUAUCACAGUUGUGAAACUUAUUGCCUUCCAUUUUUGCAUUAUACUAGUAAAUGGAUUAUCUGGAGUGCUAUGUGAUACAACAACUGUGAAAAUCUCUUGGAUUUUUGCUGAAUUGUGUUUCCCCUCAAUUUUGGAAAAUCUGUUGUUGAUUCAUCGUUUCUGAGGUUUUGUGAGAAAGAAAUGGGGAAGAUUCUCUGGAGAUGCCUAUUUUUAAUGGUUUGGGAUGCCUGGGAAUAAAGGAAUACAUGAAUUUUUUAGGACCAUUAUCUGUCUGUGCGUUUACUUGAGCAUCUUACCCCCUUCUCAUUUUGGGGUUGGUUCUGCUUUUGUAGCUUUUUUAUGUUGUUUGGUUGCUGAUAUCUUGUGGGACUGAGAGUCCUUUAGUUACUAAAUAUACCUUUUUUUUAUGAAAAAAACUCUUUGGAGAUAAUAUCUCCAAAUAAUAUUGAAGCUUUCAAUUGUGAUUUCCUUUGGAAACAAUAGUGGGAAAUGGUCUUUAUAAGGUAGCAGUCUCUUUUGGAAAUAGAAAAGGUGAUAGCAAUUAUAUCUCUUGGUGGCAUUAUUUUUUGAAAAACUUAUGUUUUGCAUAGUCCUUUUAUCUCUAGAGUAACAGUUAACAUGUUAUAGAGUUAUUCUAUUCUUUUUCUUUUUCCGCAUAUUAUAGCAGUUAUAUUUUGCUGUUAUUUAAAAUUUCAGGGCAGAGGAGUUGGAGACUGCUCUGAUGGAGAUGGUCAAACAGGAUAACCGGCGGCAAUUGAGUGCUAGGGUAUGUUGUACAUAAUUUUAUUCUCCUCCACCUCUUUCCUUCUUGUUCGUGCAAAUUUGAUUUUUGGAAUCCUUGGUUGGAAAGAGUCAAGGCUGGUGAGUUAUAAUCUUAAGGAAAGCUCCAGAAAAUGCUUAUUUUUUUCCCUUUUUGUGGCUACUUGAAUGGGGGGGAUUGAGAAGGUGGAAGAAUUUUCACUGCACUGGUUAUCAGUCCAUUUUAGAGUGGCUUCUAGGCGUUUUAAGGAGAUAAAAUUUUGGAGGAUGAAAUUUAGAGGUUGUGAAGGGAAAUGGAACCAAAAGUUUGACAAGCAAAGAGGUUUUUGACAUGAAGCAAGGUUGGCAUUGAUCUGGAGGAUUUUGACUCAGAAAGAAUGUUAAGAUUUUCUGGGAACCAAAAUUUUCCUUUAUUGAUAUUGUGGGAGAUUUGUCUUGAAGCUUCCUUUUGAGUUUCUGCAUCAAGGCCCUUUGCUGCUGUCUCUAUCUAGCAUCCAAUUUAAUUGGAGAGUGCUACUUUAUUUUGUUAACUUUUCUAGUUGAGAGGGGGAUAUUUCUUACCCUUCUAAUUGCAUCUCUCCUUUUUCCUUAAUAAUAUCAUCUUUUAAAUAAUGAUUCCUUAAUGAAAUCUUCUUUUAAGGUAAUAACAGUUUAGUGGAAAUGCUCCAAAGUUUGUCUAUGUUGCUUGUUGCUGAGGACAGUUUUAUGAUCUUAUAUUCAGUUGCUAUAUGUUUUAGAAAAUUGUGAUUCCAAUAUGUGGUUAAUAGGCUAAUGCGUGCUAGCAAGCUAAGUUAUAUAAUUAUAUGCUUUAUUUAUAAUUUGUUUGUGAUCUAUAGGUUGAACAGUUAGAGCAAGAGGUUUCUGAGUUACGGAGGGGCCUUGCUGAUAAGCAAGAGCAAGAAAAUGCGAUGCUCCAGGUUUCAUCUUUUCUUUUUUUUCUUUUUUUUUCUUUUUUUUUUUUUUUUCCAAUUGUUAGUUGCUUGGGAAAAGUUGUUUCUUCUCUCUGAUUGCUCUUGGAAAUUCUAACGUUUAUUGCUUCUUAUAUAGGUUUUAAUGCGGGUGGAGCAAGAGCAGAAGGUAACUGAAGAUGCUCGUAGAUAUGCUGAGCAAGAUGCUGCAGCACAGAGAUAUGCUGCUCAAGUUCUUCAGGUUUAUAAUUUACGAUUCCAGUCUCCUAAUUUAGAAAAAGGUUUAUAAAUUCUUGAAGGUAUCUGUUCUGAUGAGUCCUUUUUGCAUCAGAAAUGCAUUUUGAAUAUGGCAAGUGUACUUUUUAUACUUCCAUAUACUGUUUUUAAUAUGGCAAGUGUAAGAAAUUAGGAACAGUGAUGAAUAAUGCCAUGACUUGAUCUUGGGUGGUAAUACACAUGCUAUGCAUUAUUUGUUAAAAUGUCAAAUUAAGGUUUAAGUUAUAUGUGUUCAGAGUAGAAACCAUUUUUUUCCUUGCAUAUUAGUAUAGAACUAUAGACACAAAGCCCCAUCUGAUAUUAAUGAAUUUACCUUGCACUUUAGAUCAGUUACUCUCCUCAGAGCAGUGUUGGUUUUCUUCUAUAUGUCAAUGUUUUCAGAUGAAUUUCUUCAUUCUGAUAUUCUAUUUUGUCUCGUGUUGUAUCUUUUUCUUAUUAUCUUGUGUGUGCAGGAAAAGUAUGAAGAAGCCAUUGCAUCGCUUGCUGAAAUGGAGAAGAGAGUGGUUAUGGCAGAAUCAAUGCUGGAGGCUACAUUACAGUAUCAAUCUGGACAGCUUAAAGCACAGCCUUCACCUAGGUAUGUAGUCAAUAUUAUUGCUCAUGCAAAAGAACUUUGUCAUGCCUUGUACUGACAGGGAUUUUAUUUAUUUGCAUUCUUUUUAUUGCAUUUGUUCAUAUUUCUCUGGCUUUGAGUUUUAAUUAAAAAAAAUUGGACAUUAUUUUAUGGUUGUCUCAGUUCUCAUUUUAUAUUAAUCUUUUCAUAUAAUCCUUUUAAAAAUUAGUUCCUACCAUCAGCACCCUCAUUUCAAGGAAAAUUUUUUUGCAUAUUCACACAUAAGAAGCCUUUUAUUUUUCUCUUCAGAUCUUCUCAUCCAGAUUCACCACGAAACAAUCAAGAGCCUGGACAAGAUGUGCCCCCAAGAAAAAUUGGUUUGUUAGCUCGACCAUUUGGACUUGGUUGGCGUGACAGAAACAAGGUAUGUUUAAUUUCUUGUUAUUCAGUAGUAAUGUAUGAUUAUCCUAGAAAAUAGGAUCGACAUUUUGGAAUGAUUAGCAGUUAGUACAGUAGGCAUAUUAUUUACUUGGAUUUAUACCUCAUCUGAACAGUCAAAUGUGUUAUUCACCUUAUAAGUGCUAAGACUUGCUUGCAUAUUUGUCCAGACAAUGUUUUUGAUACUAGAUACAUUUAUUGAUUAAAAACAUGAAAAAGAAGGUGUUAAUAAAUAUGUUUAUGUUGUCAAAAUAUAAUAAAUUGGUUUUGGUAGAUUACACAAUCAUAUUCAUUUGCAAAUGUAAAUCCCACACAUUUGGUACCUCUUUUGGCGUAAUGGACACAGUUUUUGAUGACAUCUAUGCUUCAUUACAUUCACAAAUAUGAACAAUGUAAUGCAACUAUCAUUAAACUCAAGUGCCUUUUCUAGUACCAAGCUUUAUUACAUCGCCAUUUUAAAUACUGAAAGCUGAGAGUUGCUUGAUGUUUUUUCCAACGGAGUCAUGUAAUUAAAAUCAUAUAACAGGCAAAACCUGCAAAUGCUGAGGACACCAAUGGCAGCAAGUCUUCCAAUGAGGUACAGAGUCCAAGCACCGAGCAGAAGGAUGCCAAUGGCCUUUCAGUUCAAGAUAAAGAGUAAGAUAAUUGCAGGUUUCCCUAAUGGUACUGUAUUCAUCUUCAAAUAUUUAAUGGUGUCCGUAGAUAUGUUUUUGUGUAUCAGUGCAAGUUCAGGAGAGCUUAGGGGUAGUUAUUUUUUGUAUUCUUUUUAUUGAGUUAAUGAUUUUUGAAUCGGACAGACAUUGUAGAGUUAUAUCCAUUUAUUGUUUGUUCAUGAAUCAGUAAUAAUAGUUGCAUAGGGUUGAAGAGAAUGUGAACUAGAUAUGAGAUUCAGAUAAUGAAAUAAUUGUAUAAAUUUCCUUCUGUAUCUUUUCAAUUUUGAACUUUUGUCAUUUAGCCUAAAUUUUUCUAUGAAUAGUUAGAUAAAAAAUUCACUGCGACCAAACACUCAGGAUCUACACACAAUUGAAAAGAAACAAGGGAUCAGACUGAAAACCAUAAUUUUUAUAUUUAGUACCAAAAAAAAUACAUUCAAGUUUAAUUUUUCAUUAAUUGAAAAUUUGACUUAAUUCAUUUGAACAUUGUAUUUAUAUUGUUAAUUAGUAUAAUUCUAUAUAUAUAAAAAAAAGGAUAAUUGGCUAAAAUACUCUUUAACUAAUUUUUUGUAAUUAAGAGAGUUUGAUGGAGAUAUUUAAAUAAAGGCAAAAUUAGAAUAAAAAAAUUAAUAAAUACUAUAUUAAUUUUCUAGAAGUGUUGUCAAAGUGGGGGCAAAUAAAGGGUUAAAAAGUGUCAAAAUUAACAGAGACUCCUCUUUUUUAUGGAUGUACUCUUCCACCACCUUGGAUAGUAAGCUUGAGAUGCUAAGCCAUAUGCCAGUGUUUCAGAUGAUGGAACUAGAGCAUAAAGCUAUACUUGCAUCCAGACUGAUUAGAAUUCAAUUUUUGCAAUAUAUCAUAGAAUAUAUAGAUAAUAUAAAUAUAUAUAGAAAUCAUUCAUAAGGAAUUAAAUAAUAAUAAUAAUGGUUAUACCAAGCAAAAGAGAUGCUCUUUAAAAGCUUGACAAGUUUCUAUAUAGAAGACAACUAGAUACAAAGCCCCAAGCUCAAUUGUACAGUAAAAAUAAUUUGUAAAAGAGAGGCAAGAAGACCAAAGAAAAUAAUAAUAAUAAUCAAUAUUAAUGCCAAAAAAGAAAAAUUAGGGUGAAAAAGAAAGGAAACAGAAGAAUCUUCUAUUGCAGAAAACACAGUUGGUCUUGGCAAUAUACCUGCUAUCUUCAGUGACGCAAAAUUCGAAGAACCUGUACUUUGGCAUGCGCAACCAACAAUCGCCUGCUACUAAACUUCAAUCCAAUGAUCUUGGAAUAAUGAACAUAAAUCUGCUCCAAUUUUAUAUCCUUUAAUGCCACAACUUGCAGGGUGACAGCAAUCUAUCAUUGGUUUCCAAGCAACAAACCUUCUUAGGUGACUGACUGUUCCUGAUAAAUGUUUCUCCUACUUGGCUACAAAAUUCACUGUUCCCUUCUAGUUCUAGGAGUAGAUGGACCUGUACGACAGACUUGUGCCUGGUUAUCAGGAACAUACUUUUGGGCAGCGAGAUAAGUAAGGGCUGUGACAACAUCAGCUAUAAGGGGUCGCAUAUUAGGCUGUUCUUGAACACACAUAGCAGCAACAGCAAGAGCUUGGUACAAGCCUCUCACUGGAUAUUGGCCUUGGAGCAAAGGGUCAGCCAUCUGUGCAAACUUCCUUCUAUCUUUGAACAAGGGCCUUGCCUGCAACUCAGGGGCAAUACCAGCCAAUAUUCAGUUAUCCAAUUUUUUUAUUUAUUUACUCUCUCUGUUCCAAAAAGAUUGUCACAUUUCUUUUUCUACAAGAAAAUGCAAUUAAUGUAGUGAUAACUUAUGUGUUUCCCUUUUCUACCCUUAUUCACAUAAUAAAUUAGCUCCAAAUUUGUAGAUGCAAUUAAAUGCAACUACACAUAAAAUGUGAAUUUUUAAAAGGGUAAAAUAGGAAAAAAAACUUUAAAUAGAAGUGGACAAUUAUUUUGGGACUUCCCAAAAUGGAAUAAUAGACAAUCUUUAUGGGAAGUAGGGAAUAUUUUUUAAUUGUCCCUUCAAACCCCUCCCCCCUCCCAAAAACACAAAAAAAAUAAAAAAAUAAAAAUUUGGAUCCCAGUUCCACCGAACUAGAUUCUCAUAAGAAACAACAUGCUCCAUUUCUGGGAUUUUGAACAGUUCACGGAUUUGGUACAAUUUCUUGUUUGGCUCAAUAAAAAUAAAAUAAAAUCAAUGGAUUUUUUAAUUAUCCUUCAUCGACUGAAAUCCCUUAUCUUGAGUUUUUUAAGAUACUACCAUGACGAAUAACCCUGGACCUAUAAGUAACAUUGAACUUAGCAAUUCAAAUUAUAUAUUCAAUAGGUUGCAUCUACAUGCUUUGGUAGUCUCCUAGAAUUAUAAUGAGCCUGUACGUCAAAUUUUUAGCUAACUUCAAUAAGUAGGACCCUAUAAGAAUCUUGUGAGGAUAAGAAGAAUUACAUUUAGUAGCAGAACUUUCAGUUCCAAUAAAGUCACAAUUCUACUACCUGAAAUGGAGGACGAACGCUACAGUAUACAAGUAAAUGACCUUUUCCUCUAGAAGAAUAGAUCUAUGCCAAUACACCAUUAUCAGUGCUCAUUUCCUGUUAAAAAUGCCCAGCAAUUUUCAAGUACUAUAUAUUCAAAUGCUAUAUAUCUUUUCUAUUCUAACCUUAUCACAGUAGUUCUUAACCCCCUUUGUUUUUUCAUUAUAGAACCCUUGGUUUUAUAUUAAUAAUGAAGUUACUAUUGGUGCACUUAGUAAGUUAUAAUUCUAUCAUUGACCUCUUGGCCAAAAUGAGAGGUGAUGCACAAGUUAAAGAAAUAAUAUAAAUUUAAAGCAGGCUGCAAGUGGUCAUGCUUUAAUUGCAUUGGAUUAAUAUAUUUAUUUAAAUCAAGAUUUUCUUUAAAUAUAUAUGAAGGAUAGCUCUCUUACCCAUGCGACCAGAUUAUGCUCCCCAGCAGCUCUAGAAUUGUCAAUAGCUUUCCUUCCGGUAAUAAUCUCAAGAAGAACAACGCCAAAGCUAUAUACAUCUGAUUUAAUUGUAAGCUGACCUGUCAUUGCAUAUUCAGGUGCACAAUAUCCAUAGGUUCCCAUCACUCUUGUGGACACGUGUGUUUUGUCUCCAACAGGACCCAAUUUUGCCAAACCAAAAUCAGACAGCUUCGGAUGAUAACCGUCACCUAGUAAAAUGUUUGAGCAUUUUAAAUCACGAUAUAUAACAGGGGGACUAGCUUUGUCGUGCAAGUACUCCAAGCCCUUUGCAGCACCAGCAGCUAUCUUCAUUCUUGUAUUCCAGUCAAGUUGUUUUUUAUCAGGUUGCAGGUCUGAAGUAUACCAUAUACAAAAGAUAUAAUCACUAUAACACGUCAACCAAUGUUACAUGGAAUUACAUAUAGCCAUUGCAGUAAUUAAAUGAGCAAAAGAAAUCUAGCACACAAGUCUUAAGGCCACAAGCAUGAUUGCUUACGCACCCUAACCCACCCCUCUCAUGCAAUGCUGAGAGGAUAACAUUAAAAAAAAUUAUCAUCAGAUGAGUUUGUAUAAGUUUAAAAGUUUAAAGUACAUUUAAGAUAUGAAUAAAAAAAUCCAGUGUCUAAGUAGUACAAGUAAACUUAAAUGGUUCAAGCUCUUUUAAUUAAUUCAUGCUUCCCCUUAACAUGGAAAUUUUUAUCCUGGGAUUUAUAAAUUCUGUCGCAACCUUUUCACUAACGUGUGGAAGGGACAAGGAACAUGAACUUUUCAUUGCCUAACAGCUAUAAAUCAAGAGUCAAGUACAUACCAUGUAAAUGGUCUUCUAAAGAUCCUAACGGCAUAAAUUCAUAAACCAAAAGUCUCUGAUCUCCAUCAGCACAGUACCCAAUCAAGUUAACAAGAUUAGGAUGGUGGAGUAGGCUCAACAUUAAUACUUCGACCAGGAAUUCCCUGUUCCCUUGAAGCCCAUUGCGAUCAAGUUGCUUUAUUGCUACAAUCUACACCAAACCAAAGAACAAUUUCAAGUCUUACCACAAAGCAUAAUAAGACCAAAGUGCAAAAGAUUAAAAAGAAAUCAAAAGCUAAUUUAAAAAAAUGAAUGAGAUACCCCACCGACAAAGGAGAGCAACCGAGCAGAACUUUGAACUAAAACAGGGAAAAAGAAGAAGAAGAAGUAGAAAACAAAACAAGAUAAGCAUACUCGAUAUUUUGUUCCAGUUAAAAGUGGGCAUGGUUUUUGAGAGAGCAAUUCACAAACAUCCUCCUUAAUUGAUUUAUGCACCUUAUCAAUCCACCAUAAUUCAAUAAGGGUAAUUUUACUCUUCCUAAAAUCAAUAAAAGAGAGAGAGAGAGAGAGAGAGAGAGAGAGAGAGAGAGAGAAACUAAGGGGCUGUUCAGUACCACUUCUGUUUUACCUUUUAUAUUUAUUUUCCUCAAAGAAAAAUAAAGCAUAAAACAUUUUAUUUGGAGGCUGUCGUUCUGUUUUUCUUCUAUACAUUUCUCAUAAGUGUUUUUAGAACAAAAAAAAAAAAAAAAAAAAAAAAAGGAAAUCUGAAACCACACAAAGAAGAAUCCUCUUACUGUUUUUGUAUGCUUACACUUACACCCAACCACCCCCUUCUCCUUCCCCUUCUUUGAUACCUCAAUUUCAUCAUAUUCCUCUUCUCGAUUUAACACCCUCUCUAAAGCACGCAUGCAGCUGUACUCACCUGGAUCUCUUCAUUAUUUACCCAAGUUUGCUAUAAAAAUGCAUAAGUUCUUCAUUUAUUUUCCCAAAAUCACUGAAUUUGUUUGAAACUUCUCAUCCUUGAUUUAUCUUGGUUUGGGUAGGCAUGGCAUGUAGAAGAUUUGGUGAUAGCUCACCAUCAAUCUAUGGUGGUUUGUAGUAAUCGACGUUGAUAUAUUGUUUUGAUGAUAGUGGCUUGUUUUAUGUUGUCAAAUUUGGAAGCUAUGGGUACUGUGAAAAUUUGAUUGCCAUUAUCGAUUGUCAUCAUUGGCAGUGGAGAUGAGAUAAAAACAGUGUUUGGUAAAGAAACUAUAAAGAGGAGAGAGGAAAUAAAAUUAGUUACUCAAAAACAUAAAACCACAAGCAAAAAAGGUUUCUUUUUCUUAAAGGAACAAAAAUAAAAAAAAACCUACUAUAACAUUGCAUGUGUCCUAAGGUGUGGAUAUAUCUCUUAUUACCAGUUACCUCCCUUGUGAAUCUAAACAUUUUAUCCAUAGUCAACCAUUUGGUAACAAACUAUGUAAUAUCAUCGGUCAAAAAUACUCCAAGAAGCAUGGUAUAUUGUGGGGAAAAUGCUUUCUAUGAAGUCAGAGACUGUUCUUGCAAGAAUCCUGGCAGGCAUAUGGAAGAGAAGUUCUGAUGUUCAUUUUGGCAUUCAAGAGUGCAAGAUGUGGAGGAGGCGAGUAUGGAGGUGAGAAACUGAAUUGACUUCCAGUAAGUAUGUCUCAAGGAGAUAGAGAGCAUGGUGCAAAAUGGUACUCAUGCUAGUGCCACAGUCACAACUCACAACAAUGCUGCAGCUGCAACAGCUCAGUGGCAAUGUUUUGGCACACUACUUAUAGAGCUGAUGGUAGUAUGAUGGAAGUAGUGAUCAGAUAGAGCAACUAUUAUACUGAAGCAAUAAUUGCAGUAGCAAAUGAGAUCGAGUUAGUGACAAGGGCAAACUACUAUUGUUCUUAAGCAACAAUUGCAAUGGCAGACGAGGUAGCUGGCUAUAACUCCAGAAGCUGAAAUAUGAAUUUUGGACAAAUAAGAUUUAUCUUGAGCAGUGCCUUGUGAGUAAUAUCAGCUUUGGUUUUCUUCAAUUUAGUUCUUUGGGCCAUCAAGUCAUUUUUUAUUUGUUCAUCAAUUUCAUUAUUUCUUUAGAAGCUUGCAAGCACAUAUGUUUUGUCUCCUAAUACUAGAAUAUUUUGAUUGUGUAGACAAAGGAGUGAAGGACCACCAAACACCCAAAAGCAUAUUCCAUUUGAAUAUAUAUAUAUAUAUAUAUAUACAGGAAAAGUCAACUGAUUGUUACCCUCCUAUCUCCCUUUGUAUACACAUUAAAAGUAUGAGUCUUGGCUAGAUAAGGUCUACUUUGUCUUGUAAUUAACCCGUCUUUCUAAUACUUCAAUUUGGUUCUUCAGUUCAUAUAUUUAAUUGUUUACCUUUUAAUUUGUUUAGAAAGCUGCACAUACCAUGUCUUUUGUACAUGAGAAACAUUUUGAUUGAGCAGCCAAAGGACACCCAAAAUCUAGAAGAAUGUUUUGCAAGAAAAUUUCAGGGUAUAAUUCAUCACAGAGAUACAUAGAAUAAAUUAAAUAUAUUUUGUGCCAUAUGAAUUUGAAUAUUUUCUUGGAAAAGUAAAAUCUGAAAAGUUCAACCAACCUGAUUGGUACUCUCUAGUCUCCCUUUAUAUACACGGCCAAAACCACCUUCACCCAAAAGACAAUCUGCUCUGAAAUUUUUUGUUGCAGCAGCCAAUUCACGAAAUGUGAAAGUAUGUGCUGCAAUGUGAUCAGAGGCUCCAUCCUUUGCGAUCUCCUUCUUUAUAUCCAGAGUCAAUUGCUUUGUUUUAUCUUAGUUAAUGAUCAUUAAACAAAAUUUGCAAUUAAUGAUACCAAUAAAUGAAUGUGGAAAGCAACAAAUGGAACAUGCAUAUACAUCAGCAAAAUUAAAAGCAGUCUAACAGCUGAUGAAAUUUUACCCCAUCAGUAAGAGUUUUGAAAGAAAACAAGAAUCAAAAACAACAAAAAAAACAAACAUUCAAGAAAUUUAAGCUUGGAUUUUUCGGAAAACACAAGACAAGAAUACAAUCAAUCUCCAUUAUUAAUUUUGCAUUGCUUCAAUAAGCACCACUAAUCAUCCAGAUUCCAGUAGUUAUGGAACUAUGAAUACUACAACGAAUUAUAACAUAUUCUUUAAGGCAAGUUGACCUAAGAGGCCAUAAAUCAAUCAAUUACAUAGAAUAUAAAGUAAAUAAAACCCUUUACAUUCAUCAUGACAUGAAUUAACCUAUUUAAAUAAAUAUGAAUCGAAAUAAAAGUUUUAGCUUCUAGAAGGUUUGGGUUUCAGAUAGAAAGUCAUUGAAUAAGCUACCAACAUAGAAAAUCAAGAAAUCUAUAACAACUAUAGUAAUCAAUAAUUAUUCAACCAACAUGGACAAAAUUAAAUUUUUUUAAAAAUCCAGCUGCAUAAACUGAUUGUAUAGGUUUCUUGGAUUUGACAUAAUAAGAAAUGAUGUGAAGUAACUUGACACUGGAUGGAUCCCUUAAAAGAUAGAAAUAAUUAUAAACCCAAUCUAAAACUAAGGUAUUUAAAGCUCAAAGAAACAAAAAUCCCAGUAGCUGAAUCAAGUUAUAUAUACAGCAAAAGUUACAUAACUUUCACAAGACUUUAGCAUUCAUUUAAAAACAAAUACAUUACCUUAAACUGAUAAUUAAACAUGCAUCAGGGAGGAAGAGUUCCUCAAAUUAUACCACUAUGUUCAUUCCAGAUCAAUUAUUCUUCCAAACCCAGAAAAUAAUGACUUAUAGAAUUGUGAAAAAGACUCAUUCCAAUACAUAAAACAAAAAUUUACCAAAUUACCAAAGAGAAACCAAAUUGAUACCAUUCAAGGAGUAAAGACUAAAUUUUUUACUCUAAUAUUAUCUUUCAAAAAUUGUUUUAACUUAAAAUACCUGAAGAUGAUGGGAUCUGAUCAUCAGGCCUCUUGAGCUUCUUCCUUCCGUUUUUGCUUGACUUCCCAGUACAGGGAAAACAGCCCAUGACUUGUACUUCAAUGAGUAUCACUACAGAGAGACAAAGAAAGAGAAACCAAAAAGCAGACCAAGACUGCUUAAGAGAGAGAGUUAAAUUGAGACAGAGGGCAAGCCUUGUGUAUAUCCUUUCACUUUAUUUCGUUUUUUGCGGAUGUACCCUCCUGUCUUCCAAAAUUGUAAAUCAAGGUUCAAAAUUUCCAUAUUUCCCCUAAUUUUCCUUUAAAUUUUCUUGCAUUCAUUGUUCUACCUUUAAGAUUCAUUUAUAUAUAUAUAUAUAUAUAUAUAUAUAUAUAUAAAACGUAUUUAUGUCACAAAUUUUAACUCACGUAAAUACAUACGAUACCUGAUCUUGCUUUGUACUUUCCUGUUUUGCGUCAUCCUCGUCUCAAUUCCCAGCAGGAAGAGAGUGAGAAUGAAAAUGGAAAUUUCAGGUAUUCUUUCUCCGUUGUUUUUUGAGAUGAUGAAUUUUAGGUUUUCUUUAUUUUACUUUAUUUCCCUUUUGUUAUAUUAAAUGCCAAAUAAUGAUUAUUUUUAAUUGAAAUUCAACUAUAUAUUUAAAUUAUAGAAAAAUGGUUAUUUUAAAAAGUAAAUCCAUUCAAUAAUAUAAACUGAAAUAUUAGUGAAACUAUUCUUUUAUUAGAUUUGAACUCAAUUUCACUCAAAAAAAAAUUUAGGGAAGGAUAAAAAGCUUUAACUAUGACUAACUUUCGAAUCGGAAUAGAUGGUCCUUAAUAAUAGAGUCUGAAUAUAAGUGGUUUAAAAAAAAUAAUAAUAUAUCAACAAUUGAAAAUAGCAGCACAUUUAUUAGCAUAAAAGAAGUAUAAAGACAACAAAAAAUACUUGGAAUUAUGGUAACCAAAUGCAAGUAAAUAGCUUAACAGAAUAUUGUUGUGGUUUAUAAAGAAACAGCAAAAGCUUUCAAGAAAUAAAUUACAUAAUAUAAAAACAUAAAGAGAAAAUUGCAAAAUAGAGAGAGACAUUUUUUUCCACAGUAUGAUAUUACAAAUUUUUAUAUAUAAAUUACUAGAUAAUAAUUUCUGAUUUUUUUUUUUACUAAUUUUCAAAUAAUUAAUAUUAAAUAUGUUACAAAUAUAAUUGGACUAACUAGAAAAUCUAAACUAUCAACUGUUAAAUAAUCUAAGUUUUUGAUUUGAUUUUUUUAUUAUAAUUAGAUUAUUCUCACCAUUACUAAAUUUUUACACACACACACACACAUUUUAUAUAUAUAUAUAUAUAUAUAUAUAAUUAUUACUAACUUUAGACCAUCUAUAGUAUUUACCACUCAAAUUACCUUAUCGUAUAUGAUAAAAUAAAUUUAUUAUUGUUUUGUUUAAUAACAUAAGUAAAACAAUACUAAAUCCAGUGAAUUUAAAAUUGAUAAUGAUAAAAAAGUUUUUUCUUGAGAGUUUAAUCAUUAGGAAGCAUUUCAAAAUAAUAUUAACUUAGGUAAAUUAACUUUAAAAUAUACCUAACUUGUAUUUAAAAAAAAAAAAAGAAGAAGCUGAUAAUUAUAGACAAGUAUUUUUCAGGAAUUUGUAAAAAAGAGAAAAAGAAAAAGCAAAAACUUUUGGGGACAACAUCACAAAUACCUACGAACAGAAUGCCACAUCGGCAAAUCUUUUUUUUUUUUUUUUUUUUUUUUGUCUGUCUACGGAAAUUCCUUAACUGCAAAGCCAGGAAUCGUAAAGUAAAUAAAAGGUCAAAUUAAUUCUAAAUUAUUUAAAAUAUUUAAUUUUGUUUAAUAAUUUUUGUUUUGACAUAUAUUCUUUAUAGGGCAUGUUUCGGUAAUAUUAACACCACCAUGAAAUCAUUUAUAAUUGAGAAGACUUAAAUUUAAAAUUUUUUAUUUUUUAUAUAUAUAUGAAUAUUAACUAGAUCACGUCCGAUUAAUUAGUCAAUAUUUAUUGAUAUUAAAAUUUUGUUCACUAUGUAUCAUAAAAUGUCAUUAUUAUUAUUUUAUAUUUAAAUAGUUCACUUUGCAUCGGAAAGAGACAAUUAUAACCUCAUUUAGCUUUGUAUAACUCUGUAUUAUUGCGUUAUAUUUGUCUUUUCAUUAUUUAAUAAUAGUAAUUAACUGCAAAUCUUUUUUUAUUUUUUUCUCAAACAUCCACUGGCCUAAGCCGAUAAAAUCGAGGGUUUGAAAAAGCCACUUCUGUCAAAAACGUGUUUUAAGGGGAAGAAUGCCAACAAAUUCGAUAAUCAUAAUUUUCGAACGUAAGAAAUACGAGUUUCUUUUUCAUUAAAAAAAUAAAAUUAAUAAAAAAUUACUUUGAAAAUCAUAAAUAAUUCAAUUGUUCAGUAAAUAUUUAUCAACUAAUUGAUAAAACAUUAGCCGUGUCACUCUCACUCUCUUAGACCGUGUUUUGUAAUAAUUUUUUAAAUAGCUUUUAGCGGUUUUGAUCAGUUAAAAUGCUAAAUACUAUUUUUUAUAGUGUUCGAUAACACAGCGUAUGAACUAAUUUUUAAAGAUUAAUGUUAAGUUUUAUAAAAAAAUUAACCAAUGUAACGUUUAGCUUUUAGCAUUUCAUGAAAAACCACUCUAAUAACUAACAGCUAAAUGCUACUAAAAUAGCUAACAGCUAACAAAACACUACUAAACAGCAAACAGCUAACAAAAUAGCUAAUUUUACCGAACAUAUACUUAUUAUUCUUAUAGUUUUUGUAAACCAAUCAAUUUUUUUUAUCGAUAGUGGUUCCUUUCCGUUUCUUUUCAUUUUUUUUUUCUUUAGUUUUUUUAAUAAUUUAUUUAGUGAGGUUGUGGGUUUUUUAUUUAAUGUAUUUUCUCUAAUUUCAUGGGGUUCAUCAUUUGUGGGAGUUAUUAUGUAUGUUUGUGAUUUUUCUUUGUUGGCAAUUCAAAUACCAGAUGAAUUAUUAAUUUAAUCGUUUGUGGUUAAAGAAUUUAGAUAUUGUAAAUUUCUUUUAUUAAUGAAGUAUGAUAAUAACGUGUUUUUCCAUUAAAAUUUGACAUGCUUCCAUUAGAGUUUGUCAUGCAUCAGUUAAAGUUUGAAAUUUCAAACUCAUUAGGUGUAACAAAUUUUCGAAAAUAUAAAAACAGUUUCUUUUGUCGCCUAUUUCAAAAAAACCAAUCUCUACUCAAAAGAUUUCCAAAACAAACAAUUUCAAUUUCUGUAUUUGUAUUCUUCAAACUAGAAGAUUUCAAUUUCUAUAUUUGUAUGUUUUUUUAUUCCUACGAGAACAUCAUAAACAAGAAAAUUAUGAAAUGCUACUUUCCUUGCAAUUUUGCUAAUUAACAAGUAGUUCAACCACCGUUAAAAAACAAACUACUUAUAUUAACGUUAAUCUUACCAAACACGGUUUUGAUCAUUAUCUAUCUAUACUAUAUAUAAAUGUGGAAAUAUGAGAUUUUCAAUAUUGCUUUUAAUAAAAUUUAUAAUAUGCUAAAAUAACUUUAAUUAUAGUUAAUUAGAAAAUUAUAUUUUAUUAGUUGAUUGGAUAUAUUUAUAAAAGUUAUUUUUUAAAUAAAUACAUAUAGAUAAUUAAGCAUUUCAAAUUUUUGAGUUUUAUCUUUUUUAAAUUUAUUUUUAAUAAAUAUAUAUGAUAUUGAGACAUUUGAAAAUUUUUAUAUUUUAUUUUUUAAAUAUUUAGUUUUAUUUUAAUUAUAAUUUCAAAUAUUUUAUUUUGGAGAGAAAUAAAAUAUAUAUAUAUUUUACUAAUAUUCUUUUUUAUAUAUAUUUAUAUGAUUUGAUUGGAUAUAUUUUUUAAAAAAAUAAAUUCUCAAAUAGAAUAUACAUAAUAUUUUAUUUAGGAGAGAGAUAAAAAAAGAAAAAAAGUAUAUUAUGUUUAUUAAUAUUUUUCUUUAUAUUUGUAUGAUUUGAUUGUGUAUUUAAAAAAAAUAAAAUUUCAAAUAGAAUACACAUUUUUUAUUUUUUAUUUUUAUUUUAUUUUUCAUUACUGAAUAAUUUGUAUAUAUUAUUAUUUUAAAGAUUUAUAUCUCCCUUGCAAUAAAUAGAUGGCAUCUUGAUGAUUAAGCAUUUUUAAUUUUUUUUAUAUUUUUUUGUCUUAUAUUCUAAAUAUGUUUGACUAAAAAAAAUAGUGUUUAGGAUAUUAAAAAAAAAGAACCAUAUAACUUAUGAGUUUCAAGAAUUUUUGUGUGUGUAUGCAUAUAUUACUUCCUUUAAUUUAAAUAAAAAAGUUUAUACUUUAAUAUUAUAUAGAUAAAAAAAUUAAAAGAGUAUAAAAAUAAUUAUACAACGAACAUAGUCGAUGUAGGUGAAUACGAGCAUAGUAAAAAAAAAAAAAAGACUAAUAUUCAUUAUAUACAUGAAUACCAUAUAACAAUAUGGAUAAAAAGUAAAAUGAUAAUAUACAUUUUCAACGUAGAUGGAUAUUUUUCAAUGAUAGAAUAAUACUAAAUAAUUUAGUACUCCUGUAAAAGUUCAUACAAAUGUAAAAAGCUGUAAUUUAUCGUAUUAUACACCAAUUCGGCAGCGUUUAGCAUUCUUUUUGCUUUUUGCUUUAACGAGAGAAUCUACGGUCGGACUAAAGUCUGGCCUAUCCAUAUAGACUGCUCCCUUUUCAUACCAUUACUUUAUUUAUAUUUCUUGGGAUAAUUACUAAAUUACAAAAAAAAAAAAAAAAAAAAAAAGAUUGAGGUUUGUUUUCUAAAAAAGUGUAUAUGCACUUUAAUUAGCGUUUAAACCUGAGAUUCCAGAAGUAUUUUACUUUUUUUUUUUAAAAAUUAUUUCGUUUAAUUAUAUAUUAUAUCGACAUUGAAACCAACAAUAUUAUUUAUGGGAAUAUGAUAAUUGUUUUAAAGAAAAAUAAAAUAAAUUUAACAAUAAACUUUUUAAUAAUAUAUUAUAUAAGAGCUAAAAUUAUUCAUAUCGAAUAGUUAAGUUGUAAUUCCGUACUUUUAACCGAAUCUAUUACUUAAGCCAUAGUGAUAAACUCCGUAAGUUCUUUUUACCACUGAUGAGCUACCUCAUUCGAGUUAUAUUUGAAUAUCUUUAACCUCAUGAAAAUAAUUAUGAAUAAUGUUUUAAAAAAUUAUUAAUAUUUAUAGUUAUUCUCAAAAAUAACAAUUUUCUAUUAAAUAUUAUUUUAAAAUUUUAAUAAAUUUUUAAUUUAUAUAAUAAACUAAAAUAAAAAAUAAUAUAUUCACCUUAAAAUUUAAAAAACAUCAUAAUAUAUAAAAAUAAUUAUAUGCUUAAUGGUUAUUUUACAUUUUAAUAGCAACCGUUACCAAAAUUUUACCAAACACCUUCAUUAGCUAACCGCUAUCUGCAACCAGCCAUCGGUUAUCAGCAACCAUUAUCUGUUAUUAGUUGAUAUGAAUAACUAAAUCACACGUGCAUUUAAUUAUGCUAAUUCAUGAAGCUAAUAAUUGAUUUCUAUCCAAAACUGGGUUGUAAAUGUUUAGUAAAGAUUUUAAUCGGCAAUUAGAAGGCGUUUGGUUCAGUUGUUCAUAUAGUUGAUAGUCAAUUUGUACCCAACAAUUAGAUUAUAAUCACAAUAGUGUUUAGUAUUUUUAGCUUUAUAUGCAAAAUACUGAUUUGAUGUGUGGCAGCACAAUUCUUAGAAUAAUAAUUUUAAUAAUUUUGAACAAUUUAAUAAUAAGUAUUUAGUUAAUCUAAAUUUAGAAUAGGAGUAUUUAAUAGAAAAAAUUUACUAAGUUAAAGUAUGUUUGAUCGGUACAAACUGUGCAAUUCCAGGUAACUGAAAAAUAUAACUUCUCUAGCCAUUCCGCCCAUUCACAGAAAGUAGGACUUCCUUAGUUCAAAAACUUCACAUUCUCAAUUUUGCCUUUCAAUACUUCUACUGCACAUGUGUUCGUCUAUGAAUAAUGUGAUUUCUUUGUUUUUACUGUAGUCUCAGUUGUACUUACCAACACACAUGCUCUUUCCUUAUUAGUCAUUUUUUUAGAGAAUCAUUAUUCUUGCUUUAUUUAAAUGUUAUUAAUAACAUUAACCCAAUAAAUAAAAUUAUAAUAAUAUUUUGUAUAGAAUGCAAUAAAAAAAUUAUGUUGAUUACAAGCUAGUAGAUUGUAUGAAAUGUGUUUUUAUUAAUGAUUUUAGGUUAUUAGAUUUCUUUUCAAUGAAAUAUUUCAAUUAUUUAUACUUAUAUUAAUAUGUUUUUAUUUUUUUAUUUUUUUUGAAAAUUAUAAGAAGGAUAUUUUUGUCAUUUAUAAUCUCACAUUUCACUAACCUAAUUUUACUUUUUGGGAACCAAUAUAUUAACCAAAUAUAAUCACACUAUGUUUUCCAUGAAGUAACUUCCCCGAAAUUCUACUUUUCGAAAAGUCAACUUCUCGAGAAUAGAUUGAUUUAAACCAAAUGAGGCCUAAGAUCAAAUAUAUAUAGUCAUUCAUAAAAAUAAAAAGAUAAAAUUUUAACAUAUUUAUGAAAAAAUAAUAAAUAAAAAAAUGCUACAAUCUUGAAGAAAUGAAAAAGAAAAAAAAAUCACUAUAAUUUCCUGCCCAUCAAAUUAUAAUUUCAUACAAGAUUAACAUAAUUUUUCUUUAUACAAUAUAAAGUUGUCAUAUCAAUUAAAAGAAUUGUCUUAUUUUGUGAGAGUGAAGUGACCAAAUUCGCAAUCAUUCAUUUGAAAUGAUUUAAAAGUUAUCAAGUAAACCAAGUAGAAUUUGAUGGGAUAACACUUGGUUAAACUGUUUUAGUAUUCUCAAAAGAUUAUAACUCAUGAAUUAAUGCACCUUAUGCAAUAUAUAAAAUCUCAUUGAGUUUUUCGGAUGGAAAUUAAAUAAAAAAAAACAAAAUAAAAGAGCACUUACAAAUCAAAUUAACCAUAAAUAAAAAAUAUAUUUGAUAAAAAUGAAUAUGACACCUUAUAUGAAUAAUCUACUGGGAAGAAUUAUUUAAGAAAUAGCUUUUGUAUUCGCAAUAAGGAGUAUCUAAAUAACAUUUUCACACAAAUUAAAUAAAUAUUCAAAAAAAUUUAUAUCAAAUUUAUAACAUAUCUAUUUAUAACAUUUUCACACCCAGGAUUCUAUAAAUAAUAAAGUAUUCAAAAAAAUUUAAAGCCAUACAUAUCUAUUUACAGAAAAUAAUUUUUUUAAAAAUAUAUAUCAAAUUAAAACAUAAAAAAAUAAAAAAAAAGAAAAAUUCAAAAUUUCUAAAAAGGAAAAAAAUAGAAUGCUACAAAAGGAGAGCGCCACAUCAGCAAUUUAAAAAUAUUUUUUUGUUUGAAGAUUAUAUAGAUAUAUAGAUACAGAUAUAGACAGAUUUUAAUGUAAUGGAUCGAUUCUCUAAAAUCUAAUUCAUUAGGCUUUAAAUUGGACUCAAGUUAUCAAAAACUAAAGAAACAGACUGAAUUUACCUGAGUCUAUUCAUUUCAGUUUAUAGGGUAAUAAUUCAAUUCUGUUGGCUUUUUAAAAUUUAAUUUGUCCUUCUAAAUCUUAAUUCUGUUUGGUUUUAAACCGAAUCGAUUAUUUACUCAUUUUUAAGAUCAAGAAUGUAUCAAUGCAUCACUUUGAGUUCAAUAAAAUAAUUUACCAAAAUAUAAAUAGAUUCAUGCAUUAGCAAAUUCAAAUAUAAAAGCAAAAAAGAUACCUUGUAAAUUCAUUGAAAAUAAUUUUUUUUAUAAAAUUGUAAAAAAAAAAAAAAAAUACUAAAUAUUAAAAUUGUUUUUUUCACGGUUGAGCUAAGCCCCUCUUCCCACAUAAUGGAACUAGAAUAGACUCGAGUCCACUGAAAUUUUCAGCCCGGUCCAAAUAGUAUACAACCCUUAAACCCUAAAAACUCUGAAAUUCCCCUGACUCCACUGGAAAAUUGGGUUGAAGAAGAAUUGAUAGUAAACAAUGGAGCAUCGAACUUUGAAUCUGUUGGAUGAGGCGUUGGGUUUGAACCAACAGUCGCAGCCAUGGCUUCCUCUGCAAGGGAAAGUGGUUCUGAUAGAAGACUCUGUGGAGACGAGCGGCUCCUUCCUCCUUCACCAUCUUAUCAAGCGAAUUCUCUAUCCCAACUCUUCUAAUGUCAUCAUCUUCUUAGCCUUCUCUUACCCUUUCUCGCACUAUGAUCGCAUUCUUCGCAAACUUGUAUACUAUCUCUCUCUCUCUCUCUCUCUCUCACUUGAUCUUGGUUUUAGAUGCAUGAAUCAAUGCCUAAGUUAGUAUUUGAAGUUUUAGUAUUACUGUAUUGAAUUAAGGGUAUAAUCUGUGAUUUUUGUGGUCGCUUUUUUUUUUUUUUUUUCCCUUUCAAAAUUAGAACUUUGAACAUGUGGAUUUCUUAGUAAAGGAAGCGAGGGAUCAUAGAUUUUAGUCCGUUUUGGUGCGUAAUCAUGCUUGCCAGUUGCUGAUAAAAGAGAAAUGAUAUAUAUAUGUGCAUAAUUUUGCAAUGUUUACAUGUUGUUGAAGCAUUAUUUUGGUACAUGUUUUAUCAGGGUUGCAAUCUGGGUGCUCAAAGGGAUAGCAGAUUCUUUUUCUUUGACAUGCUUGCACUACAGUGCCCAGGUGAGAGAAUCAGGUACAUUUGGUUUUGGUUUGCUACAUAUAUUUAUUUGAUUCUCUUUUUAUCAUCUGAAAAUAUUUUUUCUUCGAAUUUGUGAAAGCAAUGAAUAUUAAAAGGUGUUUGUUAAGCUAAUUGCCUUAGUAGUAUUAGCUCAUAAUUGAUUGUUCUCAGUAUACUCUGUUCACUAUCGAAUCAUAUGCAGUAAGGUUUAGUAUGAUUGCUGGGUCCUUGGGGAAUCUAUGAAUUUGGCAAGGUUAAUUUUUUUUGUUUAUUUUCUAAAAUUUUUAUUACCGUUAAAAAAAGUUCUUUUUACGGAUUUUAAUAUCCUCAUUAACUGAAAUUCUUUCUGAAAUAUGAGAAGAUAGAGAUGAUUGAUAGAAACAUAUUUUUGUUUGACUGAUUUCAUGACUAGAAGUCCUUUUGAAUUUUACUCUUGGCUAGAUGGAAAUCAAGGAAAAACUAUUGAAGAUGGAUUUUUUGCGCUGUAUGAGAAAAUACAAAAAAUUAUUUGUGCCCUACCUGAGAAUUACAAAACCAAUGUCACCAUCAUGAUAGAUGAUGUGUCUCUUAUGGAGGUGGCUGCUUAUGGCUCUUCAGAUCAUGUCUUAGACUUCCUGCAUUAUUGCCACACUCUAACAUCAGAUUUUGUAAGAAUUUUUGUGAUUGUUUACUCCUUUUUUGUCGACCACUCCCCGUAAUUGUAUUUAUUUAUUCAUGUUUAGUGUUCAAUUUUUCCUGUACUUUUCUUCUCAGGGUUGUUCAUUGGUCACACUUAAUCAUGAGGAUAUAUAUUCAAGCAUGGAGAGGCCUACAUUGAUACUUCAGAUGGAAUACCUUGCAGAUGUUUUGAUGAAAACAGAACCUUUGGCCACUGGUUUGGCUGCUGAUGUGCACGGACAGGUAAGUUGUGCUAUCAUAUUUGAGUGGAUAUAUUCUAUUAUUAUCAUCAGUUGGCUGCUUGUUUAAGUUUCUAUGGUACAAAUAUAUUUUAAUGAAAAUAAAGAAAGUCUAGUUUAAUUUUACAACCUUUUGUUUCCCUCACUAACUCCAUGAAGAUUGUGCUGUAUGAUCAAAUUCACAAAUUCAAGAAAAGGAAAAAAAAAAAAAAGAGAAAAAAAAGCUUGUCUUUGGUUUUGGAUAGGAUUAAUGAUAUUUUUAAUUAAGUUGGCAGCUUUCUGUUCUGCUGCUUGUGAACUGUUGUCGUGAUUUAAAUGUGCAUCACUUGCAGAUGCUAGCAUAUGGCAAGUUUUUGCUCAUUCCUUUGCUUGAACUUAGAUAUACUAUUUUCCUAUGCCUUAAUGGUUGUUGUGUAUACAUUCAAAUUACUUAAAAAAUGCAUUUUAAUUCUCCAAAAAAAAAAGGAGGGGGAAUUUCAUAUUUGCUGUUGAAAUUUGUUUUCAUUGUAUGUCGGCAUUCCAAAAUUGUAGCUAUGAUCUUUGCAUUCUUUUUCCAAUUGUUUUGUAUCUUUGAUUGAACGCUCUCUGCAAAAGUGUAGUGAAGUUUUGGAAUUCUUUCCUCAGACUGACAUGUUACUUUGGUAUAAUGGUUUUAAGAAUGCUAUUUAUACUCUAAAUUAAACUUCAUUUAAUGACAAGCUGCUUUAUCUUAGCACUUUUUUCUAAUAGUUUUUCUUUGUUGCAGUUGACAGUUGUGAACUCGGGAAUUUGCAGUGCACAAGGGAACUUGAAGAACAAGAUAAGCAAUUUCCAGUUCGUGCUAAAGGAAAAUGGUGUUGAAUACUUCUACCCUGGGAGUCGAAGUUGACAGUCAGAGAAUUCUUUUUGGUUGGCAACUAUAAAUUUAUGACUCGAACAGACUCCUUGCAGACACAGCUGCGCCCAUGAUAUCUUCCACUGAAAACGAAAGAAAAAAGAGGGUAUUAAGAGGUUGGAAUCUCCAAUGCGAAUGGGAUUUCAAAAUACUCUAUUGUUGAAAAAAAAAAAAGGUAGAAAUUUCUCUAUUUGUCCUGUAUUUUCCCUUCCAUUGUCUGUUCCCAAAGACAGAUGUUAAAGCUGGUGACCUAAAGUUUAAAGGCUCAACUUUAUGUAGCACUUUAGAUGCUGACUUUCAUAUAUAGCAUUUAAAUGCAUAUUCUUUUAGAAAUUUUCUGCAUGAAACAGAGAGAAGAUUUCAUGUGGCAUUGGCAAAUUAAUUUUCUUGGUUAGAAAAAAUCAUUUACAUUUAUUAUAACAUUUACUAUAAGACAAGAAAAUGCACUUUUUGGUCUAGUUCCAAAAUGAAAAUCACAUUAGCCCAAAAAAGAAAGGGUUGUCCACUUGACAUCUUUUCCAUUUCUACUUUUAUUAUCCCUAUUGAAUUGAAGCUUCGUGCCGAAAUAUUCUUUGAGGAUAUUGCAGUUAGCAUUUUGCAUCAGUAGCCACUCUCCUGAAAUAAAAGGAAUUUCCUUUUCUCCUUCACUUGUAGAUCUUCCAUGCGAUUCUAGCCAAGAUGAUGAUUUGUUGCAUAUGGUAAUGUUCUCUAGAACAAGCCAAGAAAGUAGCCCAAUAACAACAGUUAGACUCUGCCAUUUCAAUUCAACCAUAUAUCAGUUUGGAUUCACCAGUUCUGAAAACAGCAACAGAACCAAACAACAAUACCGACCAGACCCAUGGGUUCGUCAUUGGUAUCCCCCCUAUUUUCCAGAUGCAUUUUCACCAAGGUAAGGUUACUCACUACAUGUUAAGGCCAUAGGCUUCUGACAUGCUCUAUUUUUUUUUUGUUUUUUUUUAUAUAUUUGACAGUCGCAUAGUGUAGACAGUUCAUAAAAAUGGAAAAAACACUAAUAUAGAAAUACAGAAAGUGAACUAAUAUCUGUAAGAUUGAAAUCUUUCUAGAAGUUCAAAAUUGGAGACGCAAGCAAACAUUCAACUUUUGCAAUAAUGAAAUGCAUACCAAAUACACCUUUUAAAAUCAUUAACCAUAGCCACAUUGCAGACACGGUAGUACUUCAGAGGAAAUUUAGAUCAGAAAACCAAUGCCAUAAAACCAUUAGAGAAGAAAAGAUCUUUGAAGCAGGCCCCCCCCACCCAUGGAACUGACAACAUGAAGAGUCUUACAAAACUACAACACGCCAACUCUGUGAGUUUCUUUAUUAGAGAAGGCCGCUGCCUUCUGGUAGAAAUAGUACAUAACGAUGGAAACAAAUUAGUUCACAAUAAUAAAGUACAGUUCAAGAUGUUCUUCUACCAUUGUUAUUCGUGUAAUGAAUGUCAUCUCGACAGUGACUACUAUAACUUUUAUAGCAGGACACCCAUGCAUUUUCCCAAUCUAAAUACUUCCUCCCAUGUAGAGCUAGUGGCAAUCUCAUGUACAAUAUCACAAAAACACAAUCUGGCGAUAGGGUGGGUUAGUGAAGUGCAUCUUUUUCUUUAUUUCCAUGUGCUGCUUGUCGCACAAAUUGUCCUCUAAUCCGAGGUCUUUGUUCUGCCAGCUUCUUUCUACUAUGGUAUCGAACCUGGAAAUAAAGAUAUGAGAUAUAAUGCAUAGGAACAAUCUUGUCCAGUUCCUCACAAAUUGACCGUAGCAAAGAAAUUUUAUUGUAAAAUGCAACAUGGACAGACAUGAUAUUUUGACUCCAAAAGUUUAUGUAGCCGACUCAUACAUAGGGAAUCCUGAUUUUUGAUUAAAUGCAGUUAAAGGAAAUUGUCUUUUCCAUGUCUAUUGGUGUUUUGUUGGGUAUUUGGCUAUGCCUGUGUAUUUGCAACAUUAAGGAAUUUUAUCGAAUUUCAUAGCAUUCAAUACUUUCAGGUUUUACUGAUACUACAGUCUAUCUCCAUGCUAAAUCUUGUCAUUAGAAUUAGGGGUCAUAUUUAUUUAUUUAUUUUGGUCCAGUCCUUAGGACUGACUAGCGGCCCCUCCACAUCGACUGGGCAAAUCUCCAAUACACAUGGAGUUAUGAUCCAUAAGCAUUGGCGGACUUAAGCCCAAGCAAGGGUUAAUUAACUGCUUGGACGCCCCUAAAAAUCGAACUCAGGACCACCAGAAGUUUGUCCAGCGUGGUUUCCAUAGGCCAACCCUUUGGGGGUAAUUAGGGGUCAUGUCUGAUAAGUUAUUUUAUCACUCAGUACUUGAUGUAAAUGUAAUAUCAGUUACCUUCCUCUCAAAGCAUCUCUGUUUCCUCUUUUGGCGGAAUUUGUUUAAAGCAGCUUCUCUGUAUGCAGAAUGAUUUUGAUCAACUGCAGUUCUGCUUCCAAUUCCACAUCCUGUACUGAGUUUUUCGGCUACCUCAUUAUAUCUCUCUGUAUUUGUUGCUCUGAGAUUUAGUGCAAUGCUGCUCCCAUUCAGUCUAUUGCUUCCAUUCAGUCUGUUGCUUCCGUGGUCACUUCCUGAUGCACUCCCAUUCAAACUGCAAUUACCAACAAUGUCAUCUACAGGUGCGCUCAACCUGUUUGAUGACCCACACUGGGGAGCUGCUGCAGACAUAUUUUUCAGUGAUGAAUCAUCAUGCUUGGCAAGCUGCUGCUUCUGCAUGUGAACAUGGUGGUGCUGGUGAUGGUGAUGGUAAUGGUGAUGGUGAUGCUCCACUUUAACCUGCUGAUUUGCGUCCCUGGCUUGAGCUAAAAUUGUAUUUGCAGCGACAUCAGCAUUUCCAGGUUUAGGAAGAUGCAUAUAGCCAUUCUGCAAAGCAGAAGAGAGACUGGGGCCUUUAGCAGUAGAUUUGGGUGCAGGCUUGCCGCUGAAUACAGGUUUGGAGAAUGCAUUAUUAGUAGUGGAACCCAUGUCAUUGUUGUUACUACUGCCAUUGGAGCGCUGAUUAGGAGGGGUGCUAUUUGAGUUUGAUUGAAAAUUUUGUAUCAAGUCUGUUCUUUUUGCCUCUGAACUGUAAUCAAGUGGACAACAGCUGCCCACAUUCCCUUGGUUAGUGGUUGAACCAGAAUUAUACCUACAUGGUAAUGAAGAUUCCCUGGCUGUAAAAUCCAGUUAUUUUAGAGAUCAAAAGUGAUCCAAUCAGACAUACAAAAAUUUAUUUUACCUUGAGAAUGCAGAGAGGUCUGAAUGCCUAAGAACAUUUCGGUCAUGUGCACUGGUCCUGGUAUCUCCAUCAUCUCUAAACCUCUUCAAACUAAGCUCAAGAGAAGGGACAUCUUUAGUUUCAUAAACAGCCACAUCUUUUUGGUUGGGAACCCUGGGGAGAGUGUAUGGGAUGUCAAAAACUGCACUUCUCAUCUGAGGAUUGGUGUUGUUAGUGAUGACACCCAUAACAUCAGCAGCUGCGCUUCUUGAAUCCUCAUUUUGUUUCCCACCUUUGAUCUCUACUUGUGCUUUUUCUAUUUUCCCAGCAUUGUUCUUUGAGUUUAUUUCAGGGAGUUUCUCUACACUAUUUCCUGCUAUAUUACCGUCAACUUCUUCAUUUGGGUGUUCAAGCAGCAAAUUUGGAAAUCUAGGUACAUUCAUCUCCAAGUCCUUGCCCAUAACUCCAUUGCCUAAACAUUGAAUGCAGCAUAGUCUCACUAAAUGAAAGUGAGUGUUCAAUGACAAUUUGUGCUGACAGAGCCAUACAUACCAAGAUCAUCAUCUUGCCCCUCACAUUCCUUUGUUGCCGUCAUAGGCAUGGGCACCCAGCUGUUGCCAGAUGCUUCUGUCCUUGAAUGUGUAACUUGGGCACAGGUGCUAUCAGGAGGGUCAGCUACCCGGUCUCUUGGCGACAUUAGUUUUGGACUGUCAACUUCUAUGGCCCUUCUUGUCCAACAGCUCUGUUAAGUUAGAACAUCAGUAUGCAUUCAGAAAUGUCAAAAUGGCCUCACAGUUGGAUCCUUGUGGUAUGAAUCUGUAAUCUAUCACCUUACGAUGCUAAAAAUAUGUUCUUUUGUUGUAUGCAUAUAUACACAUACAUGAUGUAUUAAAGUAUUAUUGAUAUGCAAAAAACUCCAUCUUAUAGAAUUGUGCCUGGCUAUAGGCAUUUGUCAUACCAAGGGUUUUCUGUUUCUCAAAUCACCACUAUCUUGUAUUAUCUCAUCUGAGGUUAUUGCUCUCAGCACAAAAUACACAUUUUCAAUUUAUGGAGAAAGAUUUGUGGGCCUAAAGUGCUUAUUUUUACCCAUUUUAAUCUACCCUCUCAUUCUCCCCCUACCUUUCACUUGCCUGCCUUCCUUUCUUUGGCACCUCUUUCAACUUCUUACACAGAGGUACACAAAUAUAUAAACAUACACUAUGGAUUGAAGCAUUGUUGAUAUGCAAAAAAUUCCAUCUUAUAGAAUUGUGCCUUGCUAUAGGCAUUUGUUAUAUCUAGGGUUUUCUGUUUCUCAAAUCACCACCAUCUUGUAUUAUCUCAUUGGAGCUUAUUGCUCUUAGCACAAAAUACACAUUUCUAAAUUAUGGAGAAAGUUUUGUGGGCCUACAUUGCUUAUUUUACCCAUUUUAAUCUACCGUCUCAUGCUUCCCCUUUCUCCCCCUCCCUUUCACUUGCCUGCCUUCCCUUCUUUGCCACCUCUUUCUCCUUCUUAAACACAGGGUUAAACCUUUCUCCUUUCACUUGCCUGCCUUCCUUUCUUUGCCACCUCUUUCUCCUUCUUACACACAAGGUUAAACCAAUAAGGAAUGCCAUUUUAGUGGUAACUGCAGUGCAUGAGGGCAUUAAAUUCAGUGUGUUAUUCACUUUCUAUUAAGAAGUAUUCCAGUACCCAAAGGAUGUGCGUAAGAGAGAAAAAAAUCAUAGUUUCAUGGUGCACCACCAUGACAAGACACAAAUGUUAGGGCUCCAAUAGUUUAAGAAUGCUCGCUGCAAAUUCUUUAAUUACUUGGAUUCUAGCAUGUUUGUAUAAUUUUUUGGCUUAUUUUCCUGUUAUUUACCAAUGGAAAACUUUCAAUAAGUGCAUGUAUUUUUUUUCUUUCUCCUCAUGAAUAGUUUACAAAAAUUUCAUAGGAAAUUGGCUUGGGACAAUACAAGAAAUUUAGGGAUGAAAAAUACACCUCACAUUUACCUAAUUACCUCCGUAUACUUGAUAAAAUAAAUAAAUAAGAAAAAACAUAGCAAGUAGAAACCAUGACUUAUUAAAAUUAAUGUCGUUAAGGCUGUGUUUGGCACCAACUUUUUAAGUAGCUUUUAGCGUUUUAACUAAAUGCUAUUUUUCAUAGUAUUCGGUGACAUAACAUUUGAACUAGAUUUUAGAGGUUAAGAUAGCAUUUUAUAAAAUGUUAACACUUAUAACAUUUAACUUUAACUUCUUAUGAAAAACUAUUCAAACAACUACUAGCUACUCAAACAGCUAACCGUUACUAGAACAACUAACAUUUACCAAAAUAGUUAAUUUGCCGAAUCUCUCUUCAAAUCUUACAAGGAUAAGAUUGUAAAUUUCACAUCAUCCUCAACAAAGUAACUUGGCUGGAGCAAAUUCAAUUGCUGACAUGUAAUUCUUUUUUGAAUUUUUCACUUUUUUAUAAAAGCAAUUUCAAAGAUAUGUUGUACCUGUUUAAUGGAUUCAAAAUUUCCACAAAAUCUCAAUUGGCACAUACUAACAAUUUAACAUUCUUAAUCUAUAUGAUUAUUAAGAGGGUGGCUUUUAUGUAACAGCAAAAUUACUCCACUUGUGACCUAGAGGUCAUAGGUUUGAGCCAUGAAAAACAACCUCUCUACAAAAAAAAAGUAAGGAGAAGGCUGCGUUCAUCAACCUUCCCUAGAGCCCACACAUGUGGGAUGAUUCAUGUAAUGGUCGCUUUUUUUUAGUCUACAUGGUUUCUGUUUUUACAAACCACCAGAAUUUUACAUGGUAAAAUGAGAGAAUGAUGUGGGUGCUACUGAGGUUUAAGAAAAUCGUGUUGCUUUGAAGAAGAUUUCCUGAUGAGGUUAGUUUUUUACUGCGCCCAUUGAGGUUUGGAAGAGAGAUAUUUAAAGACAUGGUUUCCAGUGAAUAAUGUGAUUGCAUGUAUUUUGACUCAGGAAGUAAAACCAACCACAUGCAGUUUUGAAAAAAAAAUUAAACUUUUUUCAAACUUUUAUUGCAGAAAUUAAAGGUUCUGACAUUUAAAUAAAAAAAGGAACAUUUCAAACACUUGAAAUGGGAACGGCCAUUAUCCCAUAAAUAUAUGCAUUGUCAUCAUAAGUUAACUAUUGACCCUUUUCCUUUGGAAAAUCAAAUUUGGAAGGCUAAGAUUCACUUUUUAAGUAAGGUUUCAUGCUUUUGUUUCAAUAACGACUUGUGCCUACAAGUACCUAUUAAUAGAUGUCUUUUGACAUUUGUAAUAACUUUCAUUGCAUAACUUCUAGGUACAUUUGGACUUUGCUAUUUUUUUAAAGGAGCUGAAUUAGGAAAACAGUGAGGCAGGAAAAGACGGGUUUUGCAAUCCCUUUCUGCCCCAAUUCUUAAUUGAGGUGUGGCUAAAAAGUCUAGGGGAAUUCACAUGAGUAACCAUCAAAUACAGAUAUUUGUUAAUAUUUGAGAAAUACUAAAAUUAUGUGAUAAAUAAUAGUGCACAAAUUUCUUUCAGAUUAUUGUACUUUUUGCAUUUGUUUCUUACCAACACAAUAUUUAUCACUAUUUUUAAAGCUAAUUUUCACAUUUUUUUGUUUAUGUUCAGAUGAUAAAUUCUAAAUUUGAGAUGGCAUAUUAAUGCAAUAUAUGUCUGUUGAAUUCUCAUUUGUGUCUUAGUAUAUAAUUACAUGCAAAUUUCAAAGCUUUUACUAUGGUAUAAAAUUUAAAAAUUCUGCAUAGGUACAAAAUUUGUGUUCGUAUGCUAUUGUACUUUUUGCAUUUGUUUCUUACACACACAAUAUUUAUUCACUAUUUUUUAAAAUGUUUUUCAAGCUAAUUUUUUGUUUGUUCUUUUGAAAUUUCUUUUCCCCCCUAAGAGAACUUUCUUCUUAAAUCAUAUAUUAAAAAAAAAAAAAGUUAUAUAUCAAAAAUUUUAAAUAUAUUUAUUUUUUAAUUGUUUCUUGGAUAAAUUAUUUCUUUUAAUUUCACACAUAUCUAUUAUUUUCUUCUCCAUUCUUUCUCUCUAUAAAUUAUUUUUUAUUUAUCUUAAUAAUUUUUUAGGUGAAAUUUAUUUUUAAUAAUUUUAAUCACAUUCCGCAUUUCUUAAAAUAUGUUAUAAUGUUAGAAAUCAAGUAAAGGAGAAUUAAAAAAAAAACUAAUUCAAAUAAAAUAAAGUAAAUAUACAUAAAAUAAAUUGUCCAUGUAUAUAAUAGUAUGUUAGGUGAGAGUCAUAAAACUAAUACUAUAUUUAAUAAUAAAAAAUUAAAUAAAAAAUAAUGUUAUUAAUAUAUUGUUUACCUAUCUUACAUGCAGCAAGUAUUCUUAUUAUAAUUUGUUCAAAAAAAAAAAAGUAUUCUUAUUAUAAUUAAAUGUAACAGUUUAUAUAAAAAUAAUUUUAAAUAUAAUGGUAGUGAAAUUUUCUAUUCUCUACAGUAGGUUUAUCCAAAUUUCAAAUGCUAAUCAAAAUUGCCAAUUGAAAAUCUAAAUCACUACGAACAAAGACAAAGCAAUAAUCCAUCCUAUUUUUUUGUCCAAUGACCAUAAUACAGGCAAAAAAAUUUUGAAAGACUAGUGCCACCAAACCAAGGGAUUUUAUUUGGCAUGCAAAUAUUGAAAACAGAAUACUACUUGUAGAAAAGCGCUAACAAAGUCUUUUCUAGCGUUUUGUCUUCAUUUUGGAAUUCCCAUUAGUGUUUUAAGCAGCAUUGAGCACGAAUCAUGAACGACUUCUGUUGGUUUACAUGUAAUGCACAAUUUUUAGUGUUUGCUUACCUUUUUUCCUCUGUUUACACAACCAAUGAACAUUAAAGUGAACUGCAUUUUUGUUUCCAAACACAGAAAGGAAUUGCAAGAUUGAAGUUCUUGUAAGAAUAUCAUAAGUGGCACUCCAAAAAUAAAAUCAAGAAUCAAAAUAUAGAUAAGAGUUAAUGCAAAAAACACGGUUCAAAAUCACAUGAAAGAAACCAAAUGAUCAAAAUAUAAGUGAUACCUGAGUGCCGCUUCCAUUGUCACUUCCAUCUUUUGCAUUUAAACCACUACUUUCAAUGUCAUCCUCAUCAUCACUGCUACUUUUGUUAUCUGACUCGGUGCUUUUUGACUUUGUGGAUUUUUGGGUUUGUACACCACUUUCGCUUCCGCUUCCACUUCCACUUCCACUAGACUGAUCAAAGAAUGAAUAGUGAAUGCAAAGAAAAUACAAAUAUUUUGCACAUUUCUAUGGUCUUAUAAGCUACCAUGGAAACAGAAGAAAGCAGAAAACUUAAUGUAAAUCUUUCAAAAUAUUGAUAAUUGAACUUUAGCUCAAUUAACAAAAAUAUAAUAACUUCUUUUGGUUGAAAUUCCCCCAUAAUUAACAUUUCAGUACAUAUAUAAAGUACUGACAUGAAAUUUAGUCCAAAAGUUGGUCCAUGAUAUAUUUCAUACACAAAGCAGGAUAACCGUAGUAACUCACGCUGUGGCAUUUCCUCCAAACAUGUUGCCAGAGGUUUUUAAGCUCAUUCUUUCGAAUAGGCUUCACUAAAAAGUCAAGUGCACCCUUUGAUAAACAUUUAAAGACUAUGUUCAUGGAAUCAUGAGAUGACAUCACUGCACAUAAAAACUCACCAGGUAUAAAGUUAAGAGUAUCAAUUUCUAAAGAUGAAUGUGGUAAACAUUGUUAGUUUUGAAUCUAAGAAAAUGGAAAAUAGAGGAAAUAAACUCACUAAUCACAGGAAUAUUCUUGCAGGUUUUGUGGUUCAUAAUCUUACAUAAAAGGCCAAUGCCUGAUACACAAGGCAUGACAACCUCAGUUAAAACCAGAUCAAAAUGAUUGGUUAGGUCUUCUAGAAGCUUCCAAGCUUGAAGACCAUUUUCUACUGCUGUAACUGCCAUGAAGAAAUUAAAAAAAAAAAAAAGAAAGAAAUAGUUAGCCUUCAUGAAAAGAAAAAACAGAAAGGAGGAAGUGCCAGAACUCAUUAAUAUACUUCCUUUAAGUAAAAACUCUGAUCAACAAUCCAAAAAGGCUAUUCAUAUUGGAAAGAUGUAACAUAAGUAUGAUACAUCUCAAACAAGCCCUUUUACAAAAUGGGAUUAUUUAUUCCAAUGGAAAAAGGUAAAGACUUCACACUACAUAAAUGCAGAAAAAAAUGUCAUUAUACAUGCUUUUUAGAUUGAGUAUUACAAACUAAUGGCAAAUGCCAAUGAAAAGGUAAAGAGUACUAAGAGGGGUAGGCAAACCAAAAGGGAGGAUAAUUAAAUUACUCCGUCUUUGAAUCUAUCAAAAGUGCACUUUAAGCUGUAAGUUCUUUGAGUUACAUAGCAACAGCUAAAGAACAGAAUUUUAAGAUUAAAGAUUCAUAACAGAUUGAGGAUGAUUCAGUUAGUAUGGUUGGGAAAUUUUUCAAAGUGGAGCAAUGUCAAACUCCUUCAAAAAACUAAGCUAAAUAUUAAACACAAAAGAAAAUAGGAGAGAACCAGGGAUGAAGAUAGAAAAACUUAUAUUCAUGAUGUUCCAAUAUGCUAAAUUAGGGCAUUGAUAAUAUACAUUGGUUAUACUGCAAUAAAGUAAACCAGUGCCAAGCGUGCAAGAUAUAUUGGAAGAUAACAAUAUAGGCUAACAUGAAUCCUGAGUGGUCCCUAUAUAAACUUGAACAAAUUGUCCUUGAUUUCUUUCACCCAAAAGCUUUUUUCUUUUUAAGUCUUGUAUUACCCAUGCUUUGGCCUUUUUGUAAUCCAAGUGAUUAUGAAAAUGUCAUGCACAAGCACAGCAUUUGAUAGGCAAGAAAACACAAGUUCGAAUACUUGAGAAAUUCAGAAUCAUGGUGCAGAUUUCAUACAGGGUAUAUUACCAGAUACUUGACAUUGUUGAUAUAUUAGUUCUCUUACAAUAUUGUAUAUAUGUUUAGUUAAAUCAGUUUAAUUCAAUUAAUUGCUGGCAAGUAAUUACAAAUUUCUCACUGAUAAAGAGUGUUUUUUUUUCUCGCUUUCCUAGAGUUAGGCCAAGUUGUGAUGCCAUGGGAAUUAUAAUUCAAGUGUUGAGCCUUCUUAGUAUCCUAAUUGUUAGAAGGCUACGAUAUAGGUAUGGCUGAAAAUGAACCAAGCUGCUCAUGAUAUGUUUGAAGCUCGGCUCAAAAAAAGCUUGCACCAGCUCAUUUGAUAAGCUUAACAAGCCGAACUUGAACUUUGUUCAUUAACUCAUGAGCUGCCUCACAUGCUUUAAAUAAUUUUACAUUAAAAUAUAUCAAUUUAAAUUAGGGUUUUGCACAUGCAUAUAGCUUUGUUGAAAAAAGCUUAACCAAAAAAACUCCCUCAAUGUGCUUCACUUCUCAAUUUUAUCUAAGCAAAAGUGAUUCUUGAAUUCCAUGGCUUGCUUCUUUAUAGCAAUCAUUCAAAUGAAACCAACAAAUAAAAUACAUCCUUUAUAUCUCUUUUUCACCCUAGUGUUUAUGAUUUUGUUUCCAUAUCUUCAAUUGUAUGUCUACAUGCGCUUGUUUAGUAGGUUUACUACAAUUAUAAGUAUAAUCUCUCUCUCUCUCUCUCUCUCUCUCUCUCUUAAUCUUGGCUUAUCUCUGUACAUGCCAUUUUUUUUUCCUGUUUGUCUAUAUAUGAUUUUGAGGUUGAAUCACAUUGUGCAUAUUGGUCAUUAUUUCGACAUCAGGACUAGUUCAAUUAAGCAAGCAUUUCCAUUUACCUACCUACAAAUUUUGAAUGUUUGCUCUUCUUGAAUUUCUACUUUCCCAUAUGCACCAGUUUGCAAAUAUGAUAUUUUAGUAGUAGAUGAUGCUAAAAAGGAAAGAGGUAAAUCUAAAACUGUUUGGAGAGAAGUUGUCACUAAGAAUCUAUGAUCUUUGGAUAUUAGUGAGGAUAUAGCUAUGAACAUAAUAUAAUGAAGACAAAAGAUUCAUGUAGCAUAUCAUAGUUAGUUGUUGUUGUUGUCUAUUUUAUAGUUAGUCUUAUUCAUUAAUAUAUCAAAAGAUUUUAAAAUUUCUCUUCAAAAAUCUUUUUACAAAAAGCAUUUGAAAUUUUUUUCCAACUUAUACUUUGCUUCGCAUUGAUAUUAAUUUGACCAAAAUGGAUAAUUGAAACAAAAGAUUCAUAUAAUUGAAUUCAACUAGUUUGGGACAAAGAAUUGGUUGUUGUUGUUGUUUGUUAUUUGAAUUUCUGCUUUGAGCCCAUACUCAUUUACCCUAGUAACGGAUGAGCUAACCAAUAAUAUACAAGAAGAUAAUCCAAGAUGCAUGUUAUUCGCAAAUAACAUUGUUCUAGUCGAUGAAACUGGUAAGAGAUAAAACCAAAACUUGGAAUUAUGGAGAAUAACUCUUGACGACAAGGGUUUUAGGCUAAGCAACAGUAAGGAGUACAUGCAUUGCGAGUUUGGUUUAAAAUAAGUAGGAAGUUGAGGGUAGAUAGAUGGUACAGUGGUGCCUAAUUGCAAUCAAUUCAAAAAUCUAGGCUCUAUGUUUCAGAAGGGGGUCUCAUAGAUGAGGAUGUUUCUCAUAGAAUUUAAGUAGGAUGGAUGAAAUGGAGGAGUGCUACAAGUGUACUAUGCGAUAAGAAGAUAUCUAAUAAGGUAAAAGGUAAGUUCUAUAAGACGGUGGUGAGUCCGGCAAUGCUCUAUGGGAGUGAAUGUUGGGCACUAAUUGCACUACACCAUGCAAAUUCUGAGAUGGAUGUGACAGACACAAGGUUGGACAAGAUUAAAAAUGAUCACAUUAGACAGGUGCGGGUAGAAGUUGGAGAUAAAAUGAGAGAAGGAUAUCUGAGAUGUUACAGUCAUGUAUUAUGUAGACGCUCACAUGCCCUGAUUCGUAAAUGUAAUACUUUAGCAAUGGAGGGUGCUAAAAAAGAAAGAGAUCAACCUAGAAAUGCUUAGAAACAAAUUCUUGUAAAGGAUUUUUAAUCUUUGAAUAUUAGUGAGGAUAUAUAGCUAUGAACAAAAUAAAAUGGAGACAAAAAAUUCAUGUAACAAACUCUAGUUAGCUGUUAUUGCAUGUUUUAUGUUUUAUUCUAUUUAUUAAUAUAUCAAAUGAUUUUAAAUUUUCCUUCAAAGAUCUUCUCUACAAAAAGUACUUAAAAUUUUUUUUUUGACUUAAUUUUGCUUUGCGGUGAUAUUAAUUUGAGUGGAUAUUGAAAACAAAAGGUUCAUAUAACAAAUCUCAACUAGUUUGGGAGUUAAGACUUAGUCGUUGUUGUCUACUGCUUGAGUUUCUUAUUUUUUUUUCUCACUAAUUAUGGUUGUUGUAGUUAAAUUGAAAUAAUAAUCGAGCUGAACCAAGCUCAUCUUGAUAACCACUUAUUGAGUGAGCCCUAGUCGAGCUUGAACUGGACUAUUUUUAAACAAGUCGAGCUCGAGCUUGGUGUUUCAAACUCGAACCAAGCUCAAACCUAAACAUAUCUUUAUCAAGUAGAGCUCGAGAUUAUUAGAACUCGACGCAUUUACAGCUCCGAAUGUAGGCUGUAAUUGGGGAUGUCAUUAUGCUGCCAUCAUGUGCUUAUUAAUAUAGGCUAUAAUUAAGUGAUUACUCACCAUAUGUAUAGAAUCCUCUUUAUUGUAUACACCUUAAUAAGCUUGAGGGAAUAAUCAAACUUCUUAUUCACAAAAUCUCAAUCCCUUCCUUCUUAAGAGCCUAGGUAUGGCUCCCUUGAUCCCUUUUUUCCUUUGAAGAAACAACUAGCAUCCUUGCCAUUAGCCUCCUCAAGCCCGAGUAUGUCAUCAUAAAGUUGAGCUCGAGCGUAUUAAAACUCAGCUCAGCUUGACUCGGCUCAUUUACAGCUUAAAUAUAGGCUAUAAAUAGAUAUGUUACUAUGCUGACAUUGUGUGUUGUAAUAUAGGCUGUAAUUAAUGUGUUAAUCACCCCAUAUAUAAAAUCCUUUUUAUUCUAUACACUGCAAUAAGUUUGAAGGAAUAAUCAAACUUUGUAUUCACAAAAUCUCAAUCUCUUUCUUUUUAAGGGUCUGGAUAGGCUUGAAUUCUCUUCCUUUUCCCCCUUUGUUUCUUUGAAGAUAGCUAGAAUCCUUGAAUAGCCUCCUCAAGCUCGAGCACAUCCUUAUCAAGUUUAGCACGAACUUGGCUCUCCUCAUUCAUAGCUCUAAUACAGCAUGUAAUUACAUACAUUACCAUGUUGUCAUCAUGUCUUGUAAUAUAGGGUAUAAUUAAGGGAUACCCCACAAGGAAUCCUCUGUAUUAUAUAUAACCCAGUAAGCUUGACGGAAUAAUCAAACUUCUCACUCACAAAAUCUCAAUCUCUUCGUCCUUAAGAGCCUAGUUAGGCUUGAUUUCUCUUCUCUUUCUCCUUUUGCUCCUUUGAAGAAUGGUUGGGAUCCUUACCAUUAGCCUCCAUGUGUCUUCACAAGGCUUUUGGUCUCACCAUACAUGCCAGCACAUGGCAACCAUACUAGCGUUCUUUUUGCCAAAAUCCACACUAGACAACUUGCUAGAGACAUUCCUCCAACCCCAAGCAAUGAUCCAUUCCCUAAAUCUCUUUCCUUUUCUAACCUAAAACCAUCAAUAGCUUCAAGCACUGUGCUUUCUCUCCUUUAGCUUCAACAUGUUUGAUAAAGGAGAUGCUUCAAAAUCCAGGUUCUUUAAAACUCUUUUCUCCUCUUUUGAGUUCUCCAACUACUACCACUAUGAAAUUGCAUAGUUGUAGUAAUUAUAUAUCAUUGCCGGCAUCAGUGGAGUUUUGGUUUAUUUAAUAAGGUUAUUAUUAUCAUUUAGUUAAGAAUGCCAUUGAUAUUGUUGCUACUGACAAAACAAGCUAGACUAAAAUUGAUGCACAACAAUGUAGUUUCUUAUGACACUCUCUUGACAUUGCUUACCUUAAAUGCUUGUUGUAAGUUAUGGAUUAAAGCCAAGAUUUUGUACACUGAUGACAUAGAACACACAUAUAAAGUCGCCAAGGUGUCUUUACACGACUAUUUCCCAUCUCUCUAACUAAUGGUAAUGAAAUUAAGACAUUUAUGUUAGUUGUACAACAACAAAAGGGACAUGAAAGUCACUGGAAAUAGAAAGGCAAAAGCCCCACGUCAUAUUGUAAUUACUAUGACGAGGACACGUCACAUGGUACAUUUGUUGGACAAUGCAUGGUCGACCAUUACAUAAUCAGUUUACCAACAUUGGUCAACCUACUGCUCAUCUGGCUUUGACUAGUGGAAAUGAACUUCUCUCCAUCAAUCAACUGCCUAAAUUUAUUACCUUGACUGGAGCUAACUAUAACGAGUACUUAUAGUAUCAGGCAACCAAACAAUGAUCAUCAAAUAUUUUCGACUCUGAUACUUCCAUUGCAUGUGUAAGCAAGUCUUCACCCGCAAAUACAUGGGUACUAGAUUCUAGUGCUUCUGAUCACAUCUUUAGUAAUAAAGACUGUUUUCUUUGCUCUUACCUUUCCUCUAAACACAUCUACAAUCACCUUAGAUAAUAGCCCACAAAUUAAGGUCAAAGAAAUAGGAUAACCUCAGCCUCUUCCUUUAGUUUCUUUAACUUCAAUUUUAUUUACUCCUAACUGUUAUUUUGGUUUGUGUAGGAUCAAGUUACGAGAAAAUCACUGGUGUAGGAUAUAAGUCCUGAAGAUCAUAGAGGACCACCUAGGAAACCAUCAGAAGAAGUGCUUUGAGAGGGCCUAGGCAUGAUGAAGGACCAAGGAGCCAAAGAAAGCCUAGUCCAUAUGAAGAAAGAGAUGAAUUGGGUAAGAGGUAAGAACCCAUGAGGUGAAAAUGUGUGAUAUGGACUUACUUGGGCUUAGGCCGACCAAUGCUAAAAGAUUAGUACUAACCCAAUUAGCUAGCUCUAGCUUGUCACCCUUAUAUGCCCAUUAUGGAUUUAUUAUUUAGCCGUUGUGGGAUUCUUAACACUCCCCCUCAAGUGCAACAGGGACCGGACUUCCAGGUGACACUUAAAACUUGAAACUCCCUUUGAAAUUGAAUUGGGUUUUUCACCUUUGAAAUUGAAUGGGCCUCAUUGGGACUGGACAUCCAGAUGAGAGCCCAAAUUGAAAUGCAGCAGCAACACCGGUGAACUGAAGAAUAACUGAACCGGGUUGAACCUGCUCAGAUACCAUAUUACAAAGUUGAAAGGGUAGAGGUGAAUUGGGUAAGAGGUAAGAACCCAUGAGGUGAAAAUGUGUGAUAUGAGUUUACUUAGGCUUAGGCCAACCAAUGCUAAAAGAUUAGUACUGACCAAUUAGCUAACUAGCUUGCCACCCUUAUAUGCCCAUUAUGGAUUUAUUAUUUAACCGAUGUGAGAUUCUUAACACUCAUACUCAAUCUGCCAACAAUUAAUAUCCAUUGGAUACACACUCCACAUCAAAUUGGAUUGGAUUCGAGUUCGGAUCAAAUAUGUAUUAGAUUGGACCUUUUGGUUUUAGUUAUGUUCGAAAUUUCUACUAUUUUGCUUGCCUUCAUUUUCCACAUUUUCAUGCAUUGAGCAUUGCUACCCCUAAAUAUUGAUUUUCUUAAUUUUCCUCUCUCCAACUACCCUUAUUUCUUGAUUUUCUUCUCUCAAUUGCAAUCAUAUUCUUGAUUUACUUCUCUCCAACUACCUUGAAAUCUUUUCCCUCUCUUCUCUAUAAACACCACCACCACAACCAUUAUUGUUGCUACCACUUUGUUCUCAUUCCUAAUCAUUAAGCUUUUGUCCUUGAGUCUCUUCAAACCUAAACAAAAUUACUUCCAUAAUGACCUCAAAUUCACAGUUUUCCGAUCAGUUCGAUAUUCUCCAAUCUAUACUCAUUACUGAUGACCUAGAUUGCUUCACUAAUGACCUCAACUACACAAUUUUUCGAUCACUUCGAUAUUCUCUAGUCUGUACUCAUUACCAAUGACCUAGAUCGUUUCGCUAUCACUAACCAGCCUGUUGAUGCCUUUGGAGAAAUCAUUUAAAAGUACUUUCAAAAUUACUUUGAAAUGCUCAAUAAGCAUGAUUUGAGUAUGUCCAAUAUGUAAUUUUAUGUUUAUUUGCAAUUUGAGUUUAUUAUUUUCAAUUAUUACCAAUGAUUUUAACUUUGGGAUUUCUAUACCUUUGAUUUGAGAUUUUAUUAACAAUUGGAAAUGCAACGCUUGAGUUCAGUUAAUGUUGGAGUUUUUUUAUCUAUUUCAUUUUAGUUUCUUUGAUUUUAAUUGACUUUGCCGCUAUUUUUGGAUUAGAAUUUUGUUUGGUUAAUUAACCAAUUAGCUGCAUAACCGAAUUGAAAUUUUUUUCAGCUCAAUUAUGUUUCCUACUAACAAUAUUUUGGUUCAGUUCACAAAGAUAGUAAAGUUUGAUUUUUUGGUAUUGUUGUUUUAAUUUGAUUUGAAACGAAAUUGACCGAUUGUGCACAUCUAUUUUCAAUUGAAGUGUUAUAUAGUGACAAUGCAUGAGAAUAUUUCUCCCUUAUUAACUAAUCCAUGUCUUUUCAAGGUAUCACUUAUCGAUCUUCUUAUGCACAUACUCCUCAAGAAAAUGGAGUCAUCAGACAAAAGAAUCAACAUCUCAUAAACAUACACUAUCACAUUCCUCCUCCUUUUUUGGGGUUGUUCUUACUUGUUUUUUAUGCCUUCCUCUAUGUUGUAACAUCGAAGUCCUCAUUCUCUUUUUGUAUCCCUCUAAUCUUUCUCUAUCGUGUUUUUGGUUGUAUCAAUUUUGUUCAAGAUCUUACUCUUGGAGAAGAAAACUUCCACACCAAAUCCGUUGCCUUUUUAUGAUAUCCAGCAACCAAAAAGGUCACAAAUGUUAUGACCCAAUCACCAUCUUAGCUAACUUAAUCUUUUUCUAGACAUAUCCAUGUUUCUUGCCAAAUAUAGUCAACCAAAACCUCAUUGCCAUGACUCUUCUAAUUCCUAUUCUUCCAUUUCUAGUUCUAGCCAUCUCACCUCUUCUAGUAUACUCAUGUCGCCCUCCCCUCCUAGCCCAAAUACUAUCUCUCUCAAUGAUACAGGCAGACUACCUAGUGACUCCUCUCUUGCACCACCAUCACCUACAACAGUCAGCAAACAUAGCCAUUCCUCCCAUUGUUCUUUGGAAAGGUAUUCGUUCCUCACACCACCCUCAACCCCAUUUACAGUUUGGUUUUAGUUAUCAUCGCUUAUCUCCAUAUUGUGCCCUUAUCUCCACUUUUCAAAUGUCCCUAUUGUAGAAAUUAAAAGAAAGAAUAUGUUGUAUUUCUUUCAAUUAUAUUGUGUUUUUCAACCUCUACUUCACUAUAUAUAUACAAAAGAUUGUUCCAAUAUAGGAAGUAAUCUAAAUAGGAAUAAACCUAAACUAGAAAAGACAAUAUUUACUUUAAUUACAAAGAUUCCAACACUCCCCCUCAAGUCGGUGCAUAGAUAUUACUCAUGCCCAACUUGCAAACUAAAGGAUGAAACAACUUGCUAUGCAAACCUUUUGUGGAAACAUCAACUAGUUGCUCUUUUGAAGCUAUGUAGGAGACACUUAUAAAACCGACACUUAUAAAACCUCCAACUAUCUUCUCUUUUAUAAAGUGCCGAUCAAUCUCUAUGUGUUUAGUUCGAUCAUGCUGGACGGGAUUAUUCAUAAUCCCGAUGGCUGCUUUACUAUCAUAAAACAAGGAUAUAUUUGUUGUUUUAACCAAUUUUAACUCUUCCAUUAAUUUGCGCAACCAUAGAAGUUCACAGAUUCCCUGUGCCAUAGCUCUAUAUUCAGCUUCUGCCCUGGACCUUGCAACAACAACCUGCUUCUUGCUUCUCCAUGUGACUAGGUUUCCUCCCACAAAACACAAUAACCUGAGGUUGAUCUCUUGUCAUCAAGGGAACCAGCCCAAUCUGCAUUUGUAUAGCCUGUUAUUGUUAAAUGACCAUGUUUAGAAAAUAAAAGUCCUCUACCUGGAGCUGAUAUUAAAUAUCUUAGAAUCCAAUGCGCAACUUCUAAGUGAGACUCCCGAGGGUCAUGCAUGUACUGACUCACUAAACUUACAGCAUAGGCAAUAUCUGGCCUAGUAUGGGCAAGGUAAAUCAACCUCCGACCAAUCUCUGAUACCUGCCAACGUCAACUGAACUUCCCACUCCAACUUGAAGCUUAUGAUUGGCUUCAAUAGGUGAUUCUGCAGGUUUACAUCCCAACAUACCAGUUUCUUUAAGGAGAUCAAGGAUGUACUUUCUUUGAGAAAUAAAAAUCUCUUUUUCUGACCUAGCAACUUCUAUCCUAAUGAAAUAUCUGAACUUUUCCAAAUCCUUAAUCUUAAACUCCCUAGCUAACAAAUUUCUCAAGUGAGUCAUUUCUUCUUCAUUAUUUCCAGUCAUCACUAUAUCAUCAACAUAAACAAUAAGCAAUAUGAUCUUACCUUCAUGAUGUUUACUGAACAAAGUAUGAUCAGCAUAGCUCUGAAUAUACCCGAAAGAAAGCAUAGCUUUACUAAACCUUUCAAAUCAUGCUCUUGAUGAUUGUUUCAACCCAUAUAAUAACUUCUUCAGCUUGCAAACUUUUUCUCUGGUUUUCUCAUCAUCAAAUCCAGGAGGAAUCUCCAUAUACACCUCUCCUUUCAAAUCACCAUGUAGAAAAGCUUUUUUCACAUCAAAUUGAUGUAACUCCCAGUCAAGAUUGGUUGCAACAAGACAACAAAAUUAUGAUUGUGUUCAUCUUGGCUACAGGGGCAACUGUUUCCUGAUAAUCAACUCCAUAGGUCUGACUGAAUCCUCUGGCUACCAAUCUAGCCUUGUACCUCUCAAUUGAACCCUCUGCCCUAUGUUCAACUGUGAUCACCCCUUUACAUCCAACUGGCUUCUUUCCUAGUGGAGGAGGAACCAGAUCCCAUGUCUCGUUUUUUGCCAAAGCUCCCAUCUCCUCAACCAUUGCAGCCUUCCAUUUUGAGUCCUGUAAUGCCUCCUGCCAAUCCUACGGUAUAGAAACAGAAGAAGCAGAAAAAACAAAGGCUCUAUAGGAAGGGGACAGAGCAUUGUAAGAGAUAAAAUGAGAGAUGGGAUGUUUAGUGCAUGUUCUAACUCCUUUUCUAAGAGCAAUAGGAAUAUCAAGGUCAUUGUCAGAAGGGCUGGAAUCAAGAUUAGGAUCAGAAUCAACAGGAAUUAAAGAAGACUCACCAAGUUCUUGUUCUUCUGUAUUUUCAGGAUCUGAAAUUGGAGAGGACGGUUGAUCAGAAGUCUCAUGCUCCAUGGUUGUAUCUGUAUUAGUCCGCCGUGUGUAGGUUUUCAAAUUAGGUCUAUCCAAUCUUCCUAGAGAUUUGAGUGGUUGCUCUCUUUUACUAUCUAUGUCUACAUCCCCUAGAAAGGAAUGUCAUCCAUCACCUCUUCCAUCUACUAUUUCUCCCCCUGAAGAGGUGACUGGGAAGGAAAAUAAGAUUCAAAUUCUCGAAAGGUAACAUCCAUACUUACAAAGUAUUUCCUAGAAGAAGGAUGAUAACACUUGUACCCUUUUUGAGUAGUAGAGUAACCAACAAAAACACACUUCAAGGCUCUAGGAUUUCAUUUGCUUAGACCAUUCUGAUGAACAAAACAAACACAACCAAAAACUUUACGAGGUACAAUAUAAAAGUUCUUUCCUUGAAGAACUUCUAAUGGAGUUUUAAAACUUAGGUACGAAGAGGCAUACGAUUGAUAAGAUAAGCAACAGUCAAAAUAGCAUCCCCCAAUAUGGUUUGGGAAGAUUCAUAGUGAACAUAAGAGACCUAGCUACUUCCAGUAAAUGCCUAUUUUUUCUUUCCGUUGCUCCAUUUUGAGCACUAGUUUUGACACAACUAGUUUGAUGAAUAAUACCAUUAGAAUCUAAAUAGGCAUGAAAAUCUGCAUUCAUGUGUUCAAUACCAUUAUCAGUUCUUAGGAUUUUAACAUGCGCAUCAAACUGAGUACAAAUCAUUCUAUGGAAAUUCUGAAAACACGAAAAAACUUCAUUUUUUGUUUUCAUCAAAUAAACCCAAGUCAAUCUAGUGCAACAAUCAAUAAAGGUCACAAACCAUCUAUAACUAGAAAGAGAAGUUUUACGACCCCAUACAUCAGAAUGAACAGUAGCAAAAGGAAUCAAAUUUUUAUUAUUAAUUGGAGAAUACGAAUGCCUGGUGUGUUUGGCAAGUUCACAAGCAUCAAAUACUAAUGAAUCAAAAUUACACUUAACAAACAAAGUGGGAAAUAAACGUCCUAAAAUACAAAAAGAGGGAUGUCCUAAUCUCCUAUGCCAUUGAAUAACUUCAUGGGAAGGAUUUCUAGAAGUUCCUAACAAAGCUUGACUGGUACCCGAAUUUGAAAAACGACAAAUAUCAUCCAACAAAUACAGUCCAUCGCAAGCUACCACUGCCAAUCGUUCUCCCCGUGUUCAGUUCCUGAAAUAUACAAUGAGUAGGGUAAAAGGUUACUUUGCAAUUAAGCGCUUUUGUGAUUAGGCUAAUAGGUAACAGAUUAAUAGGAAAUCUAGGAACAUGGAGAACAGAGGAGAAUUUAAUAUUGGAAGUACAGUCAAUAGAACCUGUGCCAGCAAUCGGUACUAAGGAGCCAUCCGCAAUGCGAAUUUUGUCUGUACCUUGAUACUUAAAAUAUGUGAGGAAAUGUUUUAUCGAGCCUGUUGUAUGUUUAUUUGCUCCUGAAUCUAUAACCCAAGAGGGUUUUAUAAUUUUUGCAAGACAGGUAAGGAAAGCAUUACCUGUAUUAACAAAAUUAGAGGCUGCAGUCUAAGUUGAGGUUGAAUCAAGCUGUGACAAUAAUCGUUAGGACUGAAUCUCCUUAUUAGAAAAGCUACCAGCAGUAGAUGGUUCCUCAGAUAAAGCUCCACUAUUAGAUAUGUGUGCCUGUGGUCUAGAAGAACUGACCCGCUUCCCUCCACGCCCUUUGGUUGGGCAUCCAUGUAAUUUCUAGUAGAACUCCUUAGUGUGACUAUUCUUACCGCAAUAGUCACAAAAUAAUUGAUCUCUAUCUGAAGAACCGCUCUUUGCGGCCUGUAUAUGUUCCCUUGUAGAAUUAGCAAUCAACCCUGCUUUAUCAAUUAUAGAUCUGUGAACCAUAGUGUUUCUCCUAGUCUCCUCUUGCUGUACAAAUGAGCAUGCUUGUCGUAAGGAUGGAAAAGGAUCUCNNNNNNNNNNNNNNNNNNNNNNNNNNNNNNNNNNNNNNNNNNNNNNNNNNNNNNNNNNNNNNNNNNNNNNNNNNNNNNNNNNNNNNNNNNNNNNNNNNNNNNNNNNNNNNNNNNNNNNNNNNNNNNNNNNNNNNNNNNNNNNNNNNNNNNNNNNNNNNNNNNNNNNNNNNNNNNNNNNNNNNNNNNNNNNNNNNNNNNNNNNNNNNUUGGUUUCAUGAACUUUCUGUCGCAAUUCAUACCUCUGAGCAUAGUUUCCAGUUUGUGAAUACGUCUGUGAAGCGACAGCCCAUAUCUUCUUAGAUGUAUCAAGAAGCAAAUAUCCUCGACAAAUAGUUGGCUGCAUGGAAUUUAUUAACCAAGACAUAAUAAGAGAAUUCUUGGAUUUCCACUUGUUAAAACCCGGAUCUGUCGAAAUUGGUUUAGUUGCUCCACCAUCAAAUAAUCCCUGCAAAUCUCUAGCUUCAAUCAAUAAUAAACAAGACUGAGACCAAGUAAUUUGUUCCAUCUAACUUCACCGGACUAAUCUGAAGUGAGGGGCUCUCUGAGUAAAAACCCAUAUCUAACUUCUUUUCGUCACCCAUAUUUGCGAAAAAAAAAAAAAACUCAAACGGCAGCAGUGGGGGAAAUAAACCAAAAAAAAAAAGGGAAAAAAUUCCAGAAGGCAAAACUGAUGCUGAAGGACCAGUAGGUCGAAGUGGCCUCACCGAGUCGAGGUCGCUGAAACAAGAAACGUCGACGGAGCUCGCCCGGAAAUAGCAGCACGCGCCGACGCGUGAAGACCAGCCAGAAACUUCUAGAGACACAUGUGCACACGCUCGUGGUCGAACGGCAACGCGGUUUGGACGGAGGGCCUAUCGGCGGUCACUCUUCCUUCUGAGGCGAGCGGUGACGACCAACUCCCACUUCCGGCGGUGCUGUGUGUAUCUCAGACCACUUUGCAAACUGAAACCGUUGCCAAAAAAUUCACGGCAAUGGCUCUAUACCAUGUAGAAAUUAAAGGAAAAAAUAUGUUGUAUUUCUUUCAAUUGUAUUGUGUUUUUCAACCUCUACUUCACUAUAUGUAUACAAAAGAUUGUUCCAAUAUAGGAAGUAAUCUAAAUAGGAAUAAACCUAGACUAGAAAAGACAAUAUUUAUUUUAAUUACAAAGAUUCCAACCCUAUACCAAAGACUUAAGCAUUAUCACAACAUCCAAGAUACUAUCUAACGAGAUGACUGCUCUCCAUACUAACGACACAUGGGAGAUGGUUCUGUUGCCACUAGGAAAAUCUAUUAUUGAUUGUCGCUAGAUUUAUACAGUUAAAGUCAAUCCUAAUGACUAAAUUGAUCAACUGAAAGCUCCCCUUGUUGCUAAAGGGUAUAUCUUUGGUUUUAAUUAUGGUGAUACUUUCUCUUAUCACCAAGAUUGCAUGUGUCCAAUUUCGUCUCUCUCUAGCAGCGAUCAAUCACUAGACACAUCAUCAGUUGGAUAUUAAAAAUGCUUUCUUAUGUGGGGGAAUGGCCGACAAGGUCUAUCAAAGUAGUUAAAAAUGUAAGGCGCACUCAAAGCAAUGUAUUACCCCAUCGCUUUAAGCACAAAGUGCAAUAAAGCGCUUCCUCCAUUGAACGGAAUUAGAAAAAAAAAAAAAAAAAUCAAAAGCUAAGACUCAUGGCCAUUAUGGUCAGAAAAAAAAUUCAGCAUUGGAAAAUAGAGUUCAAAAAAUUACCUAACUGCUAGUGGAAUAUCUCCAAGAAUCCAAGUUUUAAUUGAAAAGUGAAAACCCUAUAUUUUACUAGUUUAAUUCUGUCUCCAAAUCCAAGUUGUCAUUGAAGAAGCCUCAUAGGAAAUUGAAAAGACUCUAGAAGUGCUAUUUUUUAGGACUUAAAAGAAAAUCCUUAAAACUGAGGGGCUUUCUUGGUUUGUGGCUUUGUAGUUGGUGCAAGAAGAAAGCACUUCAUUGGAUGCAUCUCACUUUUGAUAUUUAAAAGCACUAUCGUACUUGACAUUGCGCUUUAGCACUUACGCAAGCAUGUUUUACGCUUUUGACUACACUAAGGUCUAUAUAGAGCAACCACCUAGUUUUAUUGCUUAGGGGGUCUGAAUUAGCAUGUCAACUACGUCUAUCCCUGUAUGGCUUAAAGCAAUCUCCUAGGGUAAAGUUUGGACGGUUCAACAUUCUUAUUCAACAAUUUAGGAUGUGUUGAACUGAAGCCAAUCGUUUUAUCUUUUACCACAAUGGAGAUCAUGAUAAAUGUAUUUGAACAACACUUUAGCCAUUUUAAAACCAAAGGUUUAGGGAAGCUAAAGUAUUUUCUAGUAAUUGGGAUAACAUCCAAGGCAAGCAUUGUUAUUUUAAAAGGAAAUAUACUUUGCAUAUACUAGAAGAGAUUGGCAUGUUAAACAAGCUUGGAAAGACCCCAGCUUAUAUCAAAGAUAGGUUGAGUAAAACUUGUGUUUGAUUGCCUCACAGCCAAGCAAUUACCUAAGCCUUUUACAGGCAUAGGUUUCUAGAACAAGUGAGGAAGGAAAUAUACAUUGUAUAUACUAGAAGAGACUGACAUGUUAAACAGGCAUUAGAAGACCCAAGCAUAUAUCAAAGACAGGUUAAGUAAAACUUGUGUUUGAUUGUCUCAAAGCCAAGCAAUUACCUAAUCCUUUUACAGACAUAGGUUUUCACAACAAGUGAGGAAAAUGUCUUCAAGAAUAGAACAUCACGUACUAAGCACAAAUUUAUUUCUUGGUGCAAUAGUGACCACCAAGAAAAGUUGACAUGCAUCAUAUUGCACCUCAUUAUUCAUAAAAAUAAAAAAUUGUUUAGAUGAUGUAAUCUAUGUAAAACCUUGAAAACUAAAUCAUACCUCCCACAACUGAGAUAUGUCCAAUUUCCAUUUCGAUAUAAUAAUGAAGAACAAAGACACAAAUAAACCAUGUUAAACAAAAUCAGCAUUUGGUAAAGUUCUAACAAAAUAUGAAUAGUAUUUGAUCAAUUUCAUUCAAUAAAAGAUUUUAAACAUUUGUAUAAACUGUAGUAUGCAUCUUUCUCAUGUGAUACCAACUGUAUGCUUCAAACCUUAGAUUAAGUAAGCAAGCAAAUUUACUUGAUGCCAUAAAGAUGCUUACCUUCAUAGCCACAAUUUCUAAGCAAUGCACAAACAACAUGGCGUGUGGAAUCAUCAUUUUCCACCAGCAAAACCUUUAGUGACCUAAGAGGCAGAAACCUCUCCCAACGAACCAAAGGCCCUUGAGAAUGUUGCUGCGUCUUGCCAGACUGUGCAUUGGCCUGGACCUGCACUAUUUCCACAGACCCAUCAUUCACAUUUUCCACAUCCUCAUUAAUUUGGGAUUCAUCUUCCACAGAGAGUUCCUGGCCCUCGCCCUUGAUCCCAUCCCUUGUUUCCUUGUGCUGAACUUGCACAUCAUGAUUACGUUCUGCCAACCCAUUGGUCAAGGGAUCAUUACCUUUCAUUUGAACAACCCACAUCAACCAGAUUCAAUGAGGCCAACAAUAAGAAAUACAAUAGAUUGAGUAGGUAUAAAAACCUCCCUUAUUCCACGAAAGGGAUUGCACAUCCCGUUAUCUUUAAGAUAGGAACCUUUACAAAUGCAAGAUCUCAACAAAUCCUGCACAAGACGACAUCAGUUUCACAUAAGACACUCAACAAAAUCCACAAUCUAGAAAUUCAUAGAUAUGGUCUACAAUAGACAAUACCUCAAGAGCUAACAGUAUGAUAGUCUAUCAAGCUAAUGCAAAUUGUCGAUGAGUUGCUGGAUAAAUUAUAGAAAAAUAAAAGAAUACAAGAUCUUUUAACAUUCAUUUUAAAUUGUUUGUGAUUGAAGAGAUUAAAUUAACAAGUGUAAAAGUAUUUGGUGAAGUUUAAACAUCUUAUUAUAAGCUUUUGAGUGAAAGAUCCUUCCAUAUCAAUGGAGCAGUAGACACAUUAACAACACAAAGUACAAAAACAUUGAAAUUCAAAAUGUGUUCUUGCAUUUGAAAAGCAAGUAUACAAGUACAUAAAACAGAACACCUGUUGAUCUCCCCAUCAAGAAUAGCAUUCAGAAAGAAAAUACAAACAAACAAAUCCAAAUGAACAUCAUAAUGAAUUUUUACUGAACUGAUAAUCAAAUCUGGAAAAACUAGGCUAAAAGGAAGAGAAACUGUAAGUUUGCAGCUUAUACUUAAUUCACUGAACUCAAGAAAAAAUUAUCCUACAAUCCUGUACUACCCAGCUACCUCUAAUGAAACUACAUAAUUUAAAUACUGCCCUUUUUGUUUGUUUUUUCUGCGAUGGAACUUAAACAAUAGAAAAAUAUCACACGCAAAAAACUAUUGCCUUUUAAUUCCUAAGGAAGUAAAAAGAUAGUAAGGUAAAGAAAUACCUCCAUUUCAAAUAUUUUCUAGAAAAAUAAACCAUGAAUUUAAAUUCCUAGAGGAAAACACAACAAAAAUGGAAUUGAUUCCAACAAAUGCUCGUCAGAUGCUGAGAAAAUUUACCUCCAUAUUUAGGAGGAGAAGAAGAAGAAGAAGAAAUAAAGAAACAAGUGCUAAAAAAAUGAGUAUCUUUGUUUAGAAAUUUUUUUGAAUAAGAAUGUAACUGUUUUCCUCAAUUAUCGAUAGAGUAACAGCUAGAACAUUUCAAAAAUAUUUAUAAUAUAAAUAUUCAUCUUUCCGUUCCUCAAUUUUCUCACAAAAAAAAAAUUAUGCAGAAAUCAACCUUACAUAUUUUGACCAGAUAAAUCAAACUGUGAACAUCUAAACCGAAAAGGUUACAAAAUGAAAAAAAAAAUAAAAAUAAAAAAUAAAAACUUCAGUUCUUCAAUCAAAACCAAACAGCAACUCAAAAUGUUAUCUAAAAUUGAACUUAACUCGGUCAAUUUUCUCAGAAACCAAACGGUCGGUAAAUGGCAAGAUUACUACCUCAAUCUCCAAACUUCAUCGGAAAAAUAAAAUUAAAGUUUAAUGUAAUAAACUUCAGCAGAAACGAAAAAUAAUUUUUCAAGAAAAAAAAGUAAAUAAAUUUUUAAAAUUAAACUCAAGAAAACUGAACUCAGUUUCCGAGAAAAUCUUAGAAAGCUGGAUAUUAUCAACAACCAAACAAUAAUAAAUGAUAAUUAUACCUUGUAAACCUCAUUCGAGCUCGAUUCAAACAACAGAACUUCGAAAAGAAAAUCUUGAAAACUUGAAACUAAUUAACAAAGCUCAAAAGCUCAACCCAUUAUUUUCUUUCUCUUUUUAUUUUUUUUCUAUUUUCUAGGGCUUCUUCAGAAAGAAAAAAAGGAAUUGAGAAGAAAACAGCUAUACUGGUUGGGAAAUAACAAAGGCUGAAGGCAGAACCAGUAAGUAACAUGGAUAUGUCAAAAACUUAAAAAAAAAAAAAAAAAUAUUGUACCGAGUUGGCGACCCAAUUUUGCUGAUGUGGAAAAUGUCGGCUCCAAAAUCUGCCAUGUCAGAUUUCACGUGAAAUCUAAUUCUGUUGAGCUGGCACGAGAUCAAAAGCCGUGCGUUAAGGCAGGCUUUGACGGAUCCAGGGCGAUCUUGGUCCCCAAAUGUGUUGCUGACGUGGACAAAGGCCGGCUUUGACAUGCCACGUGAUACUCCACAUCACGCGAUCAGGAAUCAGUGUGAUGGCGUGGACGUUGAUAUGGCUAUCAAUGGCUUGUAAUGGAUCUUUAGAAGAUCUCUUAGAUGGUGGGUGACACGUGGAGCUUCGUGAGACGAGUUAAAGAUGCUUCGUUCUUUCCCUGCCUUGAGAAGUAAAAACUGACACCUGGCACACUACUAACGACCGAGUGGCCGUGGGAAUUUAUAAUGACAGAAGUACCCUCAAUCGGGGCUUUUUUUACAAGGAAGCAGACAAGGGGUUGCCACGUCAGAAAAAAUAUCUGGCAAACUUUAGAAGAAGAGUUUAGAAGGCUCAGGCCCAUAUGGUUCGGUCAGUCUCGGAUCAAAUUUGGAUGGACAAAAAUCCGCGACCGAACUUUGAAUCUACGAAGAAAGUAAAUUUAAAUUUAUUUGCCAACUGAUAAAUAAAUUUAUUUUUAAAUUUAACAUUAUGUUUGAAAAUAAGAGGGAAGAAGAAAAAUAAAGGAGAAAGACGAGGGAGGAUUAUAUAAUUUUUAUUUCUUUUAUUAUUUUCAUCCUAGGUUUGGAUUAGCAGGAAAUUGAAAAAAGAAAAGAAAAUGUUAUAAUUAUAUAUUUACAGUUUUACCUUUUUUAAAUAGUUUAUAAAUUGGAGAAUAUCAAUAUUGAGAAACAAUUACCCCACAAAUUGUUAAUAUGCAUACUACUUGUUAACUACCAUUUAUGACAAAUAUUUGAAACUAACAUUUUUCGAAAAAACAAAAAAAAUCUAAAAAUAGAAAUCUCACACAUCACUACUAAAACACCAUGUUUAAUACGUAUUCCACUGCUUUUGAAUUCCUCUUUUCUUCUACCUUUGUUUUGUUCUCUCCUAUUGACAGUCUCAAAAUAUAAUAUUAACAACAAUGAAUAAUGAUUACAAGAGUAUUGUGAAUAGAAAAGCAUUAACCCUUUGCCAUGAGGGACUUAUAUACAUAGCUGAGAUGUGGUUAAUUGCAUGAGAGAUUUGGGGCAGAGAUAUUGGGGGUAUUAUCUCCUAAUAUCAAGCCCAUAUAUGCUCAUUUACAGACUGCUCCUUCAUUAGUAGGUUAAUUCCCUUUUGCUAAAUAUUAUUGGUGUCUAUUAGAUGUCCUCCCAUAAAUUUUGAGGACAUUUAUGUCUACGAUAGGCAUUUUCUUCAGUAUUUGCCUAAUGUUUUUCUUCUGAGCCUCAAAAAUUUGUUCAUUAUGGCUUUCUUCAAAUGGGUUGGGAAAUGCUCGGAUUUUGCAUGGGUUGUACCUAACUUGAAUGAUAUGUCUUUUUGGGAGGUUCCUUGAUUAUGUCCUUUUGAAUGAGCCAUCACUUUUAAGUGCUCGUUUCCUACAGAUAUGGGUCCAAUGGCGGUUAUGGUCGAGGAGACCUUCCUCAAUCAGAUUGAUAGCAAUCUCCUGAUGUUAAGUUUUGCAAAACAUUCUUAAUGUUGGUGUUUUCUCUAAACCAAAUAUCUUUCCUUUUUUACUCUGAAGAAUGGUUUCUUUGUCUUGAACAAAUGGUGAGCAGCCAUAAUGAUACACACGACCGCAUUAGGGAGUUGUGGGAGUUGCCAGUGACCUUGGAGUUGGAUCUGAAGGCCGAGCAAGCCAAGUAGAGAAGUUGGCGGAGACUGCAGAAUCAGGCUAUGGACUAUAGCAGGUUCAUAGGCGAGCUUGAGUACAAAACUUGUGUGAUCUUUAAGGACAUGGACGAUCAUAUAGACACCGUCUUCAGCCUGAAUGCCUAGGAGAAUCAAUCUUAAUGUUGGUGUUUUCUCUAAACCAAGUAUCUUCCUUUUCUUACCCUGAAGAAUGGUUUCUUUGUCUUGAACAAUUGGUGAACGCCCCUAAUGAUACACACCACCGCAUUAGGGAGUUGUGGGAGCUGCCGGUGACCUUGGAGGCAUAGAUCUGAAGGAUGAGCAAGCCAAGUAGAGAAGUUGGCAGAGACUGCAGAAUCAGGCUAUGGACUAUAGCAUGUUCAUGGGCGAGCUUGAGGACAAAACUAAUGUGAUCUUUAUGACAAUAAAUGAAAUAAACAAUAUUUUCCUCAAUAAUAUAUUCUGUAGAUUACAAGCCUAUUUAUAUAUACAUGAAUUUCAUCUAUACUAGACAAGUGUCGCUUAAAACCAAAUUUACUUUGACAAUUGUUCCUAAAGGUAAGGAGAGAUUAGCUGUGAUUUAAUUUGAUUGACAAUUAGUCUACAUAUUUAACUAACUUUGACAAUUAGUCUCCUUAAUUUGCUCACUUUGACAAUUAGUCUUCUUAUGUUACUCACUUUGACAUCCCCCCUUAAAUUGAUGAUGAUUCUCAGCAAGCAUCAAUUUGCUCACAAGAUAGGAAUGACGUGUAGAUGAAAUGGGUUUAGUAAAUAAAUCAGCAAGUUGGUUAUGAGAAGAUACAUGUGUGAGACGAAUGAACUUGUCACGAACCAAAUCACGAAUGUAGUGGCAAUCAACCUCAAUAUGUUUAGUUCGCUCAUGGUGAACUAGAUUUGUAGCAAUGCUGAUGGCACUUGUGUUAUCUCCAAAAAGCAUGAUAGGUUGGGUGCAAGUUAUUCCGAAAUCUGUGAGAAGCCGUUGGAACCAUACAAGUUCAGAGCUAACAGAUGACAUAGAUCGAUACUCCGCCUUAGUAGAAGAUUUUGAGACACGUUCUUGCUUUUUAUAUUUCUAAGAGAUAGGAGAAUUUCCCAAGAACACACACCAUCCUGUCGUAGAGCGUCGGGUAUCAACACAACCAGCAUAAUCUGCAUUAGCAUAUGCCAUAAGUGUGAGAGAGGAGUGAGAAGGAAAGAACAAUCCACGACCACAAGUUCCUUUUAAAUAUCGCAAAAUGCGAUGAAGAGCUGAAAUAUGAGGCUUUCUUGGUUGAGAGUCAAACUGACUGACAACUUGCACAGCAAAGGAAAUAUCCGGACACGUAGUGGUGAGAUAAAUAAGACUCCCUACUAAACGGCGAUACAAGGUAGGAUCGGACGGAGAUGUGCCUUCAUCACUUUUUAACUUUAAAUUUUGUUCCAUUGGAGUAGAGCAAAUCUUUUGAUCCGUGAGAUGGGCCAACUGGAGAAGGUCUUCAAUAUAUUUUCUUUGAGUUAGAAAAAUUCCAUCAGAUGUAUAUGAAACUUCUAAGCCAAGAAAGUACGUAAGAGUGCCAAGAUCUUUCAUAGAAAAUGAACUUGUGAGAAAUUGUUUGAACUCUGUAAUACCUUGAGAAUCACUACCAGUAAUGACCAUAUCAUCGACAUAGAGAAGUAAAAUAAUAAUUCCACCACUAGAUUGACGAGUAAAAAGUGAGUGAUCAUUAGAGCUCUGUAGAAAACCAGCGGAACAAACUGUAGAUCUAAAUUUUUCAAACCAUGCACGAGGUGCUUGUUUAAGACCAUACAGAGAUUUUCGAAGUUUGCAAACCAUAUUGGAACCAGCAUAAUCAUAUCCAGGAGGACAUUUCAUAUAAAUUGUUUCGUGCAAAUUGCCAUGAAGAAAUGCAUUUUUCACAUCCAAUUGAUGAAGGUGCCACUGCUUGAUGGAUGAUAUAGCAAGAAUAGUGCGAAUAGAAGUCAUUUUUGCCACAGGAGCAAAAGUUUCAUCAUAGUUAAUCCCAUAUUCUUGUUUAUAUCCUUGAGCCACAAAUCUGGCUUUGUAUCGAUCAAGAGUGCCAUCCGACUUCACUUUAAUAGUAUAGAUCCAUUUACUCCCAAUCAUAGACAUAUCAGAUGAUUGAGGAACUAAAUCCCAAGUAUGAUUCUCCUCAAGGGCCCUAAGUUUUUCUUCCAUUGCUUUUCUCCAACAUUCUUGUGUAAUAGCCUGGUUAUAAGUAGAAGGAAUCUGAAUAGAAUUUAAAUUGGCAAAGAAAGAGUAGAAUGGUGUAUACCUUGUGGAUGGUCUUCCAAAAUUGACACGAUUUGAUCGUCUCAAAGAUUGAGGAGGUUUUGUGGGAUCAACAAUGGAAGAGUUUGAGGCUGGACCUUCAAGAACAUGAUCAUUUGACGGCAAAGUGGACGUUAUCUCAUCAACAUUAAGGGUAGGAGGAUUAGGAGAAUCAACAAAAUCAUGUAAAAAGGAAACGGAAGAAUGAGUAACAUUUGGAUGGGGAGAGAAAGAAUAAAAAUAUACAUUUUCAAAGAAAGUAACAUGACGAGACACACGUAUGCGAUGACUCAAUGGAUCAUAACAAAUAUAUCCCUUUUGUUUAUCACUAUAACCAAUAAAUACACAUUUAGCAGAUUUAGCAGAUAACUUAGUUCUUUCAUGAGGAGGAAGCAAAACAAAACAAAUACAACCAAAAACACGAAGAUGGGUAUAAUCAGGUAAUCUAUUGUAAAGAGCAUAAUAUGGAGAUUGAUUACCAAUUAUAGGAGAAGGUUGUCGAUUUAUGAGAUAGAUAGCUGUAUGUAUAGCUUCAACCCAGAAUUUAGAUGGAAUAGAUGAUUCAAGUAAAAGUGUUCUNNNNNNNNNNNNNNNNNNNNNNNNNNNNNNNNNNNNNNNNNNNNNNNNNNNNNNNNNNNNNNNNNNNNNNNNNNNNNNNNNNNNNNNNNNNNNNNNNNNNNNNNNNNNNNNNNNNNNNNNNNNNNNNNNNNNNNNNNNNNNNNNNNNNNNNNNNNNNNNNNNNNNNNNNNNNNNNNNNNNNNNNNNNNNNNNNNNNNNNNNNNNNNNNNNNNNNNNNNNNNNNNNNNNNNNNNNNNNNNNNNNNNNNNNNNNNNNNNNNNNNNNNNNNNNNNNNNNNNNNNNNNNNNNNNNNNNNNNNGAGAUAGAACAGGGGAAGGGCCCCAUAGAUCACAGUGUAUUAGAUGAAAGGGUGCAUCAACUUUUGUAGUACUAAAAAGAAAUGGUAAUUUAGCAAAUUUUCCAAGGGCACAACUUUGACAAUUCUGAGAAAUAUCAGACUUAACAUGCAAUUUUUCUGGAAGAAAAUUGGAUUUGAACAUAAAUUCUAAUCGGGUAGUAUGCGGAUGACCAAGGCGACGAUGCCAUAGAUCCCAUGUGUUAUUGACAGAUACAGACGACAAGGCUGAAAGACCGAGAGGAUAAUUUGGUGUACCAGCUGAAACAAGUUGAAAUAAACGUCCACAUUUAUGCCCCUUCAUGAUCACUUGUCCCGUUUGAAGGUCCUGCACAUCACAACCAAUAGGGGAGAAUUUGAUCACACAAUUUUGGUCAGUUAAUUGUCCGAUAGAAAUGAGGUUGGCUAUUAAACGUGGGACAUAAAGAGUAUUAGGUAAACAAAUGGAUUUCUUAAACUCAGUGGAUAAACAAACUGUGCCAAUUCCUUUUAUGGGUAAUUUUCGUCCAUUGGCUGUGGUAAUUGAAUCAUUCGAAGAACAAGGCUUGAGUUUAGAAAAAAUAUAUUUUUGACCAGACAUAUGAUUAAAGGCAGCAGAGUCAAAGAACCAAGACACAGAUUUAAUUCCUUUACCUGAUAACCCAGCAACAGAGAAGGCAGAAGAAAGAGCACCUGGAAGAGCUGCUUGCACUAAAUCUUGAAUCAUCUUUUGAAUUGUGUCUGAUGAAAAUAGAGUUUCUUUAGUGUUGGCGUUGUCUCCAUCAUUACUCGUUGUAAGAAAUACUGAAUGACCAUGCUUAUUUUUCAAUAUGCGACAAUCCAAGAUAAUGUGUCCUGGCUUUUUGCAAUAGUUGCAUAUAUUGCGCUUAUGACAAUGAGACUGCACAUGUCCCAGUUUACCACAAUAUCGACAUUGAGUACCUGCUUUCCCUGUAGUCUUUUGUUUUGAGUAAUACUUACCACGUGAAGCCAUAAAGACUGCAUCUACUGAGUUGGUUUUGGUGUCUAGCUGAAUCUGAGUAUUCAGCCUUGUUUCUUCACGAACAAGGUCUCCAAGAGCAGACUCCAUACUCAAAUUUCCUCGAUUAAUUAGCGUAGCCCUGACAUUCUCAAAUUCUGGUCGAAGUUUCAUGAGGAAUUGCAUCACUCGUGCACGAUCGCGUUCCACCUUAAUUUCAGAAUAUGCAGUAUCAGAAAUAACACAAGAAGAUAUCAUAUCUUGUUCUGUCCAUAACUUUAAAAUUUCAAUAUAAAAGCCACAAAUAUCUCUAUCCUCUUGGGCGAUAUUAACAAUUUCAUAUUCAAGUUGAAAUUGCCUUGAUUGAUCCACUUGAGAAUAAAUUCCUUGAAGAUGUUUCCACAUUGUUGCUGCAGUUUUGAAUGAUCGGAGGCUGAGUGUAAUUUCAGGUUCCACAGAAUUUAGAAUCCAAGUGAUAACCUGAGCAUUUUUUGUUUUCCAUUGUAGCUUGGCUUCUGUGGUACCUUCUUCCUUUUGAGAUCCAUCAAGAAUACCAGAGUAUCCUUUCCCUUCAACAAAGAUUCGAAAUUGAAAUUGCCAAAGAGCAAAGUUGGUCCCAUUGAAUUUAACAGAAAUGGAUUCAGACUUCCCUCCAUUUUAUGAAUUUGGUUUGAAAAUUAAAAAAUUAGACAAUCAAAGAACAAGCCGAAAACAAAAAUCUCAAAAGAAUUAGCAAAGAUAAGAGGAAAAAUUAUACAGCUCUGAUACCAUGACAAUAAAUGAAAUAAACAAUAUUUUCUUCAAUAAUAUAUUCUGCAGAUUACAAGCCUACUUAUAUAUACAUGAAUUUCAUCUAUACUAUACAAGUGUAGCUUAAAACCAAAUUUACUUUGACAAUUGUUCCUAAAGGUAAGGAGAGAUUAGCUGUGAUUUAAUUUGAUUGACAAUUAGUCUGCGUAUUUAACUAACUUUGACAAUUAGUCUCCUUAAUUUUCUCACUUUGACAAUUAGUCUUCUUAUGUUGCUCACUUUGACACUUUAAGGACUUGGAUUGGUACAGUUAGGUAAAAAGAGUUGCAUACUAACUAACAACUAUAGUGUUUGACCUAAUGUUAAGCACUUAAAGUAACACUUUAAAAAAAAAGAGAAAAAUAUUCAAGUAAUUCUUUAUGUUAACAAAUAAUCAUAUUUUGUAAGAGAUUGUAAAUUUUUAUUAAGCCAACUUCAAGAUGUAAGUUUGGUUAGAAUAAGAAGACAAGCCAAUGAAGUUGCACAUAUACUAGCUAGGGAGUCUUCAUUUUAUACUUGUUUUCGUAUUUAGGAUACAAUCUCUAACUUAAUUUCACUUAAAAUAUCUUAGAUAUACAUGCUAUCACAUUGUCGUACCUCUGAAUUAAUUUAUCACAUAAACAUAUAUGAAAUUCAAUUUAGUGAACAAUAAAUAAAAAAUUUACCUUCUAACCGGCUACGAGGCUAACGUGACGAUCUUUUAAACCACUUUAAACUUUAUUAUCUGCCACAUCAACCACAUGAGUCCAAAUUUGUUCAGUUUCUCAGGCCAAGUUGUCUCUUCCUCUUUCGAUAUUCGAGCUAAAAGUAGACGUCUGGCUGUGGAAUCAGUAAAGUUACCGAUUGCUUCAUGGAUGCUUUGAGCCAUCAGAUUUUUGGUUCGGGCGGUUCUGUUGGUGGUUUUGGUUCUAGCUACGCUUACAAGAAUGCUUUCAAUUUCCCAUCUCGGUAAUUGUUCUAGUCUGAUAGAAACAAAAAAUUAUAAAAAUAUUUAAUAAAAAGAAAGGAAGAGUUUCUGCGUUAGAGUUUUCUACGUUCAAACAUUCAAACCCCCAUGAACCUUUCACUUCACUAUCCAAGUUCAUCUCAAAUGAAUCUUUUAACAGCAUCACCAAAUGGAAAGUCAAAGCCAUCGCUAAAAGCCUAAGAUGAGCUUUGCCUUGUGUAAUUUUCAUAAUAUAUUCCACAAACCCAACUUGAUAUUCUAACAAUUUCUAUUUUAACUCCGUAGCUCUUACAAUUUCCAUUAACGAUUUGAACACCUUGGCUGGCUGAUGUCUCCCCUUUCUCUCCAAGGUCACGUUUUAAGACUUGACGUAAAAUCUUGAAACACAAAUCUGCCGAUCUUAUAAUUAAAAUAUUAGAUUUAUUUAAUCUAAAAUUUAUCUUAAUAAAUUUUAGACAUAAAUCAAUUAAGUAAAUACUUAAUAAUUUAGGUAAAAUUGUAAUCAAAUAUAAAUUACAAUUUUGCCCUUAAUAUCCAAAACUAAUUUGUAAUCAAAUCAUACUGGAUUCGAUUUCUCGUUUUCACUUUCUUAUAUCCAUUCUUAUGUGUAUGACCUUCUAGGUUUCAAAUAUAUUGGCAACAAAAUAUAAAUUAAAUUGAUUAAUUAAUAUUUGAAGGUCAAGUACAUUAUUUAGCAACAUGUCAAGACUAUCCAAAUAUUUGAAAAGUCAAAGUGGAUUGACUUAACCUUUCAGUGCACGAUUUAUCAGUAUAAUUAAUAUCCCUUAAUCAUUAAUGUUCUGAUUUACUAAUUAGGCAUGAAGUAUGUCUGCUUUACUAAAUCAUGUUAGUUCUCUUAAUCUUAGCCAUUGAUCAGUUGAAUGAAAUUCCAAAUCUAAUUUGCUAAUUUCAUUCGACUUUGCGCAAUGAUUUCUUAAUCAAUACUAAUACAAUCAGAACAUUUUUCCUGAUUUACUUAGGGUGAUGAAUUCUCUCUUAAUUACACAAGUAUCUCCAUACAGUUCCUAUUAUGUCCAAUUAAUCAUUGCUUAUUAUUCAUGUAAUGAAUAAUGUGAACGAAGGAUCAAAACAUAAUCAUCCCCAUAUAAGAUAGUUUAGUAAUUUCAAUUCGAAUGAUCACUUACACAACCAUCACUUGAGUAUUCCAUAGACAUAUGUAACUCUCCAUAUGAAAUUCUCAUGCAAGUCAAUUCAGUGGACUUGUUUAAAUAACAAGCACCUACAUAUUAGUUCUAGAUAUCACAUAUAUCUCAGCUUAUGAGAACAACUACUUCCCUAAGGAAAGAACAUAAUAUGUACCAGUCUCAAUAGCUCUAAUCAUUGUCCAAGAAUGAGGAGAAUAUUGACCAGUGAUAGGUGUUAUUUUUAUAAUAUUUUUUUAUAUAGUUUUUGUUAGGAUUUUUAGUAGUUUUAAUCACUUUAAUUAGUUUUUAUUCAGUUUUAGUUAUGUUCUUGUUCAAAGCUUCCUUGAAACAUAACUCACUUGAUCUUGAAAAAAUUUGUAGGAUUUUGAACAGAAAAGAGCAAAGUAAAACAAAACUCUCAGAGAAUAGCACGCCCUAGCUGUGCAACUCAGCAUGCCCUGGCCGUGCAACUCAGCACGCCCGUGCAGGAUUCAAGGAAAAUCAGCUUGGAGACUUAGAGCCUAGCACUCCCGUGCCAUAAAAUGAUAUCGAUUUCAGGGUGUGCUCACCUGAGCACGGCCCGUGUUGCAUCCAUCCUGGUAACUCAAACCCUAGCACGCCCUAGUUGUGCAAACCAGCACGCCCGUGCCAUAGAUUUUCCUUAGAACUCAGACUCUAGCAUGCCCAGGCCGUGCAAACUGGCACACCCAUGCUGAAGAUCAAGUUUUGCUUUGAGCCGAGAAUGCCAACCUAGUCCCUACCACUUGCAUGGGCUCACAUGAGAUACUUUCCUGACGUGCCAAUCAAGUUUAAAUCCUAUUUAGACGCAUGGGAGAGUUCUAAUUGAGAAGAAAUUAAAAGCCUAAACACUCUCCUAUCUCCAAAACAUUUCAUACUCAAUAAAGACUAUAUUUCCUAAACGAAGUCGGAGUUUUCCCUAGAACAUCUAUAUAAAGAGAAGAUCCAUUCAUUGUCUCUGGUUCUGUUAUUUUUCUAUAUAGUUCUCUCUCUUGAAGACUUCAAGCAUUCAAGUUGGUGUCAAGAUUCAAGGAAGCUGCUCAAGUUAAUCGUUGACUAGUUUUUAUUUCUAAACUAUCUUUUUGUUUAUUAUUCUUUAUGGAAUUAUUUACAAAUUUAGCUGAGUUCUAUUUAAUUACUAUGUCGAACUAAACUUUCUUACUAGGGAUUUGAUGUAGCUUAAUUUCGAUUUCAAUUUAUAAUAUUAGAUUUGCUUUUCUUUGUUCAAAGUAUAAUUUAUUAUUGAACUUAAUGCUUCCAGGCAGAGUUUUUCCCUGGAUUGAUUUAUUUCAUUAAUCACUAUCGAGAGAAGGAUUUUUGAUAUGAAAAAGGUAAUAAAUUAUAUGAGAAUAAUAACUUGAUGCGGAAGCUAUAUGAUUUGACUCAUGUGGGGUUUUCAUAAGUUAAUGACCUUAGGUUAUGAAUUCAUAAACAAACCAUAAAACUUAAUAAUUUAAUUCAUAUUUAAUUGCACUAUUGGAAGAUAGGUAAUUAAACCUGGUUAAAAUAACUAACAAUACAUCGGAAGAGCUUGUUAGUAAUUUUAGGGUUGUUUCUCCUACUUGAACAAUUAAAACUGAUUAACAAACUAAUAAAAUAAAUAGGAUAGAAUUAAGUAAAGUCAAAAUCCCUAGUAAUUUUUAAUCCUUGGUUUCUUUUCUUCGAAUUGUCUUACUUGAUUUCUUUUAUUUCUCUUUUACGCAUUUGGAAUUUUGUUAAAAUAAUUCUCCUUAUUGUCAUCUAAAUAAUAGUAAGUUAAUAAAAUUUUGGUACUUGGUAUGCAAUCCUUAUGGAACAAUAUUUUGCUCACUCUUUAUUACUUGUCGCGAUUUCAUACACUUGCGAAAAAACCUGUCAACCAGAAAUAUUUAGAUACAUUACUUCAAUGCAAAAAUAAAACUCAUAAUUAUAACCACAUCAUAAUUUAUUUUACAAAGCAGUAUUGUCUUGUGGACUGCAUCUUUUACCAAGAUUCAAACAAUAGAAUAUAACAAAUAAGUAAAUGCCUUUUUUAUUAAUAAUAAAAUAUUUAUUACAUGAAAUAUUGUAUCUAAAAUAUAACCAAUCAAAUUAGCUUUAGGAUAUAUAACUAAUAUGUAACUGGACUAGAUGUUGACAAUCUGUGAAUAUAAUUCUCGGUUUCUGCGUGUGAUCUUCCACCUAUAAAAGAGAAGAACGAAUUGCGACAACCUCUACCAUAGUCAGAUCGUCAUAAGUGGCCAGACAAUGCUUUAAGGAAAUGGCCUUCUUGAUCUUCAAAAUUUGUACCGAAACCUGAUGAUGAAAAAGAUUAAAAUGGUGAAAAACCUGAUAUUAGUGUUCUAAUUUUUUAUUAUUAUUUAACUCAUUUUUAUUUGAAAAUAUAAAAUAAUAAAAUUUUCCAAAAGAGAAAAAUAAAGAGUCAAAAUUUAAACUUUGGCUUUGUUUAAACUUAUAUAUAUAUAUAUAUAUAUAUAUAUAUAUAUAUAUAUAUAUCAUUCANNNNNNNNNNNNNNNNNNNNNNNNNNNNNNNNNNNNNNNNNNNNNNNNNNNNNNNNNNNNNNNNNNNNNNNNNNNNNNNNNNNNNNNNNNNNNNNNNNNNNNNNNNNNNNNNNNNNNNNNNNNNNNNNNNNNNNNNNNNNNNNNNNNNNNNNNNNNNNNNNNNNNNNNNNNNNNNNNNNNNNNNNNNNNNNNNNNNNNNNNNNNNNNNNNNNNNNNNNNNNNNNNNNNNNNNNNNNNNNNNNNNNNNNNNNNNNNNNNNNNNNNNNNNNNNNNNNNNNNNNNNNNNNNNNNNNNNNNNNNNNNNNNNNNNNNNNNNNNNNNNNNNNNNNNNNNNNNNNNNNNNNNNNNNNNNNNNNNNNNNNNNNNNNNNNNNNNNNNNNNNNNNNNNNNNNNNNNNNNNNNNNNNNNNNNNNNNNNNNNNNNNNNNNNNNNNNNNNNNNNNNNNNNNNNNNNNNNNNNNNNNNNNNNNNNNNNNNNNNNNNNNNNNNNNNNNNNNNNNNNNNNNNNNNNNNNNNNNNNNNNNNNNNNNNNNNNNNNNNNNNNNNNNNNNNNNNNNNNNNNNNNNNNNNNNNNNNNNNNNNNNNNNNNNNNNNNNNNNNNNNNNNNNNNNNNNNNNNNNNNNNNNNNNNNNNNNNNAUAUAUAUAUAUAUAUAUAUAUAUAUAUAUUAAUUGUGCUUUCACGCUAUGUGCUGCGGCCAUAUGAACAUUUUGUUCUUGAUGAGCCGGCAUAUGAAAGUAUACAUUCUUUUUAGUAUGGUAGAGUUAUCAUUUUUCGGAUAUCAAGUGUAUCAAAAUUUAACAAGAAUGUGUUAUCAAUAUAUAGCUCAUUAAAAAAAAUAAAAUUAUGGCGCAGGUGACAUGAUUUUAGAAGAAUUGAAUACAUUAUAGUAUUUAGAUUCUAUCUAUGUAGAAAAAUAAUUUAUCUAGAAAGUAUUUUUCGAAUUUUCUAAUAUUUGAAGCACUCAAAAUAUAAUUUCCAUAAUAUUUUAUUAUUAGAGAAAAAUUAAUUUAAAAUGUUUUAUGCUAAUCAGUGUAGUCUGAUUGGUCUUUCUACUUAUGAAAGAAGAUGUAAGGAGUGAGUUCGAGUCCUCUUCACCACAAAAAAGGAGGACUGCCCCCUGCUGUGUACCUCACAAUGUUAUUUGAGUCAAUUGGACCUUCCAUGUAUAAAAAAAAUCAUAAAUAUUUUAUUUAUUAGGUAUUUAUAAAUUCAAGAUAGAACAAAAAAAAUCCAAAGCUGUGAGUUUGAAUCCUAAAAUUAUAUAAUUAUGUCUUCAAAUAUUAUUGGAGAUGGCAAAUAAUUUUUGAUUAUGGCCACAGUAGCAUGUAGGUCCAUUUGGCUAGAAGAAAGAGCAGUUUUUUUUUUUUUUGAAUACCAAUUAAUAAGUUAUUGGAUUCGACGAUUAAGAAGUGAUUAAUAUAUUCGAUUUCUGAAUAAUUAAAGGGUAUUUGAGAUGAAUUUUUGAAUAUUAAAUAUGAAUUAACAACUUAUGUAGCAAAAUAAUUAAGUGAUACCAAGAGUUAAUUGCUAAAUGAUUAAGAAGUAAUACAUAGUGUUAAUUUAUAAUUGUAGGGGUAAUUUUAUCGUUUCAUUAAUAACUUAGCUUUCAAAUUUAAAUAAAUAACAUAUUGGUUCAUUCCAAACACUUAUUUCAUUCUUGUUUGACUGGAUAAGUAGAAGGUCUAAGAAGCUGUUAAUAAAAUUUUAAGAAUAAAAAUUUUUGUUGCAUACAAUAAAACCAAAUAUAAUUUUUUUUUAUUUAAUACUUACACGAGGUAUCUAUAUCUAUAAACCUGAUUAAUUUCUGCUUGCCUUUAGAGGUAAAAGGGUUAGUUUGAAAGAGUUCGCAUUGCGGAAGAUUGAAUACACGAACAAAGAUAUAAAUUUAUUUAUUAUUUAAUAAACAAAUAUAUAUUUUUAACAUAAUAAAUGCUAUUUAUUUAAAUAUAUACUGUAAGAGGGUUUUAUAUAUGGCUAGCAUGAGAUAUGGUGUCAUUUCGUUAAACUUUAAAGCGGCAUUUCUGUGUCUUCUUUCUAAGGGGAGCAGGGUCUAUAGUGUCAUCUCAUGACCGUAAAAGGCCAUUUUUGUCUUUUUAUCAAAUAAAUAAUUUUUAAUUAAUUUUAAAAAAGAAAAACUUAUUUCAGAAAGAAAAAAAGAACUAAAAAGAAACUUUUUCAUUCAAACAAAAUAUAAUUUGCAUUGUGCGAGUAUAAGUAGUCUAUAAGUUUAUUUUAUUGUUCUUAACCAAAUAAAUUGAAGCGCCAAUAAGACAAAACAAACGAAGGGAAUUUCUUUUUUAUUUUUUAAUUAUUUCGUCAUUUAGUUAUCAAUAUUCAAUAUUUUAUAAAAAUUCACUUUCUUAGUAGACUAGAUUUUCAAGGAAAUAAUUUUAGAAAUGUUUUUUUUUUUUUGAGAAUAAAUAAUUUUAGAAAUAUUAAAUUAUCAUUUUGUGUAGAAAUAAAAAUAUUAUUAGAGAAUUAAUUAUAAUUAAUGCAUUUAUAUUUAAAAUUUUUUAAUUUCAAUAUUAUUAGAUAGUAUAAAAUUUCUACAUCAAUCAGAAUCUUAAUUUUUCAAAUCAAAUUUUUUUAUAAAUCAAUUUUUUUAUGAGAUUUAAACAGCCAAACGUCUUAGAGAGUAAAAUUAGAACAUGAAAAUUGUAUUUUUUUUUUUUCAUUUUCCUUUGGUAAAUUAAAAUUUACUACAUCCAAAAUUAAAGUGAAAAGUUUUAAUUCUAAAUAGAAAUUUUGUAUCCCCACCUAUAAAUGGAAAUACUUUUCUUAUUUUUGGAGAAUUAAAUAUAGAGAUGUAAUUAAUUUAACAGAUAUAAAAUGAAAUGACUCUCAUUCGAAUUUCAUUUUAAAAUAUUUUAAAAUUUAAAAUUUUAUUUUAUUCUCUUCCAAAUAUUUUUUUGAAGUUUUUAAAACUUCAUUCUACACUAUUUUAUGAAAAUUCAGCUUCAAAAUUGAUAAUUUUAAAUUUGCCAACUUUAAAUAUAAAUCUAGUCUAUUAUCAUAUAUUUAAGAUAUAAAUUUUUAAAUUUUAAUAAAGAAAUAAUUAAUAUAUUUAUUCAAAAUUAAGUAUAAAUACAUGAAAAAUAUAAUUAAAUUGAAAAGUAACAACAAAUUAAUAUUUCAUAUAAUUAAAAAUUUAAGCUCAUUGAUAAAAAAAAUAGGUUAAAACUUCACUCGACAACUUUUUAUUUAAUUAAUAAUGAAGUAAUAAUAAAUAAAAAAAACAGAAAGUCGGCACGAUAUGAAAUAAAUAUAAUAAAACUCAAAAAUAAGAAUUAGAAAGAGAAAUAAAAAAAUAAAAGUAAAAAAUAGAUCAAGAGAACAAAUCACAUAAAAAAUUUAAAAGUUUCAAAGUUUGAUUAUUAAAAAUGAAAUUUUCUUGUCAAGUACAACAUUUCUAAGAUCACUUAAUAUAAUAAUAAAAAAGUUCAAUGAGAAACAAGCAAAAUCUGAUUUUAUAAAGGUUUUUUUUUUUUUUUUUGAUUUUCAUUCCUAUACUAAUUGCUAAUUAGGACUAAAAUAUUUCAUUAAAUUAUGCAGUUUUAAAAUGGAAUAUUGUUUUUUUUUUUAAUAUCAAAAUCUAAAAAUAUUUUACUCAUGUUUAAUAUUUUAUUAUUAAAAUAUAUAAUUAAAACUAAAAAUAAAAAAUAAAAGGAUAUGAAAUUCCAUAUUCUACAUGGAAUUUUCUAUUAUGUUUUCCAUAUUCUAUAUACCAAAAUUUUAAAAGUACAUUCCAUUUAAUUCCAUAUUCUAGAUUUCCUAUGUUUUAAAAAUCGGAUCAGUCAUGACUUGAUGAAUUUAGGAAUCUGAUAAAUUGAAGGGUCCAACUGAGUUCAAUACGAUCCAAUUUAAUUUUUAUAUAUAAUAUUUUUAAAUAUAUAUUUUUAAAUAAAAUUGAAAAAGUAAGAUUGAUAAAUACUAAAUAACUUUUACAAAAAGAAUAAAAAAUAACUAAAUUUAAUAUUAAAUAAAAAAAUAAUUAAUUUCCAUAAAAUAUAUAAGAAGGAUAUUGGGUUUACGAAUGAAGACGUCAAGAAGUUAAAAAAAUCAAUGAUUAAUAAAGAGGUUCAGAUUUUUAAUCCAACCAUAAUAAUUAGUCAUCUUAGUUCGUUUACUUUUAUCCAGUUUUUAUUUUUAUUUUUAUUUUUUUUGCCCUUGUUCUCCUUAUCCAACUCGGAUCAGAUUAUAAUUCAAUUUUACGUUAAAUUGAUUGAAAUAACCGGUUUGGUUCGAUUUUCAGAACCAUGCAAAAUGCAAUUCCAAAUCAAUUUAGCUCUUUUAAUUUUACAAUCAUGGAGUUCGGUGUGAAACUACGCAAAUGCAAAUGUGAAAGGGAGAAAAGUGAAUUUAAGUGAGAAGGAAUAAAGGUACAAGCAGAAGAAUAAAUUUUUUUUAGAAAAUAUUUUUUAUUAAUAUUUAACGGUUGAAAUGUCAUUUUUUUUAUGAAACAAAUAAUUUAAUAAGUUAAUAAUAUAAGAAUGUUCAAAACAGGGAUUCAUAUAAUUAAUCUCAGCUAGUUUGGAACUUAAAAACUUGAAUUGAGUAGCAUGAAUUUGUAACUAAGUGAAAAUUAAAGUGAUAAAUAUCCAUGAGGAUUGGAUGACCUCAUUGCACUAAAAGGUGUGAGGGGAUUCUAGAUUUAAAGCUCCCGGCCGAUAAGAGUUUUCAUUAAUUAUAAAAAGUCAUAGUUCACAAUGUUAUUAAAGUCAAUCAAUGAGUAUUAGAAUGAGUUGUUCAACAUUUUUCUCCCUUAAGUAACUUAAUGGGCUAACUUAGUGCGAACAUUAUUUAAUUCUAAUCGAGUGGACUAAUUAAGCAUGUAGAUAUAGAGAAAAGACUAAUUAAUUCUUGUCUCUCGUGACAACCCUUCCCUCCUUUUCUCUUCUUUUUAUAACUUUUAUAUUUUUUUCAAUAAAUAUCACAUUUAUAUGUGUUAUGGCACAUAUGAGUAUAGUUCAUAUUUUUUAUUUAUUUUUCUAUUGCUUUUUAUAUUUUAUUUUUAGUGAUUUAUCUUCAUCUUGCAUCGACUUUGCAAGGAAAUGCAACUAGUGCAUAUUCUAGUGGGUUGUAUUCUAUUUCUUUUUUUUUUUUUUUUUUUAUGUAUAUGAAACUUUAUACUUUAUGUUGCUUGAAUAGCUACCUUUAAGUUCUUUUCUUCUUCUUUUUUUGUUUUUUGACCCUAUUUUUUUAUGUUCACUGAAUUGGUUGAUUCCUUAUAAAUGUUAAAAAGAGAUUGCAACUUGUGAGGUGCUCAUUCUGCACCUUACAGAAUAAUCUUUACAUCUUAUGCCUUGUUUGUGGCCUUUGGCUCUUUAUUUUUAUUUUUAUUUUUUGUCUUAUCCUUUUCCAUUUAACUUUAUCCGUACUAACUUAUUUAACUACAAUUUUACCAUUUAACAAAAUUAAUGUCUCACUUUAUUUUUUUUUCCUUUUCAUUUUUCUCAAAUUAAAACUAUAAAUAAAUUGAAUUCAGUUCAACUUGAUUUGAAUUUGAAAAACAUAAUUCAAAUUCAGCUCAUUUACAAUUUAUAAUUAAAAAAAUUUCUUUACAAGUUCAAUCUAAAAUUUGAGUUUGAAAAACACUACACUAAGUGUCAAAAAAAAAAAAAAGGCAAAAUUUAAAAAUAAUGAUGAUGCCAUAAUCUUAAACAAUUUGCAAUAAUAUCUAUAUCUCUUUAUUUUUUUUUAAAAAAAAUAAUAAUAAUUAAAAAGAGAGAAUGCAACUUGUGAGGUGGUGAUUUUUCACCUUGCAAAAUAAUAUUUGCAUCUUAUGCCUUUUUUGUGGCCUUUUCUUAUCCCUUCCCUAUAAAAAAGCACGGUGUGACAUUUGUUGUGUCCUGUUAAGUUUGUCAUUUACAACUUCAUCUUUAUCCACUUUGGAUUAAGUUUAUUCUAUCUUAUAUUAGAUUGGCAAGACUCGCAUGAUUUUAUCUUACAGGUGAAAUGGAAAACUUUUUAAGAGAUUGCUCAUCCUAUGAUUUCCAUUAAGCGAGCAUGCUUAACUCAGGAAUUCUUUCAACUCUUCAGGUCAUUACACUAAAAGGCGUUUCUGAUGAUUAAUUUCCCCAUUUUCAAUAUAUGAUUCGAUUAAUUUCUGUAUCUUGUAUUUCUCUACUCAUAGUUAGUCUGUCAUCCAAAGCUAGUUAGGAGUUUUACUCUACUCGCCCUUUUAAGAUUGGUUUACCAAAUCGGGAUGUCACAAUUUUAAGAUUUAAUCUCUCACAUCCAUUUAUCUUUGUUGAUUAUUUACAAACUAUCUUAUAUAAAUAAAGUCCUAUUCAUCAAUUUCAUUUCAACACUUUUAAAGAUGCAAUUUUAUUAUGAAUUGACAUUUGUAAUUUGAAUAUUCUAAACUUCACGAUAUAUUUACAAUUGAACUCUAAAAGCAAAUUAAAUGCAACUACACUCUACAAGCAAAUUAAAGCAUUCUGAACUUAUAGUACACUAAAAAGGAAAUUAAGUUUAGGUUAUUAUUUUAAAAUAAUGUAAAAACGAGCGCUAUAAAUAACCUUGAAUUAAGCUAACUCAAGUAUAGUUAAAUGUAAAAUACAUCACUUGAACUGAAAGAGAAGCAAGUGCUAUAACUCAAUAAGGAAAUCAAACUCAACUGUCUGUACAAUAAAUAAGAAAAUUAAGAUUUGUUCUUUGGUUUUAAAACUGAACCAAUUUCAAGAAAUAAAAAUAAUGAGUUUCACACUAAUCCACAUUUAUUAUUAUGUGAUUUCUUUGCAGCCAUUGACUGUUAUUCUUUAGUUUCCUAUAAGGAAGGGAGAGAUAAUAAGAUUGAGAAAAAAAGAGGCAAAGUAGUCGAGUCUUUCUCUUAAUAAAAUUUUCUUUUUUUAUAUAUAUUUUAGAUCGUGUUUGAUAAUAGUUUUUUAAGUAGCUUUUAGUAUUUAAAAUAACAUUUUGUGAAAUGUUAACUCAUGUAAUGUGUAGUUUUUUAGCAUUUUAUCAAAAGCUACUCGAAUAGCUAACAGCUAAACCUGUUUUAAAACAACUAACAAUUAUCAAAAUAGCUAAUUUUGCCAAUAGAUAUUUAAUCAAGUUUAAGUUAGUUAUGGUGUCUAUUUUUAUAUUAUUAAAUCAAAAUUUUUAAAUUAAUUUAUUUAUAGGAUGCAAUUAUAAUAGGUUAAUUUUGAAAAUUUCAUUGUAAAAUUGAUAAAUAGGCUUAUCUUCUAAUUAAGGUUUCAAAAUUUUCAAAAUAAAUAAAAUCCCAUUAAUUUAUCUAUGCGCUGUUGUUGUUGGACCAACUAAUAUUCUCUAAACGUGCGAUUCCUACUACUUUUUUUGUUGUUUUUUUCCGUUGGAAUCUUCUUAAUAGCCACAUAUAGAAGGUUUAUCCGCUUUUCUCGUUCCCUUGCUGGCACUCCUUCUAGCACUGUGAUGUGACACAUAUUAGAGUCAGCGUUUCAUCUUCGAACGAUCAGUAUAAAUAAAAAAAAAAAUGGAAUUUUUAUAUAAAACAAAUAGAUUCAAACGGGUGUCUUGAAAAUCGACUUUUUAUAAGGCAUCAAAUACUUGUUUAAAAAGUUAUGGUUCAAAAAUUUUCAUAAUAAAUAAAAGGUUCAAAAAUUAUUUCAUAACUAUAAUUAAUUAAUUAAUUAAAAAUAGUUUGAAAAAUAAUUAUAUAUUUAUAAUUAUAUCAGUAAUUUUUCAUUAUAAAAUUUAUUUAUGAAUAUAUUUUAUUAGUUUUUACAAAUAAUUAUAAAAAGUUUAAAAAGUAAAAAAAGAAAAAUCUGAUUGAACAGAGUUGAUAUGAUCUAACUAACCAAUGAGGACAAUAGCCGGAUGUAAAACCUCAUAGAUUACUUACAAAAAGACAUCCAUCCAAAAGAUCGACAGGAAGCCAUCAAGCUAAGCAGAAAAGCAUUCAAUUAUAGCCUACAAAAUGGAGUUUUAUAUAGAAGAUCUAAACCUCACCCCUAGGCCAGAUGUCUAACUGAAGCAAAAAGUGAAUACAUCAUCAAAGAAACUCAUGAAGGGUAUUGUGGUUCUCACGAGGCUCGGAUGCUACCAUCCGGAAAAUCUUCUUAUUAGGUUAUUAUUGGCCUACAAUAAGAAAGGAUGUGAGGGAUUUCGUCCGAAACUGUGCAAUCUGCCAGAAGUACGAUCGAGUGCCAAGAAAACCUGCUGCACUCCUUUAACCAUUCAGCUCAGCCUGACCUUUUUCCCAAUAGGGCAUAGACAUCUUGGGUCCUUUCCCGUGACUACUGGACAGAGGAAGUUUGUGGUAGUCAUUAUCGACCAUUUCUCAAAAUGGGUGAAGGCUGAAGCACUGAGCACUAUAACCCUAGCCCGGGUCAUCAGCUUCUUUCGAGACAAUAUUAUAUUCAGGUACGAAAUUGUAAAUAAACUUGUUACUGACAAUGGUAAACAAUUCGAUUCUGUAGUUUUCAAGUCCUUUUGCUCCGAUUGGAAUAUUGAACUACACUUUACUUUAGUCGGCCAUCCCCAAACUAACGGGCUCACUAAAGUGACGAACAGAACCUUACUCCAAGGUUUAAAGAAAAGGCUAGAUGGAGAGAAGGCGAUCUGAAUGGGCAGAGGAACUCUACAGCGUACUAUGGGCUUAUAGAAUAACACCUAGACAAACAAAUAGAGAAACCUUGUUCUCCUUAUUGUAUAGAGUCGAGGAUAUAAUCCUUGUGGAGAUAGGAAUCUCGAGUUGAAGAACACAGAACUUCAACGAGCAAAGCAGCAAUGAAAACCUAAGAAUAAACUUAGAUCUGGCCAAGAAAAAAGGGAUGAGACUGCAAUCCAGAUUGAAGCUUGACGCUAGAAAAUGAGGAGGUACCAUAAUCAGAAAGUCAAUAGUAGGAACUUUAAAGUAGGCGACCAAGUUUGGUGAAAAGGCGAGAUAACUAAAGGCUCAGCAGGAAUAGGGAAACUCGAACAGAAAUGGGAAGGACCCUACGAGGUCAUAAAACAAAUAGGCCCUAUAUAAGCUUAGAAAGCCUCAUAGAGUGGAACUUCCCCGAACAUGGAAUGCGGAUAACUUGAAAAAAAUGCUAACAUACUUGUAACUUAGUUCUAGAAAAAAUAAAUAAAUGAAAAACUCAAGUUUUUCACUAAACAUAUACAGCCUUAGGACAAGGAUGUAUCAGGGUAGAUGGGAUGGACAUGCCAAUCUAGGGUAAGAGAUGGCUAUAUGUGUUAAGUUUUUCUUGAGAUUUUUCAUAAACAAAAACUCUCCAUACUCCCCACUGACCUACGGACUUAAGCAAUCAUUGUUGAGCUUUAAAAUAAGCUCCCUACCUCAUAGACUUAAGCAGUCCUGGCCGAGCUUCAAAAUAAGCUCCUAACUUACGGACUUGAGCAAUCUAGGUCGAGCUUCAAAACGAGCUCCCUGACUCAUGGACUUAAGCAGUCCUAGUGAGUUUCAAAAUGAGCUCUCUGACUCGAGGACUUAAACAGUCCUCGCCGAGGUUCAAAACAAGCUCUCUAGCUUAAAGGCUGAAGCAGUCCUGGCCGAGCUUCAAAAUAAGCUCCCUACCUCAUAGACUUAAGCAGUUAAGGCCAAGCUUCAAAGUAAGCUCCCUGACUUACGGGCUUAAGCAGUCUUGGCCGAGCUUUAAAUAAGCUCCCUAACUUACGGACUUAAGUCAUCCUGGUCGAGCUUCAAAAUAAGCUCCCUACCUCAAGGACUUAAGUAAUCUAGGCCGAGCUUCAAAAUAAGCUCCCUGACUCAUGGACUUAAGUAGUCCUGGCCAAGCUUCAAAAUGAGUUCUCUGACUCGAGGACUCAAAUAGUCUUAGCUAAGCUUCAAAACAAGCGCCUUGUCUCAUAAACUUAAGCAGUCCUGGCCAAGCUUCAAAACAAGCUCUCUGGCUCAAGGGUUGUAGGAGUCCUAGCCGAGCUUCAAAGUAAACUCCCUAACUUACAAACUUAAGCAGUCCAAGCCGAGCUUCAAAAUAAGCUCCCUACCUCAAGGACUUAAGCAGUCUAGGCUGAGCUUCAAAAUAAGCUCCAUGACUCAUGGACUUAAGUAGUCCUGGCCGAGCUUCAAAAGGACUUAAGUAAUCCUAGCUAAGCUUCAAAAUAAGCUCCCUGACUCAUAGACUUAAGCAGUCUCGGCCGAGCUUCAAAAUGAGCUUCCUAAAUCAAGGACUUAAGUAGUCCUAGCCAAGCUUUAAAAUAAGUUCUCUGGCUCAAGUCUUGGCCGAGCUUCAAAAUAAGGUCCCUACCUCAUAGACUUAAGCAAUCUAGGCUGAGCUUCAAAGUAAUCUCCCUAACUUAUGGACUUAUAUAAUCCUUGCUGAGCUUCAAAAUAAGCUCCCUGACUUACGGACUUAAGCAAUCCUAGCCAAACUUCAAAGAGCUCUCCAACACACCCAACUUAAAUUAAUUCCAAGUAUAGCAAACCAAACACUUAACUUUUAUGAGAGCACAAAAAGGUCAAGCAAAGCAAGGAAAAAUUGAUUGGAAUUGAAAUGAAUAUUGUCUCCAUUAAAAAUCAUCCAAAAGGAGUAUAACUUAACACAUUUCUUUUUUACAAAGUUAGCCUACUAAACUAAAAGAGAUGUCUACACAAAAAGGGAUACACUAAAAAGUUCCUAAGCUUGUUCGAUCUCAUUCUAAGCAAUCGGAGGAUCUCUGGCAACUGUGAUCUCCCGAAAUUCUUAGGAGAGACCUGCAUGAGCAUCUAGAGUCUCCUCUAAGUUAUCCUCUGGCUCGUACGGAGAUGAGUCUUCACAAACCUCCUCCUCUCAAGUCACUGUAAUAGUAGGAGCUUCCUUCUCGUCUUCGGGGUAUAUGCUGUUAAUAAAUGUCCAAUCCUUAUCAGGUUCCCAAGCAGACAGUUUGGCAAUAAUUUAUUUUUGAAGAUUCAGACACACUUAAGCAAGGCUCUCUUCAUUUCCCACCUCCUCCUCUUGUAAGCUCGCUUCUAGCUAGUUAACUUGAGCCUCCAGCUCGCCAAUUCGAAGCGCUUGCUCCUUAUUCUUGGCUUCGAGCUCACUACGCUCACGUUUCAAAGCUCUUAUUUCUACCUGAUGUUUGCAAUCAGACUCAGUAAGAGUCCAUUUUCCCAGCUGGGUGCAAUCAUUCAACUACACCUUCUCAACCUCCAUCUCAGCAAUUUUACCUUUCAGAGUUCGAGCUCUCUGAUAAGACACGGUCAUAGCAUUGAUAGCCUACAAAAGAAAGGAAAAACUCGGUAAAGAACUACCUGACCCGAGCUUGUGAGGUAAGGUCAAAAGCGUGAACUCAUUUGAAAAAGAGCUUGAUUAACUGUAUCCUGGAGGCUCUCCUCAUCCAGAUGGUCAAUAGACUCCCGAUCUUUGGAAAAUAGACAAUAUCGAGUGAUCUCAUGGCUCGAUAAAUCCUCUUGAAGUGAGGCAUGCAACCCAUACUUAGUCAAAAAAUAGUUUCUUGGAUCUUGGGGAUUUUUAUAAUAUUCGCCUGCAGUUGCACUUGAAGAAUCCUCUCGAGGUCUUUUAUUCCUUUUCCCUUCCAUAUGUAUGGAAGCUAUGACAGCCUCAUCUCCACCUACAGGAAUCGGCUCUAACACGAUAAGUUCGGGCUGUCUUUUCUUGGACUAAACUACUUUUGGCGAAGAACUCUCCCCCUUUUUUCUUCAUUUGUUCAGCUAUCUUCUCGAACUUCAACUUUCAAGGAGCCAUGUCUGCACACACAAAAAAUGUAGAAAUUAAAAUAGGAUAAUGAAGUUCAAUCAUAAGACAAUAAGACUAUUACCAGGAGAGGGCACAUUUAGUCUCAAGGGGCCACUAGGAGAGAAGACAUGGUAUGCCCGCUUAAUAACCUCCUUCAAACUCAAGGUCUUUGAGUCGCGACCCUUAAUAAGAGCUACACAUAUAUAUCUGCUCUUCCUCAGAGAGUUUGCCCCUUGGCUUGAAUUUAGAGGGCUCGAUAGACCAUUUAUUUGGGAUGCCAAAACCUCCUUUAUGCUUGACGAUAAAGAAUUUAUGCUUCCACCUUUUUGAGGAAGAGAUCAUCCCUCGUUUAUGAAGAACAUUAUAAUUUGUUCGAGCUUGCAAAAAGUAAAAGUCCUCCCUUCCCCGAUCUUGCAGCAUGUAUAGGGCAUGAAUGGCCCGAGUUGUAAGCUGUGUUCCAUCUUGACAAGCUAGUUUGGUAAGCUCGCACAUGAUCCUCAAACUGUUUGGGUGCAUUUGGCUUAUAGUUAGGUGAUAUUCAUUGCAGAAAGAUAUUAGUGACUCGCUCAAGGGAAGUCUCACCCUUGAACGAAAAUCUUCAGCAUAAAGCAUGAGCGACUCGCUGUCUAAAGCUUCAUCUGCUCGCAUGUACUUAGAAGGAUGAACUAAGUUAUACUCUGAAGGUAUGUUAUACAUGUAGGAGACAUUAAGAAGCUCGCUCUCAUCUAUACUCGAAGGUACUUCCUUCGUUUUUAUAUUCGCUUUCCUAACCUUAUCAUUAGAUCGCCCAUCCUCGUGAAGUUCUGUAUCCUCUUGGUCAGUAGAAACACUAUCACUAUUCUCAACUAAUAUUUGCACCUCCUCGCUAGCCGAGCUCAUAGUGGAAGAAUUAAAAGAUGGUUAAAAGAGAUGAGAUUGAAUGUUACUUACCAGAAACGAAGGCGAAGAGAAAUCCUAAUGAGAGAAAACUUUUAGAGAGAGAUGCUCUGGAGGCGAGAAAAUCUUAGAAAUGAAAAGUGAAAGGGAUCUUGAGCAUUUUUAUAGGCCAAGGGCGAGUAAACCAAAAGGCACCGACCAACCGAAAAGUCGCCUCAUCAAAGCAAGGCCCUUUUUUCUUAGUAUUUACACUUAACCUAGAAAACAUAGGCCCACCUUUUGCAUUUCCCCAUAAAUAUAUAUAUUUGUGUCCAAAUUUGGUCAUUUAUGUCCAAAAUUUGAUAUAUAUAUAUAUAUAUAUAUAUAUAUAUAUAUAUAUAUAUCAAAUUUUGGACAUAAAUGACCAAAUUUGGACACAAAUAUAUAUAUUUAUGGGGAAAUGCAAAAGGUGGGCCUAUGUUUUCUAGGUUAAGUGUAAAUACUAAGAAAAAAGGGCCUUGCUUUGAUGAGGCGACUUUUCGGUUGGUCGGUGCCUUUUGGUUUACUCGCCCUUGGCCUAUAAAAAUGCUCAAGAUCCCUUUCACUUUUCAUUUCUAAGAUUUUCUCGCCUCCAGAGCAUCUCUCUCUAAAAGUUUUCUCUCAUUAGGAUUUCUCUUCGCCUUCGUUUCUGGUAAGUAACAUUCAAUCUCAUCUCUUUUAACCAUCUUUUAAUUCUUCCACUAUGAGCUCGGCUAGCGAGGAGGUGCAAAUAUUAGUUGAGAAUAGUGAUAGUGUUUCUACUGACCAAGAGGAUACAGAACUUCACGAGGAUGGGCGAUCUAAUGAUAAGGUUAGGAAAGCGAAUAUAAAAACGAAGGAAGUACCUUCGAGUAUAGAUGAGAGCGAGCUUCUUAAUGUCUCCUACAUGUAUAACAUACCUUCAGAGUAUAACUUAGUUCAUCCUUCUAAGUACAUGCGAGCAGAUGAAGCUUUAGACAGCGAGUCGCUCAUGCUUUAUGCUGAAGAUUUUCGUUCAAGGGUGAGACUUCCCUUGAGCGAGUCACUAAUAUCUUUCUGCAAUGAAUAUCACCUAACUAUAAGCCAAAUGCACCCAAACAGUUUGAGGAUCAUGUGCGAGCUUACCAAACUAGCUUGUCAAGAUGGAACACAGCUUACAACUCGGGCCAUUCAUGCCCUAUACAUGCUGCAAGAUCGGGGAAGGGAGGACUUUUACUUUUUGCAAGCUCGAACAAAUUAUAAUGUUCUUCAUAAACGAGGGAUGAUCUCUUCCUCAAAAAGGUGGAAGCAUAAAUUCUUUAUCGUCAAGCAUAAAGGAGGUUUUGGAAAAUCUUAAACUAAUUAUUAUCCCUAAAAAUCCUCGACUAAAGUAGGAUAUCACGGCAAUUAGUAGUGGAGAGAUUCUCUCCAUCAUCCCUUUUCUGCUUCCCCUAUAUAAAGAAUUCAAACUCUAGGUGCAAUGGGGGGACCCUUCGUCUGAAGAAAUUUUCAUCAACAAAAAUCAAAGAAUAUAAAUAAUUUUUUGUUAUCAUAUAGAAUUAUUUAUAUAUCAAGUCAAUUUAUAAAGGUUUUUAAAAAAUAUAACAGUUUUAUCAUUUUCUCUUUAGUUAACGCUUAAAAAUACUCAUAUUACAAUUAAAAACUUGUUCUUAAUUACAUGGGGAGUACUUACAAUAGAAGUGUUGCUUUAAACAUGCAAAAGAAAAAAAAAAGAGGAUACUGCUUACUUUUAUUUGAUUUAUUUAUUUUUGAAAAUAAAUAUUUUAAUAUAUAAUAUGUGUCAUGUGAAAAUAUAACUUUGAAUUUAGAAAUUUAAACUUAAUUGGAGCUAAAUAUACAAUAAAAAACAAUCCAAAAUAGUUUUUUUAUUGAAAUAAAAACUCAAAUUCAACUUUUAGUCAAUUUACAAAAAAUACAAAAACCAAUUUCACUUACUAAUUAAAGGGAAAUGCGAAUUGCAAUAGCUCAUUCAAUCAUACGGUAAUCAUUAAUAGAAACUAGUCAUCUCUUUUGUUCUCUCUUUGGUGUUUUUUUAGAUUUUAUUUUUUGAACCACUACCGACUGUCUUCUUUAAUUGACGGUGGUUCAUUUUCAUCCCUUUCCAUUAUUUUUUUAAUUCUAUUUAGUGUUUUUUAAUAAUUUCAAAACCUGUGAUCAAUUUGGAACAAAAAUUGAAUUUAAUCUCCUGCAUUUGUAUAGUGAUAGAUCUUGAGUGUUUUUGAUAUCCUUUUAGUGGGUUUGUGUGUUUUAAUUAUUAAUUUUUCUCAUUUGAUAGAGUUGUUCCUUAUUCUUUAAGAGUUAGUAUGUAGAUUUUUUAUUUCUCCAACGGAUCAAAAUACAAAAUGGAGUGUCGCUUAUAGUUGGAGACUUCAAAUCUUCAAUUCUAGGUAAAUUUCUUUUAUGAAUGGAGCUUUAUAUUGCUGCAUUUUACUCUAUUAAAGUUUGGUUUAGUACAUUAAAUUCUUCUGCAAAUGUAAAUUAUAAUAAGUUUUCGAAAAAAUUAAAUUAGGAACAAUAGUUUUCUUUUGUCUUUCUAUUUGAAGAUUUUGGUAUUGGUAGUUCUACGCUAUCCGAAAUAUCCAAAGGCCUUAAGUUCAGACUCCAUGUGCUAGACAUUUAUGUACAUGACAAGCUAAGCCUUUAUAAUCAAAUAAUAUGAUAAGAUUUCGGAAGAUGCAUGAUUGGCCUAAAUUAUAAGUGAAGUCUAGGCACCACACCGGCGUCAGGCCAUAAAGCCUUAGCCCUUGACAUUCUCAACUUAUAUUUAUUAUUAAUGAAUUUUCAAUUUAUUGUCAACUUAUAUUUAUUAUUAAUGAAUUUUCAAUUUAAAAAAAAAUGUUAAUCAUUAAAAUUACACUCGUUAUUUAAAACAAUUGUUUUCCCCAUUGAAUUUAUAAAUUUUCUGAAAUUGUAGUUUAAUGUAAAAUAUUUUUAAUUGGUCGAAACGAAUCUCCACAGCUGAAGCUUAAAAAACAAAAUGGAAGCCUUUGACCAUGCACUCCAUACGAAAUCAAUAAAAAAAAAAUACAAAAAAUAAACAUUAUAACUGAAUCUGAAUCUGAAUCUGUAUGUACUUUCAAAUGUAUUAUACACUUACAUGAAAAAAAUAAAUAAAAAUGUAAACAUCAGAACCGAAUCCACUUGUAGGUAUAAACAGAUUCAUUUGCAAUAUUUAAUAUAUUAAUUUUACUAAUCGACUUUGCCUAAAGAUCAAAUCUGCAACCUUUUCACCAUCUUGUCACCAGAUGGAGCAUUUGCUUUUUAUUUUAUUUUUAUAUAGGAAGUUCAUCCAACUGAAAGAAUAUGUAAUUAUAUAUCAAUAGUAGCGUUUUUGUUGAUUAACAUUCAAUCAUUCACCUAAUUAAUGAUAGUUUUAUAAUGAAAAGAAUUCAAACUUAAGAUUUUGUACUUUCAAAAAUCAGCAAGACUAUAUUUGCUUUUUGUUUUAUUAGAUUUAUGGGCAAAAUUUGUUUUUAUGAUAGUUAUUAAUUGUUUUAGCAGCGUUUAAUUAUUAAUUGUUUGAGUAAUUUUUUUAUAAAAAUAUUAUAUAAAUUAACUUUUUAUAAAUCGAUAUCUUAAUAGACGAAAGCUAAUUUAAAUAUUAUAUUUUUAAAUACUAUAAUCAAAACGCAAAUGCUGAAAAAUUCUUAAAAAAAUGUUUGCGGACGCAACUAUUGGCAUUCAUUAAUAACAACUAAACCAUCUAAAUUUCCCCUGGUUUACAACUUUCGUUGAAUUGGAAGUUAUUUAAAGGAAGCUUAUACUGAAAGCCUUGCGGAUCUUACUAUAUGAAUAUUAUAUAAUAUUGUGUCUUCCAUUGUUUAAACUUAAAAUUACCAUUUGCAACUGACUGCUGAUUUGUAAAUCAGUUUUGUUCCUGUUCAUGGUUUCUCUUCUCAAUUGCUUUCAGUUAUAAAUAAAUUUAAUGGUCUGCAAUUUCUUUGCAUUCAGUUCAAAUGGAAAAAUCAAAUCACCUGAGAUUGUGCGAAAUUCGUUCUCAACCGAGAAAGUUUGGAAUUUCAUUUGUAGUUGCAGAUCGAGUUGCUACAGAAAUUAGUGACAGAAAGAAGAUCAGAGGGAAGAAUCCUUUUAGAAUUUUUAGAAUUCCAGUAGAUGGGUCACUGGGAUUUCAUAGAAUUGUGCAGGAGGCUGAAGGACAGAGUCCGCCAUUGAAGAGCUGGAGUGAAGGUGGACGAGGAGGAGAAAGGGCAAAUUCCAAAAAGGCUUAUCACAGAAGUCGCUUCAAUGACUGGCAUUCUCAAGUGUUUUACCCCUUACAGAAAUCUUUUCAGUGAUUGAAAAUUAAUUGUUAUUGAUUGUGAAUUUGUAAAUUUUUGUAUCUCAUAGCACAGUUUAAUCUAUUAAAAAAUUAAUUGUAAUUGUAUAGGAUAAACAUUGGUGUGUGAGGUGAAAAUCAGCUUGUCAGCCAUUAAAUUAAAGAUGAGAGUUACUAUUUAUUUUUCUUAUUAUUUACUGUAUUUCUCAUAUUUAUUUUUUUUAAUAUUUGAAUGUUGCUAAAAUUUAAAAUUUUUUUAUUUUUCUUAACUUUGAUAUUUUAACUAAGUCAAAAAAACUGUUUUAAAUAGAAUUUUUAAGAUUUACUUUAAACCGCUAUUUGCGAAUACCUAGUAAUGAUUACACCACCAAAUGCAAUUAUUAUUUUGCAUCAUAUAGCAUGAAAUCCAUUUACUGAAUAACUAUUUCGUGCUAUUUCAUUUUCCAAAAUUAAUAUUCUUUUUACAUUUUCUAUUUCAAGUGGGCUAUUUUUAAGCAUUGGCCUUCAUGGGUAGAUAAGGCCCCAUGCUACAAGAUAAAUGCUUCAGUGUCUUUGAACAUCCAAAAAAAACAAGAGAUUUUACCCCAUAUAUAUAUAUAUAUAUAUAUGUACACUCAAAAUCCAUUUGUUUUUAAACUUUUUGAUAAAGACCCUCAAAUUAAUAAACUAAAAUUCACCAAUUAAUUGAAACUGUCGCCUCCAAACUCGUCUUCUUUAACAUUUUUAGCAGUUCAGUUCAGUUCAGAUGCAAGCGGAAUCAUACUACUUGCCUUUCGAAGAAACCUACUAAUUUGUAUGAAAAAAAUUAAAUUUCUGCAGAAUUGUAUUCUCUACCUUGAUAUAGAAAUUGGCUAACUCCAUGCAUGUACAUUCUGAUUAUUCAACAGCCUCUACAGGUGAAUACAUACAAAUUCCAUGUGAAAUUAACAUAGCAGGGGAGGCUACUACAGCAUCAAUUUCCGAGCAACUAAGCUAAUAUGCUUAACGGAAGAAGGGAAUAAACCAAACAACUCCUUACCAUGAAACUCAAUAGUUUCUCAAAUCUUUAUUGCAAUUUGCAACUCCAAAUUUGGAAACGCACCAUUUUGAUUUUGCAGUGACACUAAAAUUUUUUCAUCAUAAAUAAAAACAAAAAAUCUGCAUCACAAACACAUGCCUCAUCCCUCACAUAUAAUUAAAAUGUGAAAACAUUUAUGAAUUGGCUUUACACUUUCAAAUUUGAGUAAAUGAUUUAUAAAAAAGAAAGUAUCCAGAUAUAAGAAUUCAGACUAACAUGACUAAAAACUUCUUUUUUUUUUUUUUUUUUUCCAAUUUCUUCCCUUUUAAAGUACUGAACAAGAAAGGAUAGUCCAAUAUGAGAUAUGAGCUCAUCUUUGACAUACAUGCUGAUGACAUAAUGGCAGAAAAAGAAUGAGCUACUCAAUCUCAGAACAUGAAGCUGAUAGGUAAACAUACAUAAUGCAAGCAUUCCGCAUAGUUGACAUGUUAAGCAACAAUUCCCAAAAGAUUUUGAACCUAUAAAUGAAAUACAGAAACUUGGAACGUGUAUAUAUUCAAUCAAUAAAAGAAAAAAGGAUAUAACGAGUUAUGAUUUUUUCUUUUCCAACUAAAAUUUGUCAUUGAAAGGAGGACACUAGACCCACACACACAAUACUCCCCCACAAAAAGAUAAAAUAAUACAAUAAAAAAAUGGUUAACCCGAAAACAAGAAGGAGAUGCUUAUUCUAGCCCACGGUCUUCAAGCAAAGUACCAAAGAAUGAGAUUAUUAAUAUCGAGUCAAAAACAUUCCCAAUUUAAUGCAUAAAGGAAAAUUUAGGACGUUGAAUAGCACCUCAUAAUAAAUAAUAUUGCCUCGCAGGAAAGGUUGUGCAAAUCCAAAGAAAACUAAAGAGCGCGCUUAGUUUCAAAUUAGCAACUGAUUAACUUCCCACUUUAUUUGCUUUCUUGGUUGCAACUUCCAACUCCGUAAAACCCAGAAACAAAAUUUCAUAACCAAAAGAUACAGCAAAAAUGAAUGGCAAUGACAGUUGGCCAUAAUAUAGUUACCAUGAACUAAACCACCUGUCAACCAAAUAAUACUACUAAUGGUAAAAUUGAAUGGCAAUUGUAGUUCAUCAUGAUAUAAUAACAUUGGACUAAACAGUCUGUCAGCCAUAUAAAAUCUCCAACAAUGCAGAGUGCCUCCCUGCUCUCCAAACAAUAUCACAUCUUCUAAAUGUUUAGACUCUGUUUAUUGUUCAUACCUCUUUGCUCCCCUUCAUUUAAAUAAUAUGUCCCUCACAUGAAAAGAAUGACCUAACUUACCUUGCAAAGUAUGGUACAGAACUAUAGGAACUCAAGCAGCUGCGGACUGUUUAAUUUCAUGCUCUUCAAGAUUCAGAGCCUGAAGCAGCUUUGGCCAAGAUUCUGGGAUUCCUCCAGGAAGUUCGAACUCCAACAACUUCCCACGAUGUCUGUAGAAAUCUUCAACAGGUUGACUCUGCAGUAACAAAAAAAAAGAUAUUACAAGGAGUUACUGAAAGGAGGGCAAAGGGUAACACGCUUAUUAGAUAGCCAGGAAUAAAGAGAAAAUUAGUGACAUGGAGGUUUAAAAAAAACAAAAACAACAAACUCCUGAAAGAUGAGCAGCCAUGAGGUUUUAUUAAGUGUUUAAGGCUGCAUGUCAAUAGAAGUGUGAGAGUUCUUUGAAUAGAAUAGAGAUGCCCCUUCACAAUUUAAAGCACUCUUGUGUGCAAAUACAAAUGAGGUGCAUAAGAAUUAAUGAGAAUGAAAUAUUAGCAUGGCAAUCGGGCAGUGUCCUAUACAUUUGUAAGUUGUCAACUGUUCCAUAUCUUUUGGUGGAUAUAGGUAUUCAAAACUACUACCAUAUUGCAGUAACAAGUGUGAGGGAAUGAUCUAAUCUAAUGAUUGUAUCAAUAGUUUCCUUCACAGGUUCAUUCAUGUAAUAGAUAUAUUAUCUUUAGUCCACCAUAUGAUGCCAAAUUUUUCUAGAGGUGGAGAAAUUAAAAAAAAAAAAAAAAAAAAAAGAAAUGAUACCAACGAGUAACAACGUAUUUAGUUAGAGGAAAAGAAAGCAAAGCUUGUUUUCCUGAAAAUUACUCCAAGAAAGGUGAGAAAAAAGAGUUGGAUGUUUAGUUUUAAAAAUCUUUCAAACAGAAAAUUUUAGAAACUAGACCAAAUUAACAAUAAACCUUCAAGAACAUCUCUUACACUAAAUGCAAAAUUAAACUUCCAAAUAUUCUAAAUUAAUAUUAAACCUUCAAAAACAUCUCUUACACUACAAAUAAAUUGAAAAUGUAAAAUUUACUGUUCUUCCAUCUAUACUUUUGGUUAUCGUUUAUCCUUCAUUAUCCCAAAAUUAAUUUUGCAUGAUGCAUCUACUUCCAAGUGUCUAACACGCUAAACCUUAAAACAACAAACUUACAUGUCCUAUGACACUUAUAUUUUUGUGUUAUAUAUAAAAAUUGGUAGUAAUAAAGUUUUUAAUUCUCCAAACAUAUUAAAUAGGAAAAGCAAAAAUACCAUUUCAUUGUAAAUCCGGAGUCGCACCCUAACAACUUCUUCCGUAUCAUCAGACCGUUGGAUAAGUUUUGUUGCACAAUGAGGAGGAGGAAGAAGUGGAGCCAUGUACAUUCCAGGCUUCCCAUUAUCGCCCUUGAUGUCAAUGCAGGCAAUGUUGUAAUUUCCUCCACACUCACUACAAAUCCUUCUUCCAAGACAUUUCGCAAGUAGAGCUUCUUCCCUAAGCUUUAAGUUAACAACCAAGUCAAUAUCUGUCACUCCCUCCAAUAUUUCCUGGAUCAUGACAAGGACAUCAUUUAAGAGGUGAAAACAAAGCAAUAGGGAGGGAAAACGAAAAAUCAAAACAUAACAAAUGAAAUAUUUUAAUAGGCUAAUGCUGACAGCUGAUGAUACUUGAGUAACUCUUCUUCUUUCCAGGAUUAUCGGUACUUCUUUCCGUUACACUUGUAAGCAUUUCUAGCAACUGUUACUAAACUAAGAAACUGCCAACCCAUGGAUAGAUUGGAAUUGAAGUUCAGGAAAAAUAAGGUUUAUUUAAGGUUAGUUAAUGAAGGCAUACUGCAUACAAAUAAUUAAGUAAACGAUAGUCCAAAACGGAAAAAGAUGGAACCUUUUGCAUUAGAAACUCCCAACAAAAUAAGCAAAAACAUUUACAAGAGAACAUAAAUAGUAAUAGAAGGAUCACAAUGAAAGACUAAACAACUAACUUUUUAUAACUAGUUAUAAUUUUUGUCAAAAGCUAAACUUUUUACGACUAACUACAAUUUUGCGAGUGAUUGUAAAAACCCUCCAGUUCAAUUAAACCCCUCACAUCUCACCAAGGCAGAAAUACUCACUGCUUGUCUAACCGUGCGAGGGAAACCAUCUAGAAUAAAACCAGUUUCUCCCUUAGCUUCCCCAGCUUCCAGCCGCUUAGACAGUAAGUUUAUAAUAAUUUCAUCCGAAACUAAUUUCCCUUGGUUUACAAUUUCCUUAAGCUGCGAAAAGAAACACAAAGACAACGAUAGCAACAAAAUUAAGGCAUUGAAGAAGUAAAAAUUGGAGCUUUAAUCACAUAAAACGCAGUCGAGCAAUUGAAAGCCAGUGCAACAAAUUCCAAUUAUAAUUCAAAUCAAAAGGGGAAAAAGUAGAAACCUAAAGAAAGAAAACUACCUGAGAGGCGAGAGGACCGGAGGAAUUGAGCUCCUCACGGACGAGAUCUCCAGUAGCGAUGUGAGGGACGGCGAGAAGAUUUGAAAGACGAGAAGCGUAAGUACCCUUACCAACGCCGGGGCAGCCAAGAAAAACCCACUGAAUACUUUUGUCGGUGGUGUCGCGACGGAGAGUCAAAGGAUUUUGCGUUAAAAAGGGAGCUGAUCUAAGGUCAGUUUCGGAAUUUAACGAAGAAGAAGAGAAAGCACGACAUAGAAAAGACGAAAGGGCUGUAGUUUUGGUUGUGGUUGCUCUUAAAGAAAGAGCCAUGGAGGAAGAGUAGGUGCAGAGAGCGAGAGAGAGAGAGAGAGAGAGAGAGAGAGAGAGAUUUGAAUCGGGGAGAGGGAAGAGCAAGGAGGCGGCUUUCUUCAAUCGUUGGGAGUGAAGGAGGAAGAGGAGUACACGUGAUGAUUGUUAUAAAAAAGUGUUGACGUUGAAACGAAGCCACGAGGUGUUAUGUGGUGAUUUCGGUACUUGCUUCUUUCACUAACUAAAUUUCGGUUUGACUUCUUGAAACUACUUGAAAUAGAAUGAAAAAUAAAAUAAUUACUUUUAAUUUAAAUAUGAAAUAUUAUUUAAAUUUUUUAAUAAUUUAUUUUUCAUAAUAAGUAUUUAAAAAAUUUAUAAAAAUAUAAUUUAAUUAUUUAUUUUUGAGACAAUAAAUAAAUAAUUAAUCGGUAUUAAUGAGAGUUAGCUUGAGUAAAAAAGACUCAAAUUCUUUAAUUAAGGAUCAUAGAGAAUUGAAUUUAUUGCGAAAAAGUACUUUCCUCUCAUGAGCCUGACAGUAGAGCAUGAAAAAAAAUUAAUAACCAAUUGUAUAUAUAUAUAUAAAAGAUAUUAGAUGGAUAAUUGUCAUGGGUUUUAAUGUUAUACCUUAGAAAUUUAUAUUGAAUCUUGAAUUUAUUGAGUGAAUUAAAUUAAAUAUUGAAUUUUAAUUCAUGGAAUUCUUUGAAAAUAAUAAUAAAAAAAAAAGACCAAUUAGUGAAUCCAGGAAUGUAUUAGAACAUCAAAGUCUAACCUGUAAUUAGAGACUAGGAUGAGAUCAGACAAACACAUAAAUAGGUUACGUUAGAAGUUGGGAGUUCGGCUGCCGAGUGGAUUUUGGUUACAUUUGAAGUCCAACUAAGAGAUGCUAUCCACUGUCGGCGUGUGUAUGUAAUAUGUAGUAUUGCAUGUUAAACAGCACUCGCAUGUUGAUUUUAAGGUUAAGUACACAUUUUAAAAAAGAGAAAAAAAAAAACUAAAAAUUACCCCAGUUACUGUUCCACUCUUGUUGUGAAUUAUUAUUAUUAUUAUUUCAGAGUAUAAGCUUGGAAAAUUUUAUUAUUUUUUAAAUAAAUUAGUGUUAGAACACGCUCGAUGCGGAGUAAUAUUAAAAGAUAAAAUAAUUUUUUAUAACAUCAUUAAAAAGAGUAAAAUUAUAUAAUAAAUUAUGCGUUAUAUCUCAUUGACACAUGCUGAAAAAUUUUGCAAUACUAAAAUAUACAUUCUUAAGUAUCAUGCGAAACCUUUCAUAAGGUAUGUAAUAGUAAAAGUCAUACAUGAUAUGACAUACAUCAAAAAAUCAUACACACUAUUGAUAUAUUUUUCAAUAUUGAUAAUAAUUUUGAAAUUUUAAUUAGUAUAUUGAAAUAAGAAAUUAAGUAUUUUUUAUUUUAUAUUUAUGAUUUAUUAUAAAUGAUUGUUUACUUACUUGAAAUAUUAAUGUACUACUUAUUUAGUAUCAUGUGUUCUAAGCAUGUGGAUAUUUUACUUUUUAAAAAAUUAUCGUAUCAUGUACAUUCCCCGUAUCUCGUGUACCAUCUCCAUACAACCUAAUUUUUUAUAUAUAAGACUACUUCAUACACUAAAUUAAUCAACCAACGUUUCUUUUUAUUAUCAAUAAAAAAAUGAAGUGUUUUUUUUUUUAAAUUUAUUUGUGUCAUUGAAAUAAGAAACUAAAUAUUUUUUAUUUUAUGUUUAUAAUUUAUUAUAAAUGAUUGUUUAUUUAUUUGAAAUAUUAAUGUAUUACUUAUUUAGUGUAAUAUGUCAUAGUGUGUGGAUGUUCUACCCUUUUUAAAAAUUGUUGUAUCUCGUAUAUUCCCGUAUCUCGUGUCCAUGCUACCUAACUCUUACUAUAUAAGACUACUCUAUACACCAAGCUAAUCAACGAAGGUUUUUUCUUAUUACCAACACAAAAAAAAAAAAAAAAAAAAAAGGUGUUUUUGUUUAAUUUGUUUUUGUAUCAUUGAAAUAAGAAUAUAUUUUAUCUUCGUGAUUUUAUUAUAAAUGGUUGUUUAUUUAUUUGAAAUAUUAAUGAAUUACUUAUUUAGUGUACUGUGUUCUAAGCAUGUAGAUGUCUUACUUUUUUUAAAAAAUGCCAUAUUUCGCAUGUUCCUGUAUCAUGUCCCGUGUCCGUGCAACCUAGCCUCUGGUAUAUGAGACUACUUAAUACACUAGACUAAUUAACCAAGGUUUUUUUUUUAUUACCAAUAAAAAAUGAAGCAUUUUUUUUUGUCAUUGAAAUAAGAAAUUAAUUUUUUUAUUUUUUAUUUAUAAUUUAUUAUAAAUGAUUAUUUAUUUAUUUAAAAUAUUAAUAUAUUACUUAUUAAAUGUAGUGUAUUCUAUACAUGUAGCUGUCAUACUUUUUAAAAAUUAUUAUAUCCGUAUGUUCUCGUAUAAAAAGAGAGUUGGGAAAAUGUUUAAAUAAAAAAUAAAUAAAAAACUGUAAAUAUAUAUAUUAUAGUUGGUCGAUACUGUACAAAACAUAAUUAUAUAGUUUGAUUGAUUUUGUAUAUUAUGAAGUUUUAAAAAUAAUAAAAUGAGCUUAAGAAGCAAUGUUUUUAUUAAUAUUAUUAUUAAUGAUGACCACGUCAACCUCAUAUUCCAUAUAAAUCAAAAGGUCUCUAUUGAAUUUUGAAAUCAAUAUAAUUUCACAUUUAUCAUUUAAAAAACAUUUUUCAAAUAAAGUUAAACAGUAUAAAUUACAUUAUUAAUAAGGGAUUAAAAUCCUAUCAUUUCUGGCGCUUUUACAAUGAUGAAAUUGCGAUCAAUUUCAAAGAUUAUAAUCAAUCUUUUCUCAACAGUCUUUAAAUUUUUUCUCAAUACAAAGUAUGGCGGAACGCAAAGGUACAAAUUGAAGUGUAGAGCAAUGUCUAAUAGCAUGUUCUAACAUUCUAUUUCAAAAUGAGAUCUUCAGCUUCAACAAUUAUUAAAUCAUGCAAUUACUACAUUCUCAACUCUAUAAAAAAAAACACAAAAAUUAGACAUUUAGAAUAUCAAAUGGAUACCAUCGGAGCAAAUAUGAAGGAAGCUCAUACAAACACUAAAUCACCUCACAAUAAAUUUCAGAGGGAGAAAAGAAAAAAAAUCAAAAAAAAAAAAAAAAAAAGACCUACAUAAAAUAACUACCCUCUUUUCCUGAUAACAUAACAUUUGACGGAGUAAAAAUUAAAAAUACACACUAAACUACCGAUGAAGCGUAGAAGAGGAUGCCAUUCAGCUAAAUGUGGUCGACCCUGCCAUCCUCGUCGCUGAUUCCAUCCCCAGCAUGCCUGCAACGUAAUCCAACACACAGGCUUAGGAUACUAAGUACACAACAAAAAAUUACUUAUGGGCAUCUCAUUUUUUCAUGAAUACAAAAAUCAAAUUCCAAAAUCAUUAAUAAGCAAAUGAUGGAUCUCAUUCUGCACGGCGAAUAGUUCACCACCAAAACCAAUACAAUUAUGUUCAAACUGUCUAAACAGCAUACCAGGAGGGAAAGAGGGUGGAGACUUCUAAGUAUGACCACAGGAUUCAUGCUUUGCCAAGCCCCCAUAUAAAAGCCAAUUUCAGUAUAAAAGCAGGCUUUCCGUACCAUAUAUUUUCUUGCAUGGAACACAAAUACCUCAUAUAACUAGAAAAUCUAGAUUGAGGUGGCAUAAGUAAAAUGUGGCAGAAAAUAUUCACAAAACAAAGGCGGAAAAAUUAAAAAGAUAUUGAAACUAUCACAGAAGUUCUACAGUAGCUACACCUUAAGGAACCAAAAAAAAUGUAAAAAAUGUUGAUGAACACUAGGCUUUAAAAUACCUAACUGAAUUUUUCAAAUUUUCAACUCUAUCCAGUGGUAAGUUGAUCCUCUCUGAAUGUGUGCAAGAAUAAGGGAAACUAUCAUGUCCACAAUGUGGAAACUUCCUAUAUUCAGAUCAGCCUUUUCCAUCUUUACUCCACAAGGACCUAAUUAUCCAAUCACAUCCAAACUCCGCGUUCUCCUACCAAACUAAGCUUUAAUCCCAAACUAAAUGGGAUUGGACUAUAUAAAUCCUUUGUUUCCAUUCCCCUAUUGCAUUAUGGAACAUUUUGUUUAGUGAAGAUGAGAAAACUUACCGCCAAGAUGUAGUUAGAUUGCGAGCUUUCCUGUCCAAUUGAAGGUUUUCCAGUGAAGUUCGAAUCACAUCCUCUUGAAGUUCAUCACUGUCAUAUCUCCAAUUGCAUUCAUCUUUCCUGUAACCAGACAUAGACGAUCCUGCUCUUCUAUCUAGAUCACAAGGGCAUCAGAUUCAGGAACCAACAAUUAGAGAAGAUAAAAUGACAAGCUAAUCACUCACCAGAUGUCUGAGAAGAAGUGGGCCUGGCAUAAAGAUAACAAGAAGAAAAGAAAUCAUUAAUGAAUUAAUAAAUAGACGGAUGGAUAGAAAACUAGCAAGAGAGUAAAAGAAAUGCAAGGGAAAAUUGACAGGACCAGCACCUUCCUAAUGGAGGUAAACCACCAGCAACAGAUGAUGAAGAGGGUCUUCGAACAUUCCUUGAGUCUAAAUUAGAUAAGGACUCAGCUUCCGGCACUCUUCUUCCAAUACCCCUUCCUUGGGACAAGUUCUGUCACAACAAAUUCCACAGAAAAUAGUUUAUUUAGGAAUAACCUGAGAAAAAUUACAAUUGAUAAAGAAAGCAAAUCAUGAACAAGGGAAAGUAGCUCGUAAGAAAAAGCACCCAUUAGAAAGAGAUGAACAUUAAAUUGAAUUAGAUUUAGAAAUUCCAAGAGGGAAAAAAUAAGAGGUUCACAACAAACUUGCAACGCAAACUACUAUGGUAAGAAGAAAAUCAAUAAGAGGAGAUGAAAUUACAAGCAGGAAGAAAACGGUUCCUCCUAAAGAUGCAGAAGUAGUAAAAACAGACCAAAGAAAACUAUUCUAAAAAGAAGUUGCUUUUUAAACUAUAUUAACUUCGACAACAAACAACAAUCCCUGUGAUUCCUGAAUUUUUCCCGCAGCAGGUAAAACAAAGGAGAACCAAACUAACUUCAAGAAAUGAUCCUCGAAAUUCUUUUAUUUUGCUAAAUCAGUGCAGGCUAAUCUACCGCAAACAUGGCACAUCUUAAUACAAUUGCCUUCUUUCCUUCAAUCAUAACCUCCAAAGUUCAUACACUGGAUCAUUGUUUUGCAAAUAAACACCAAAGCAUUUCCAGAGAACUUCAAGCAACAUAGCUAUCUAAGUAUCAUUAUAUCCUCAAUUUUAAAAGUUCACUGUAUGGGCAAGUUUAAUGAUCAGCCAGCUAAACUGUAGGCAUAACCUCACAGAUAUUUACAAAACAAAUCUUAUGUUAUCAUGUCAGCAAGCCAAUGGCCAGCCAUGUUAUAGGUGCAAAAAUUACAGUAGAUAAGCUCCCAAACAAAAAGCAUAUGAUGCCAAACAAGUCUCCUGGAGGCAUAACCGUAAUAGGAUGUAAUGAAUUCAAAUCACUCCCCAUAUUUAGAUCCUAAACCCUUGGUAGUGAAUUUCAAUCUCUUCUUUUCUUCGGUUCACAUUCUCUUUGGCAAUGUGUCUUGUGGUUAGAGAAUUCAACAGUUCAAAGUGUUCCUCUUCAUAUUAAACAUCAAAAAUUCUUCAAAAGAAUUAAAAUUUGGAAUUUGAUCUAAUCCUCAGCCCCAUGUCUCAUUUGUUUUAUAACUAGAGAAGGCUUUUAGCUUAAUUUAAUUCCAUACUCCAAGCAUAUUAAAUUUUAUCUUCCUUAACAUACAAAACCCUGUUGCUCUUCAUAUUACCAAUUAGAUGUUUCAUCCUUCUCUUGCCAGUCUUCCCAAUCCUAUCUCUUGGCUUUAAACCUUCUACCUCCUUCAACCAACAUAGACGCAUUAUCAAGCAUAAUCACUAGUCCUCCCAUAUCCAUAAACACUGUCCUCCAAAAAUUUCUCAAUAUUUGACAACCCAAUGCGGACCUAUAUAUGUAUGCAAAAAUGCACAUGUAGAUGAAUACAGACUUCCAUCAACGGUUAAAUUCUAACUUAUAGAGUCAUAAUAUCAUGUGCGAGAAAGCACGAGGCAUGUAUUCCUUGAUCUACUAUAAUAAUCUUUUGGAAACCUAUUCUAAGACUCCUUACAAUAAAUAUGGGGUUUAAGCAAGAAGUCCAUCUCCCUCAUUGUUGUUGGGGAAAAAUAAAAUUACUCCACUAGAAACUAAACGUGCACUUUGUAUUACAACUUCUCUAACAGAGGCAUCAAUAACUCCAGGAUUAAGAUACACUCAAAAAUACUGAGGCUACACUACAUAUAAUUAGGAGAUCAAUUCAGUCUUCAGUUUCUGGAAAGUGAAAGCCAAUCUUCUCAUCAAUUUGAUAAGAAAUAAGCACCAAAAAAAAAAAAAAAAAUCACCCAUCAAUGUUAUUUUAGUACAAGGCCUCAAUUUCUCAAAGUGCCUGCUAAAACAUUUUUAGAAAACUUAGAAGGAUGCUACACAGCCAGUCAGCAUUCAUGCACUGAUGAUUGCUAGAAACUCAGACAUGGUGAAGAAGAUUAGUAGUAAUAGUUCAAACAGAUCAUUCAAAAAUAACCAGACACCAAAAGUGACUGCAUCAUGUCACAUUUAUAUUUGGUCUGCUAUCUGGAUAACAUAAUUGAAGACUUCUCUUUCCCCCUAGAAAUUCAGCGUCAAAACAUUGAAUUCAAAAAGAAGAAUUUAUGGACAAACCUCAAACUUCAAGAAUCCUUCAAGAACAUCCAAAAGUAAUGGACCACUGUCCCCAUUUCUGUUAAGAUCGUAUCCAUUUUUGCUACUAAAUUCUUUCAACUCAGCUUUCCAAAAAUCCUUUUGCUGCAAAAUAAGAACAUUAGUUUAGCUCUCACAUAAAAGUAAAGUUACAUGCUGUUAAUAUUUCUUGCAAUAAACUUUGAAAAGGUUACUUGAUUACCAAAUUGCACUCUGGCAGAUAAACUUUAAGCGUAUGAUUUAGCUGCGCCCAGUCCAAAUAUUCACAUAUCAGAGAAGUUAGUAACCUCCCUGCAUUUGGAAAGAAAAUUCAAAAUAGAAGGCAUGAUAAAAUGACUGAAUUUCUUGUUAUAACAGAAAAGAAAGCACACAAACGUUUAAAUUAGAACAUAAAUUCUUAACCUUUAAAUGAUACAAGCAAUAUAGUUUCUAAGGACAACUUAAAGCCGUACAAACAUCAGCAUCAACAUAAUCUAAAAGGCCACCUUUCAAAGUUUAGCUUCUAAAAGCAACCAUGAACCUUUAAAACGUAUUUAUUAUGCCAUAAAAAAUUUGUUUACUUCAUUCUUUUUCAUCAUCCGAAGUACACAAAGCAACUUUCUUUACAAAGUUCAGUCCUUACAUACUCACCGAAAAGAGCGUGGCAAUACUAAUACCAUCAAGAGGAAACAUUAAAUAAACAACUCCCAUCGUAGAAAAAACAAAAGUCUCAGCACUUGCAAACUCAUGAAACAAAGACAUUAAAGGCUACAAUUCAAGGAGCAAACCUGAAGGGGAAGCAUGAAGUUGUUUUGCGCGGUCGUUGCAGCUUCCCAACAAUGCAGGAGGUACUGCUUCUUCUUUUUCGAUUACCCUAUCCUCCUCUUCGAUUGCCUCAAAAACACUUGCCCGAAGUUCAGCCUGGGGCCAAAACAUAUAAGAGUAAAUGAAAAAGACAGGCAAAAAAAACAGAUGAUCGGAAACAUAAAAUUAAACUGACAAUAAAAACCAGAAGCAAUAUUCGAUUUUCAACCAAGUAGAUAGUUUAGGGACACAUUAAAUUUCCUUCUAAAACAAUCUCCAAACAAAAACCUAAGCACCAAAUAAACAUCAUAUAAAAUUCUUUAAAAAAUGGAAUGAACUAAAUUAACUAAAGAUAAUACUGAUUGCAGAUACAGCAAAAUAAGAUCUACAAUACCAACUAAACGGGUACAAAAAUAAGAAAAAAGAAAUAUCAGAUACUUCUGUCAUGGCACAAGAUCUGAGUAAAAAGAAAAGCCUGUAUCGAUUAAAUGGAAACAAAAGAACCUCUAGCUUAUCUUUCAUCAAUCAAUUGGCUUAUGGGAAGUAAAUUAGACCUCCUGAAGGCCUAAUCUCAUUUUUCACUUUCUAUUAAUCAAUAUCCGUUUCUCGUCGAGCAAACAGAGAUUAAGAGAGUAAAAUGGAGUAUUGAUUUGAAUUUUAAAGGAAAAUUACCCGGAUCUUGGCAAGAACGCCCUUCUUUUCUAGGGUUCGAGUGACGAGAGUCUUCAGGUCCAUCAUUUCUCUGGUGUAAUCGUCCAUUUUAGAGUUUCUUUUUCUUCUCUGCUCACACACACUCUCUCUCUCGCUAUAUAUCUCUCUCUGCCUGAUUUUGUUUUUGAAAAAAAAGGCAAAUUUGAUAUUUUGGGAUGAGACAGAGAGAGAUACGAAACAGAGAAGUGUCUGCCUGAGGAAGGGGAGAGAGAGGGGUAUAAUAAUUAUUUUGGAGUAACCUUUUUUUUUUUCUUUUUCUUUUUUGUUUAAAUGUGGGGUCCAGUUGAGAAUUGGAAACUGGAUCUGGACCGUCCAUUGUCAUGAUCGGAGCUUUUCGAUGGUGGUUCCCUCCCACUUGUGAGUGAGAGUGUAAUUUUCUUCUUAAAUUAAAAUUUUUUCUGAAAAUAACAAAAAUCAAUUUUAAUUUUCUUAAUAUUUUUUUCCUAGAGAUUGCAUGAAUUUCAACUCAAAUUUCUUAUGAUAUACUAUCUUUCUAAUUAUAUUAAUGGAAUUUUAGUAAUGAUAUUUAACCAUUUUAUAAAUUCGUCAAAUUUUUUAUUUUAUUUAGCAAAAAUACAUUAUAAUCCAUGAAAUCAAUAAAUUCUAUCCUGACUUAAUUUUACUACUUUGAAGAAAUAAAAAUUUCACUGAGAUUUCACUAUUUUAUUUUUAUUAAAAUCAAUAAAUAUAAAUCGAUCCCUAAAUUAAAAUCAAAUGAACAUGCAAGGAUCUUUAUUUUCGAAAACUAAUUACGAUGUCAGUAAGUUAUAAUUAUAAUUAUAUUAAUACUUAGUCUUUCUGUCCAGUAUAAUUAACAGAUCAGAGGUCACCAGCGUCGUCCUAGUUCUCAAAGACCAAAGGUCUGUAAAUUAGGUUCAGACACUGUAUUAUUGUAUACUAUCCUCCAUCUACAUGUGCUUGGCAAAGAUGGACUCAACAACACCUUGAGCAAUAGGGUGAUAGCAUUCGCGAGCCUCCGAAAACACUCUUUUAGCCAAAAUCUUUUCUUCGUCUUUUCCGGUGCCUUGAACUAGAGAAGUGUAGAGUGGUCGAAGGUAUUUCAUCCUCCCAACUUCCUUCAAAGUUUUCUCCACCACAUUAUAGUAAUCUCUGCAACUAGAUGAAAUGGCCAGUUGGAGAAAUGCUACUUUCACCUCAUAAUCCUUUGAUUCUGACAGCCUGUAGCGUGCGUCCAAAGCUAACAUCUGCAUCAUGAAGUGGAUGUUUAGCAAUUAGAAUUGGAAUCUCACUUCCACCAUCAACAGCCAACUCAUUUUCGGCAUGGGAGAAAUCCUUUCAACUUUUAGCACAACAAGAGAAACUUUGUGCAUAUAUCAGUUUAACAAAAACAAAGAGCCACGGUGGAAUAAGACUAGAGCUUUAUAAUGUGUUAAACAGUAUGGACAAGAUAUCGUCAUUUUGGCACGAACCCUUAUAGUAGAAAAGAUGACUAGCCUUAGUUAAAACUAUGUUAAUUGGGCUUAGCACGAGUAUUCAAUACAGGUGCAUCUACAAGGUCAUCAAACUCGCUAUUAUCAGAAAUAAAUAGAUAUUUCCACCUUUCUGAAAUGCCAAGGAUUUUAUACGCUUGCACAAGUAUCCUAUCCUUUUUGACACGGGUAAUCUGGGUAAAGAAGAAAUACCCAAGUACUGAGUAAGGCAAACACUAUUCGAAAAGGCUAAUAAAGUAAAGUAAAAUUUUGACAAAAAUAACGCAAAAAUUGCAAUUUAGUUAUCUAUAUUAGUUUACUGCACAAACAAAGGUUCCAUCAGAGUUGGCCAAAUUCAACUUUAACCAAGAUAAUAAUAUACAACUCGUUUACAAGUUAUUCAACAACUUCAACAGUGUCUCAACAACCUAUCAUCUACAAGUAGUGAAAAACAUCCUUUACAAGUUACUUGAUGAGAGCAAAAUUAAUCUAUAGUUGAAAAACAACCAUCCUAGAUAGUAAAGACAAGCAGUUGGCAGCAAAGAAAGAGCUUUAAUUUCUUAUCCCACAUCAUUUAGAAUUCAAUGAAUGAGCUUACACGCUUACUCUCUAUCCAGACAGACAAAGCAAAACAGGUAGAAUGUUUAUGUUAUACCAGAAAUAGUUCCAAGGAGGGAAUACACAGAGAUAUAGAAGACCAAGCAAUUAGAUAAUAUAAGUUCAAAUCAUAAUCCAACAAAGUCACCUUUUACACAAACCAGGGAGUGAAAUCAUAAAGACAAUUAUUACUACCUGAGAAGCUUCAACAGAUUUGGGCAGGUUUUCUAAGUAGAGUUCCCAUUCUUGCCCUUGCCAAUCAGCAACUUCAUCCUCCCUAGGCAUCCUGCCAAGCUUAAACUCAUUCGCAAGUGAUAAAAUCUUUGUAUAUAAAUUGGAAACUGGCUCAUAUGCAUCUGGAGGGAUGCCAGUACCCUCGGUCCAUAAUUGAAGAUCAAUAUCCUUCUCUAUUCCUGGGACAUUUGCUUUCAAGAAAUCGAGAAACAUAUCUGUAUCAAUUGAUUUGAACUUGAAAGUAGCAAUAUAUUUCCUGAGGAACUCAUCGAAUGCAGGUCUUCCAAUCUAAGAAUCCCAGAGUUUAAACACAACCAGUGAGUGAGAAUAUUCUUCAUUGUAGAUCCCUGAGUUUAACAAGGAACUCAACAUACCUGGCGUUCUAUGCGCCAUAGAAACUGGAAGCCCUUCUCAUACGGUAUUUCUGAGUAUAAGUCAUCUGGAUCCACUCCUUCCUGAUUGGUUUUGAGCUUGGUGAACUCCAGCUUGUCCUUAAAUCUCUCCAUUCCCUCAUUUAGACCCCUCCAGCCAAUUCCAAUAUUCAGUACAGCUCUAUCUUCUCCUUGCACGACCUCAACAAUUCUUCUUUCUGCAUAUGUUGUAAAACCCUAGAACCAUGGAUAAUAAAAAAGUUCAUAACAAAACAAAUAUGCUUUGAGACUUUCACAUAGCAAAAACAAAAGAAAUCACUUCAUAAUCAAACACUAUUAAAAAUUCGAUCGCCCUUUUCCCACAAUACAUUAUAGAACAAGAGAAAUAUAAAAGGUGUGCUUUAAUACAGAACUUUCUGCUUAUACUUCCACUAAACUGUCAAUAAAUGCUCUUCUUAAACACUCAAAUGCAGUGGUGACAAGUCAGGGUCUAAAUUAUUAAUAUAAAAUGCAGUUGAACUAGAUUGAACAUCAAAAUGCAACAUUUCAUAAAUAACUUUAGCCAAUUAGAAAAAAAAAAAAUCAUAUAAUAUAUAGGACUUAAUUAUUUCACCAAUAUAAACAAUUAGCCAACUCAAUCAUGCAAAUAUAUAAACUGAAUUUUGUACUCACAACAGGCCAAUUAUGCGGCCCAAUCAUACAUCUUCAAUUUUUCCUCAUUUUCAUCAGUCACAUACCUCAUUCAACCAAAAAUGGUCAUUAUUCUUGUUAGUAAUCAGGUUCCCAGUCCAACUAUGAGCCAAUUCAUGUGCUACUACCUGGGCGCCACUUGCGUCCCCUUUAAUCACUGUUGGCGUCAAAAACACCAUUCUGGGAUUUUCCAUUCCCCCAUAAGGAAAACUAGGGGGCAACACUAACAAAUCAAACCUCUCCCACUCGUACGGUCCGAACAACUUUUCUCCCUGCCUUAUCAUCUCUUCAGUCUCUGCGAACUCCCUCGCCGCCGCAUCCAACACUUCAGCGACCGCCUCCGAAUAAACCUUAGUCCUGGGACCCACCUCUCUGAAACCCAAUUCCCCAACCGCGAAGGCAAACAAAUACGGCGGAAUUGGCUGCUCCAUAACGAAUUCCUCCACUAUUCUCCCUUCAGCACACCACAACGACAUCAAAUCAAACCCAACAUCUGCUAUUACCUUCUCAUUCAAAUCCGCAGGAACAGGCUGUCUGCGGUCGGAAUGUCUGGCCGACAUAACAGCAUAAAGCUGGCGAGGAAUGUUUAAUCUGGCAGAAUAACAAAUGCGAGCAGCAGGUGUGUCCUGGCAAGGGAAAACAGAACGGGCGUGAAUGGCUUGACAUUGAGUAAAAACAAAAGGAUGGAUUUUUCCAAAAGUUUGGGGCGGAGACAGCCACUGGAGAGCAGAGGAAUCUGGAGAGGUGCAGAAGAAGAUUAAAACUGAAGCAUGAUUAUGGAGAGAGACAGUGAGAAGGCUACCCUUGAUUGGAUCCGGCGGAGAGAGAGUAAAAGGCAGAGGGAUUAGGGUUUGGGGGUCAAGAACUUUGUAGAUGGUGAGAGAGCGGGUGUCGAUAGAGAUAGGGCCAGUGUGAGCGGCGGAAAGAGAGAGAAGAGCAGUGGAGUAGAUGGUGGAGGAAGCAAAGUCGAAGUAGAGAGAAAGGGAGAUGUGGGUAGUGAGUGGGUGAGUGGAAUCGGUGAACGAGUGAGGAUCAACUGGAGCCAUUGUUAGGGUUCUGGUUAUGGAGCGAAAGGGAAUGAUUUGUGAUUGAAGAAUUUGAGCGUGAGAAAAGGAAAAGAUGAUCUAAUUUGAUUUGGCUUUUGGCUUUUAUGUAUUUUUUAAAUAUGGAGGGAGAAUAGAUUCAGUUGUAGAAGCAAAGCUAACUAAUUUGUGAAAAAGCAAUGUAUUACUGUUCUGAAUUCCUUUGAACUUGAAUAGUGGGUAUCUGAUUGGUUUGAUUCAAAUCGAACCGAACUAAUUCAGUUUUUUAAAGAUGUUAGGUUGCGCCGCAUAAGAUUAUAAAGAUACAAAAAAAUCUAUUAUUUUUAAUUAAGUAUUAUGAGCAACUAAUUAUUAUUAAUAAAUGAAAACUAAUUAUUAUUAAUAAAUGAACUUUUAUUUUUUUAUCCCUUCUCAUUGAGUAAUAAUUUUAAUUAAUUGUUGUAUAUAAUUAAAUUAAAAUAUUUUCCCCUAUUAAUUGAAUACAAUAACUAAUUGUUAUAAAUAUAAUAACUGAAUUUAUUAUUAUUUAUUUACUGAAUUAAAAUUGUAUUAAAUAUAAUUAAUUAAUUAGAACAUUAGAAAAUUAAAAAUACAUUAAGAAACAUUUGGGUUAACUGUUUCAUGCAACUGCGGAUAGCUGAUAAAAGUUCCAAUCAACUGUUAGCCGAUAGAAGUUUCAAUCAACUGUUUUUUUCAUAAGCUACAUUUUGACUAUUUUUUCAUAUCAGUUGGCAGCUGAUUCGUAUUUAUAUUAUUUUUUACUUCAUUAAACCUCAUAAAAGUAAUUGCUAAUAAUUUUUUUUUUCAAAUUGAUAUUUUUUUAUGAUCAUUAUAUUUGUAGCUAUUUAAAAAUAAUUUCUUUAAAAUAUUAUUUUAAAAUUUUUAAUUAUUAUUUUACUAAUAAAAUAAUAUAUAUAUAUAUAUAUAAACGAUUAUGCCAUUAAUAGUAAAAUAUAUUUUAACAACAACUACUAUCAAUAUUUUACCAAAUUACCAACACAUGAUCAGUAAUUAACUAACUGCUAUUAGCCAUGAGCUAUCAACAACAUCUAUCAGCUGUUAACUGGUACAAACCAUAAAAUCAAACAACAACCUCUAUCAGUUGUUAGCUGGUACAAACCAUUAAAUCAAACGGGUCCUAAGUGAUACUUUAUAUAGCUUUUUUAGGGACAUGAAUAGGUUACUUUAUUUAUAAAUUUAGUAAUAUAUACGAUUAUUUCUUAUUGUGAAAAAACACUAAUGACUGUUAAGAAAUUCCUCCAUUAUCUAUUGCUGGUAGUUGCAUGAUGUUGAAGCAUCCAUAUCCUUCAGGAACGAGAUUCAUCUUGUUCGGAGGGUAUUUUGAUAGUGCAUUUGAUUUAACUUAUGAAUAAUCUUAAUGUCUUUAUAUUAUCAAUAUAUUGUAUAAUUUUUUUAUUUUUUAAGAUAAACAUAUUAUUUUCUAUUUUAAUGUGCCAUAUAAAUAAAAAUAUUAAUUAUAAUUUAUAAUAAUAUAUACUAAAUAAAUAUUUAUUAUUUUUAAAUAAUUAUAAAUAAAAUGAUUCACAUAAAAAUAUUAAUUUGGAAAAAAAAAUUGUUAGUAACUACUGUAAAAUUAAGAUUUUCCCUAAAUAAAAAAAGUUAGUAAUUAGUACACCAAUUGGUAAAAGUAUGAGUACAUCCAGCCCAAUCAAUUAGAGUAAUGCAACAAGAUAACGAGGUUGAAUCAAAAAGUAAUUAUAUGAGAAAAUAAAAUUGGAAAUGUGAUUUUCCUUCCAGGGGAACAAAGUUCAUUAUCAGCAGGAAAAAUGAAACUGGUAAUUAGGAAAGAAUGACAAAGAUUAGGGGCUAAAAAGGCUAUUAUCCACCAAGUUCACAAGCAAAAUUGCAUGAACAUGGUAGCCACAAAUUCUUCUAGCAUAAAUGCCAUUGCAUAAAAAAAAAAAAAUAAUGUUGUGUAAAAUGGAAAAGUGCUACCUGGACUGGAUGGCCUCAAUGAACUAGUACUGUGAUAAUCACAAAUCAUAUAUUUCAUCAUGAACAAUGCUAUUUUGAAAUCAAGUCUCAAAAUAUGCCUCCACUUUUCAUUUUUCAUUUUGUUUAAACUUUAUUUGUGCCAAAUAAAUGUUCUAAACAUGAAACAUAUGAAAAUAUUUGAAGUAAAUUAUUUGAGCAAAUUAGAGGCAAAAGGACUAAGAAAUGCACUCCCUUUGCAGAAUAUAAUCCACUGCCUCUUCAACAGUAUCAACCACCUGCAUAUUCCAAAGAAAAAUGUAUUAUCAAAUGAAAUGGAACCAAAAAAAAAAAAAAAAAGAACACUGCAGAUUUGUUGUCCCCACCCCUUGCUGAUAAUUUUGAAAUAUUGCGUACAUAUUUUUGCACACGAGUGGCUUCUUGUGCAUUUACAGAUAUUAAAUUCAAAUCAAUAUUUAAAAAGUUAAUUCAUGCUUUAACUUGCCAGAUCUGCAGGAAACUCUUCAUGGUUAUGUUGCCCUCGGAAAACACCUGACCUUGUCAAGAUAGAAAACCAUGGAUUUCCUGCCUGAAAUGAAAAUUAAAAUAAAACGAUAUAUUUCAAUUUAUUUACAUGGGAAAAUCCAAGAUUACCGACUGCCUAUAUAUAUGGUUGUAACAAUCUGCAAAGCAUAUGGGCUCAAUCAGUCAAAAUCUCUAACUCCAAGUAUGCAGGACAAACCUGCCGGGCACCUUUGAUGUCAACUGAAGGAUUGUCACCAAUCAUAUAAAGAGUCCUGAAAGGAGGUGAUCCAGGGGCCACACAUUCUCUGAGAGGAGCUUCAGUAUUACAAGACAGUUGAAGCUGGGACACUACAGCUUCGGCAUUCUUGAAUACAGAUGGAUUAGGUUUCCCAAAACAUAUAUACUCCAAAUCAUUAUGGUGAAUUCUGCAGUCAGUGCCAAGCAUAAAACAUCCCAGUGCAAAAAGUUUUUACUAAUUUUUCAGCAGUUUCGUUGGUAAUUCAGCUCUAAUAUAUCACGUGUUAUGGCACAAGUUCAAAGAACAUAUAGAACUGAAGUUUCUUCCUUUCAUUUUAGUUUUUUUUUUUUUUUUUUUUUCCUUCGUCUUAAAAUACCAGAACAUGAGAGAAGGUAACUAGGUGGUAUACUUUAAAUCAUAGCUGCCCAAUCAUAAGGUGCUAAAAUGAAACGAAGAAAAAACCUGGGAAUUAGAAGUGCUCAGGGUUCAAGGAAAGCAAACUGUGAAAGAUUCUUUUGCAAUAAACCAACAAACCUAAGUAAUUGAUUCACUAAUUUAUUGGCUAACAACAAUGUUCCAGAACCUACAGCCACAGCCCAGAGUUAUAACAACGAAGCAUAUCAACCCAUUGUUAUACACUUCAAAUAGUCACUGCAUAAUCACAAAAACUAAUGUGCAAAAUUAAAACAUCCAACAUAAACUUAAGUGAACGUAAGGGAAGCUAUUAUUUAUGCAGAAUCGUGCAAAAGAGUACUGUACAGAAAUGGAUAGAUAAGUAUGAAGGUUGACUAAUCAAAAUAUUCUCAGUUAUUCAAUGAAGAAAGGAAAUAAUACUAGGGAAAGAAUAUGAAAGCACAACCUUCAACAACACCCUUCUUUGUUUACCCAUUAGAUAUUAAAGCCGAAAAGGGUGGGGGUCGAUCCCCUAUACCUAGAGAUAGGAAUGACCACUGGCUACUAGCUUAAUGGCAUUUUGACUAACACCGUGUUUUUUGCUACCCAUAUUUUCUACAAUAAGAUUAACAUACUUAUAUUUCUUUAACUUAGACAAUUUCACAUUUAGAGAAUUAUCAUUUUUUUUUUCCAGAAAAGUUAGCAGUAAUCUGGCCAUUUUUACAAUUUUGGCCAAUUCUUUUAAUUUUAUAAAUUGAUUAUGGACUUAACAAUUUUUUUUUUUUUUUAAAUUGUACCCUCCAUCCACUAUCCAUCCAAGAAUCACCAAUGUUGUUGUUAGCUCUUGAAAAAGUAGGCCCCAGGCAUGUUAGUAAACAUUGAUUUAGGAUUCCACUAAAAACAACAAAUUAAAAGAAAAGUACUAGCUUCAACAGCAUUUUUUAAAGGGGGAAAACAGCCAGUUUGUCUGGCUUAAAAAUUUUUUCUUCAUCAUACCUCCUCCUCCUCCUCCUCCGCCCACACCACCAUUACCAUAAUAACUGCCAUUGCCACCAACACCACCCCCUUGUUCUCACUUUGUAGUUUACUCUUCGUUAGAUCUCACCAGCUUUGAUCGACCUUCACAACUAUGGUGUUGUAUUUGUCAUAAUCAGUCUGCUAUUGCCACACAUCAUUUGAUGAAUUUGCAUAAUAAGUAAAUUCAAAAUUAGGCCAGAAAAACUGGCCUGAUAGGAAACAAAACUUUUACAAGAAGAUAACAUUGAAAACCAUUUUGCAAAAAGAUGAUAACUUAGAUUUAGAGAACGUCAAUCCAUUUCUUUGUAAGCAACAGUGAGAUAUACAACAAAGGAACCAGAGAACUUUGAAGGCUAUCAAGUUAUGGGGAUUCCAAAAUAAAUUCAGACUUCAGUCCUUACAAUCUCAUCAUUUUUCAAGGAUUAAACUAAAAUACCAUAGACUAUAAACUUUAUAAUAAAAAUUCAGAUACAAUCAAACCCAGCGACUAAGCAAAGCAAUCAGAGAACUUUGAAGACCAAAAGAAAUUCCACAUUUAAAUUCAGAUCUAAACAAACUCAUCAUUUUACUUUGCUUUCAACAAUUGAUCACAAAAAGACCCAAAACCGACACUGAAAAAGGAAAUAUAUAUUCUUGUAAGGCAAAAUUGACUCUCCGCACAAGAUUAUAAAGCUCUAAUAAACCGCAUAGAGAGAUAUUUGCCUCCAUAGUUUUGUAAAUAUUGCACCUUUUAAUACCCUUUUCUCGUUUGAUUCCUUGAAAUUCUCUAACGCGAAGAAUCAAGGGGCUAGAUGGUGCUUUUUGCAAUCAAACAAAUAUUUAUUUAUCACCAGCUUUCUCUCUUUGUAGUUUACUCUUUGUUUGAUCUCACCAGCUUCGAUUGAUCUUCAUGAUUGCAGCAUUUUAUUUGUCAUAGUUGUAUUUGUUAGAGGGGGUGGUUGUAGUGGUGGUGAGAUAAAAGGAGGCAGGAGGAAAGAGAAGGCAUGAUGAAGAAAUUUUUUUUAAGCCAGCAUGAAAUGACAUACUUCAAGCAAACCUAGAUCAAAUAUAAAUUCAACAAACAAGCUAAACCUUAAACUAUGGGCCCAACCCAAAUUAUUCAGCUGGGGGAAGUGAUUUGACAAACCUGAAAUGAUUAAAAAGAAAUGAAAUAGACAUAUAAUUCAAAAGGGCCCUUUUGGAGCAAAGGCAAUUGUCCUUUGAGUUUGUUUAGACAUGCAACACCAGAUGUGGUCUAUCAAACCACUAAAUUAGUGGACGAGGGAGGAAGGAAUUUAAACAAAUUUAUAUGCUAAAUUAAAUGAGACACUAACCUCACCUGUUGAAGAUACUCUCCAAAGCAAUUCUGAAAGCACCCAUUCCAAGGCGCUGAGAAGAAAAUGCAGCCUGUACAGAGUAAUAAGCCGAUCAUCAGUUGUUAAUUUUUCCUCCAAAACCAAAAGUAAUAAAAGAAAGGAAUAGGAUAUAACUUUUUAUGAAUCACCCACGAGGCUGCUCCAGUUCAGAUCCAAAAUAAAUCAUAAGUCAUACUUAAGAAUUAAAAAUAUUGAAAAAUGAUUGAGACCGAAAAUAGAAAGCAUGCAUGAAAGGCUCAUGAUUUUAUUUAUAUACAACUUUUAAGCCUGCUGGUCAGAUGAUAAUUAGGCACAACGCACAAAAUGUCUUGCUUGUAAGCUCUUAUUCACUUCAAACUAAUUAAUAUGAAUGUUUCAAUGAAAAAAUUUAUCCAUUGAUCAAUCCAUGAACUCUUUUUUUUUUUUUUCUUUUUGAUCAAAUUACUGCAAUAUCAGAGAUGACCAAGGCCUAUACAAAAUAAGGGAGUACCAACCUGAUAUUCAAGAUCAUCAGCAGCAAAAUAUAAAGGAGGUUGAUGCCUGCUGUCCUUUCCUGGAAGGCCUCCGGAUCUUAAAACAUCACAGAUAACCUAAACUGAUUCAUUAGUCGGACCAUAACUGGAGGGAGACGUACUUGUAAAAUACAAAGCAUUGAGAUAAAAGGAAAGCAACAACCUAUAAGAAGUUUAACAGAUAACCCUCCAAUCAGAAUAAAUAGUCACUUCUACAAGUUUUUUUGUCAUCAAAAGUUACUCUAUGGUUACAGCAGUAUUACAAAACAUAUCCAAAUGUUUUCCUCACUCAAUAACCUAUACCCUAUUCAUAAUAAACACAUACACAAACACAAUAGAGAAGUAUGAAUGAGGAAGGCAUUCAUCGGGCUAAAUAUUAUGUCAAAUUAUGUAAUAUUACAAAUACAUACUUAUAGUUUGUUAUGAUUGCCUUAUUAAAACUAUAAAUGGGGCCAAAGAGAUGUGAUUGGAUCUUUGUGAUUGCAAAUUCACACAUACAAGAUGAAUUGUUAGAUCAAAAGAUAUUAGCCUUAGAUUAACAUUACAUGAUUACUAUAAAGUAAAAACAGAAGGAAAAGAUCUGAUGGAUUUUCCAUUCCACUUUGAGAAAAACAAGGAGAGCUCCAAUAUAAAAACAGGAAUAGCCUCACCUAUAGGUUGUGGUUCAGUUGGCAAUGCAAACUAGGCAUUUGGAAAGAGUUCUCGGGUUUGAUCUCCACUAAACACACCUGCAGGGAGGGGUGAAGAGCCUUAACUGUGACUAAGCCCCGAGCCGGAUUCGACGGUCCCUGGUAAUAGGGUCCAGAUACCGGUGGGUUACCCAAAAAAAAAAAAAAAAAGGAAUAGCCUCCUUUCACUUUUGUGUGUCUACGGAAGAAACCUUUUAAUAGUGUGCCAGUCAAUGUUGUCUUUUAUUUGUGGUAUUAAGUACAGUAGAAAGGAGUAAAAGCUUUAGUUUGAGUUUGGUUUGGCUUGAACACGACCUGAGCUUUCAAUGGCUCAAGCUUGGUUUUCCAACAGAGUCACUGUCAAGCUCGCCUCUUUGAGCUCCUUCAAGAUUGAGUAGAGUUCAAGCAGGACUCCAUAGUGGGAAACCUUAGGUUGAACAGGCAAAGACUUGGGUUGGCUCAGUUUGUAUACGCUCCUUGUUUUCAUUUCCACAGUUUAUGGUUACGGUUACAGAAGUCUACUCAUCAUGCAAUUUAUAAUAUUCGUCUCAAUAAUACUAAUACUGAAAAGAGUCUUCUCUGUAAGUUAUAUAAAUGAAUUUUACUUGUUUCCAGGGAGGCAAAAAUUAACAUCUAAUUCAAGAGGCCUACAUUUUAAAAAAAGAACUUAAUUUAACACUACUAUCUAAUCCUCUAUGUACGAAUAUCAUCUUAAUAAUCAAUGGUAAAAUAGUGAGAAAAUUACACUAGACAACACAGUUGUUUUAGAUCACCAUAUUCCACAGCAGCCACUAUAUGAAAUCCAAAGAUCCACAAGCUGGUUCAUACAUUACUACAUAAAGAAAGGAGAAAUACCUGAAUGUCCCUUCCCCAAUCUACAGGAUCACUGACGACAAAUACAGCCUUAACUGUUUCAGAAGAAACAUUGUAUCUUGAUGUUAUAUUCAGAGACGUACUCAUAGUGCUACACAAUUCCUGCUUAGUGGUCCAUUUCUUGUAUUGAGAUACAGGAUCAAUAUUCUCAAACAGAGAGGCAUACUCAUCUAAAGAGAGAACCUUUCUGCCAAGAAAAAAUAAAUGAGUCUUAAUGGAAAUGUUGCAAAAUCCAAAAUAAUGGUCUAAAAUACAGGUAAUCAUAUGACCAGUACAUAUCAAAAGAACUUACUUGAAACCAUACUCGAGCAUUACUAGAGCAGGUUCCCCUUUUCCGGUGGCAACAAUGAGUUGAUUCUCAUAUCUGUAGGGAAAGUCAGAUCACGAUAACAUAAGAUAUUGGCAGAUAAACAAUUCAAACACAAAAAGUUGUUAUAUUUAUAAACAGUAAAUCUGGAUAACAAAUUAAUUUCCUUGGUGAAAUAUUUAAUGUAAAUCACAAAACCAAAAGAAUAGUUUUUCCAUAAAAAGAUCUUCAAAAAACUCUAUGAAAUGUAUCCAAGACUAACUUCUGGAUGUUCAUCAAGUAAGGAAUAUAGUAAUGAACGCUACUGAAAAAUAUUAGGAUUUGAUAGGACCUUUUCCUUUUCCACUGGAAAUUCAUCAUAAUUUGACCACUGAUAAACACUACUGAGUUCACUUCGAAUUUGAGAAUCCUAUAAACUCAAGCUGGUCUAUUUGUAAUACAAAAUGACCUUAAAUAUUCCUAUUUCAUCUCUAGUGCUGCUGUCUGCUGAAUGCAUAACUUAUUUUACCCUUUUUUUUUUCCUCUGUGAUGAGGAGUGGUUAAUAUAUCAACAUGUCUUUGUGAAAUAUUAUGGUUGGGAUAUGGUAUUUAAGAAUAGAAUGAAUAUAUCAUGCACAAGGAAAAAAAAUGACUAAAACCAAGUAUGUUAAGAAAGGAAAUGGUAUUCUGAAGCUAAAGACAUGUAGAUAGAGAAUACACAAACAAAAUUGACAGAGAUAUACCUUUUCAACAGACUUUUAAAAGGUGAGUGACCCUGUAAAACCUGUAUCAGGAAAAAUGAACAGCUAUGCCAAAGACUCUAUUAGUCCAUCAGUGCCAAAGGCAAGGUUAACGGGGUAAAGUAUACAAUUAUUUUAAGCAAUACCUGAGAAGGUAAAAUCUUUAAGCCCAGAAGUUCACUUAACUCAAUGGCUCGUCUAGAUUCCGGAAUUCCACCUCCUAAUCAAAUAGAAUUAUAUGACAUUACUUCAUCAUUUAAUUGCUUAGUUGUAUAUCUUGGCUUCAAAAGUAAAAAGCAUUAUGAAACAUAUAAUGUUAUAAAACCUAGCAUGUAUAAAAUAUUAAAUUACAUAUUCUUGAAAACAUUUAAAUAUGUUUGCAUACAUAAAAUCCUAAUUAGAAGAAUGGAAUGUAUACAAGCCUGCAACUUACCAUUUGUCAAGAACAAAAAAGGAACCUUCAGAGACCCUGUAAAGAUGCACUAAUCAUUAAGAAAAAUAAAAAACACGAAUUGAGGAAAACGAACAAAGAAAUUGAUCCCAUAAACCAAGAAGAAGUUCCUUUCCUUCCUAAGACCACCUAAGCAUCAUUAUUUUGCACUACCUAUUUCACUUCAAUCACCUGAACUCAGUUUUAAUCCUAAUCAAUAGGUUCCAAAACAUUUUUACAGAAGAAACCAAAAUACACAAAUACUUUCAAAAGUUUAGUUUAAUGCAUCCUUUUGUCUAUGACAUUAAACAGCAAAUUUAACUUUCGUUUAGUUCACUUGGCAAAUCAGUGAAUCACUUUUGUUCAUAUAAUAAACACUCCAUUGCUACUUAUUUCCCCCUUUUACAAGCAUCACUACAAUGCACCGCGUAUACCUAUUUCAAUUAUUCAAUUCAGUUUUGCUUCUUUUAUAGUUUACCUUCAAAUUUGAAAUCAAAGUACAAUCUAAAAUCACAGAAUUGCAUAUUACACUUCUAAUUUCCUAUAAAAUCUGCACAAUCAUAGCAUUCUGUGAGUUUUAAAGAGACAAAGGAGGGAAGAAUAUAAAAUACCAGCAUCUCCGUACAAUCUCCUCAAAGCUUGAGAAGAGCCAGCAAUGGGGGCACGACCACGAAUAAUAACACCAUCAAUGUCGAACGCAAUUCCGAAAGAAGAAGAACUGAAACAACCGAAAAUUCCAAUUCCAAUCUCCUCUCAAUUGCAAAAGAAAUUUAAAAUGAAGGGGAAAAAAAACUGAAUUGGAAGGAAUCAAAUCAAACGAACCCAUUGUUUUGGUGGUGCUUCUGCUUUGUUUGAAGCUGGCAAAAAGAACGUGAAAAUUGAGAUUGAAUUAUAAAUGGCGCUCUGUUCUUGAUAUCAGAAACACCAAUAAACACCAAUCUUUUCUCAAAUCUCAUCUCUAUCUCUAUGUUUCCUUGCUUGUGGUAUAGCUUGAGAAAUAGAAAGAGCUUGUAUGUUGUCGUAUUUAAACGCUUCGUCGUUUAAUCAUUAGUCGUUUUAAGCCUAACGAGCCAAUUGCACUAUAAAUGGGCGUAAACUGGUGUAAGCAAAGUUCGUUUUAGAACUGAAAAAUCCAACAGAAAUUAUCUAAUUCCAUUUUUUAGAUUUUUUCGGUUUCGGUUUGAAAUUCAUAUCUAUCUAUCUAUCUAUACCAUAUAUAAAUAUAAAAACAGAGGCAAAUAAUAGAAUUUUCUAUAUCACCUUUAAGAAAAUUUAAAAUAUUCUAAAAUACUCUUAAUGAUAAUCAAUUAAAAAAUUAUAAUUUAUUAAUUAAUUGGAUAUAAUUUAUAAAUUAUUUUUUAAUUCAAUCAUUUGUAGUCUGAUUGUCUUCUCACUUAUGUGAAGAGGGAGAGGUUUCGAGUUCGAGUUUUCUCGACCAUAAGUAUUCAUCAAUUUAAUUAUUAUGUAGCCCACAGUGUUAUUUCGACUCAUUAGACCUCCUAAUUUCGAGUUCGAGUUCUCUCGACCACAAGUAUUUACCAAUUUAAUUAUUAUAUAGCCCACAAUGUUAUUUCGGCUGAUCAGACCUCCUAAUGAGUAAAAAUAUAUAUAUUUUUUAAAUAAAUACAUAUAAAUAAUUAAGCAUUUCAAAAUUUUAAGUUUUAUCUUUACUAAAUUUAUUUUUUAAUGAAUAUAUAUAAUAAUGAGAUAUUUGAAAUUUUUUUUAUAUUUUAUUUAUUAAAUAUUUAGUUCUUUUAGAAAAUAUAUAAAAUUUUUUUCUCUAUGUUUAUAUGAUAUGAUUGGAUUUGUUUGAAAAAGAAUAAAUUUUUCAAUAGAGUAUAUAUAAUAAUUUAUUUUAUGAGAGAGAUAAAAAAAGAAGAAACAAAGUAUAUCACUUUUAUUAAUAUUUUUUAUUCUUUAUGUUUGUAAGAUUUCAUUGGAUAUAUUUUUUAAAAAGUAAAUUUUCAAAUAGAAUUUACAUAAUUAAAUAUGUGACGGUAAACAAUUGAAAAUUUUAAUUUAAAAAAUAAUAUUUUAUUGAUUUGUUUAUAUAUUUAUAUACAUUGAAAUGUUAUUUUUGUUAGGUGAGUUACCAAUAUGAUUAUUGUGUAGCUCACAAUAUUAUUUCGGCUCAUCAAACCUCCUAAUAAAUAAAAAAAAAUAGUUUUUAAAAAAAGUACUUAUACAUAUAUAAUUAAACAUUUCAAAAUUUUAAGUUUUAUAUUUAAUAAAUUUAUUUUUAAUGAAUAUAAACGAUAACGAGACAUUUGAAAAUUUUUUAUAUUUUAUUUAUUAAAUAUUUAAUUUUUUUAGGAUAUAGAUUAAAAAAAAGAAAGAAAAUAUACUUUGUUUUCUAGCUCUUCUAGAGUAGUAUCUCACUGAUGGCUCAGACUCCCCCGGAAAGGGGGCCUUCUUCGCCUUCCACCUAAGUUGUGCAGGAAAGGCCCAAAGCCAAUCCCAGGGAACAGUGAAGCUUCAUAGGGUCUUUCUGUCCAGUGCAGGUAGUCCGCAUCUUCACAGAUAUGUCUAUUUCACCGAGCCUCUUUCUGAGACAGUGCCCCGUCGACUUUAAAAAUUGUGAGGGUUCAAGUCCCUCUAUCCCCAAAAAAGGCUCGUUCGACUCCCUAAUUAUUUUUGUCCUAUUCUCUCUUUUCAUUAACAGUUCAAUUUUCGCGGUUGGAUAUUCGAGAGUCAAAAAUUCGUUAAACUAAUAAAUUGAGCAGUUUUUUUGAAUUAUUUGAUUUAUUAGAUCUUGAGAUGAAUUUCUUUUUGUUUUCAGUAAUUCAUGGAAGAAUAGAUCGAGGAAACCCCUAUGAAUGUACCAUUGUAUGAUAUGAUUGGAUAUAUUUUUUAAAAAUAAAUUUUCAAAUAGAAUAUAUAUAAUAUUUUAUUUAGGAGAGAGAUAAAAAAAGAAAAAAAAAUUUUUAUUAAUAUUUUUGUUCUUUAUGUUUGUCAUAUUUGAUUGGAUAUUUUUUAAAAAUAAAAUUUUAAAUAUAAUUUAGCUAAUUAAACAUGGAAUGAUAAACUGUUAAAAAUUUUUAAUUUAAAAAAUAAUAUUUUAUUGAUAUAUUUAUAUAUUUAUAUAUAUUGAAAUGUCUUUUCUAUUAGAUGAGUUUUGAAAUAGUUUUAUUCUUAAUAGUAAUUUUUUAUUUUCUUUUUCGUUACUGAAUAUUUUGUAACUACUAUCAUUUUAAUUUAGUAAGAGAUAUAAAUCUCCCUUGCGAUAAAUAGAUGGUCUAUUGAUGAUUAAGCAUUUUUAAUUUUUUCUCUUAUAUCUUGAAUCUGUUUGACUUAAAAGAAAAUAGUGUUUAAGAAACUGUAAAAAAAAAAAAAAAAAAUUAAAACUAUAUUUUUCUUUUUGGUAACUUUUUUGGGUUUAAAGAUGUGAAAUAUUAUGGUUGGGAUAUGGUAUUUAAGAAUAGAAUGAAUAUAUCAUGCACAAGGAAAAAAAAUGACUAAAACCAAGUAUGUUAAGAAAGGAAAUGGUAUUCUGAAGCUAAAGACAUGUAGAUAGAGAAUACACAAACAAAAUUGACAGAGAUAUACCUUUUCAACAGACUUUUAAAAGGUGAGUGACCCUGUAAAACCUGUAUCAGGAAAAAUGAACAGCUAUGCCAAAGACUCUAUUAGUCCAUCAGUGCCAAAGGCAAGGUUAACGGGGUAAAGUAUACAAUUAUUUUAAGCAAUACCUGAGAAGGUAAAAUCUUUAAGCCCAGAAGUUCACUUAACUCAAUGGCUCGUCUAGAUUCCGGAAUUCCACCUCCUAAUCAAAUAGAAUUAUAUGACAUUACUUCAUCAUUUAAUUGCUUAGUUGUAUAUCUUGGCUUCAAAAGUAAAAAGCAUUAUGAAACAUAUAAUGUUAUAAAACCUAGCAUGUAUAAAAUAUUAAAUUACAUAUUCUUGAAAACAUUUAAAUAUGUUUGCAUACAUAAAAUCCUAAUUAGAAGAAUGGAAUGUAUACAAGCCUGCAACUUACCAUUUGUCAAGAACAAAAAAGGAACCUUCAGAGACCCUGUAAAGAUGCACUAAUCAUUAAGAAAAAUAAAAAACACGAAUUGAGGAAAACGAACAAAGAAAUUGAUCCCAUAAACCAAGAAGAAGUUCCUUUCCUUCCUAAGACCACCUAAGCAUCAUUAUUUUGCACUACCUAUUUCACUUCAAUCACCUGAACUCAGUUUUAAUCCUAAUCAAUAGGUUCCAAAACAUUUUUACAGAAGAAACCAAAAUACACAAAUACUUUCAAAAGUUUAGUUUAAUGCAUCCUUUUGUCUAUGACAUUAAACAGCAAAUUUAACUUUCGUUUAGUUCACUUGGCAAAUCAGUGAAUCACUUUUGUUCAUAUAAUAAACACUCCAUUGCUACUUAUUUCCCCCUUUUACAAGCAUCACUACAAUGCACCGCGUAUACCUAUUUCAAUUAUUCAAUUCAGUUUUGCUUCUUUUAUAGUUUACCUUCAAAUUUGAAAUCAAAGUACAAUCUAAAAUCACAGAAUUGCAUAUUACACUUCUAAUUUCCUAUAAAAUCUGCACAAUCAUAGCAUUCUGUGAGUUUUAAAGAGACAAAGGAGGGAAGAAUAUAAAAUACCAGCAUCUCCGUACAAUCUCCUCAAAGCUUGAGAAGAGCCAGCAAUGGGGGCACGACCACGAAUAAUAACACCAUCAAUGUCGAACGCAAUUCCGAAAGAAGAAGAACUGAAACAACCGAAAAUUCCAAUUCCAAUCUCCUCUCAAUUGCAAAAGAAAUUUAAAAUGAAGGGGAAAAAAAACUGAAUUGGAAGGAAUCAAAUCAAACGAACCCAUUGUUUUGGUGGUGCUUCUGCUUUGUUUGAAGCUGGCAAAAAGAACGUGAAAAUUGAGAUUGAAUUAUAAAUGGCGCUCUGUUCUUGAUAUCAGAAACACCAAUAAACACCAAUCUUUUCUCAAAUCUCAUCUCUAUCUCUAUGUUUCCUUGCUUGUGGUAUAGCUUGAGAAAUAGAAAGAGCUUGUAUGUUGUCGUAUUUAAACGCUUCGUCGUUUAAUCAUUAGUCGUUUUAAGCCUAACGAGCCAAUUGCACUAUAAAUGGGCGUAAACUGGUGUAAGCAAAGUUCGUUUUAGAACUGAAAAAUCCAACAGAAAUUAUCUAAUUCCAUUUUUUAGAUUUUUUCGGUUUCGGUUUGAAAUUCAUAUCUAUCUAUCUAUCUAUACCAUAUAUAAAUAUAAAAACAGAGGCAAAUAAUAGAAUUUUCUAUAUCACCUUUAAGAAAAUUUAAAAUAUUCUAAAAUACUCUUAAUGAUAAUCAAUUAAAAAAUUAUAAUUUAUUAAUUAAUUGGAUAUAAUUUAUAAAUUAUUUUUUAAUUCAAUCAUUUGUAGUCUGAUUGUCUUCUCACUUAUGUGAAGAGGGAGAGGUUUCGAGUUCGAGUUUUCUCGACCAUAAGUAUUCAUCAAUUUAAUUAUUAUGUAGCCCACAGUGUUAUUUCGACUCAUUAGACCUCCUAAUUUCGAGUUCGAGUUCUCUCGACCACAAGUAUUUACCAAUUUAAUUAUUAUAUAGCCCACAAUGUUAUUUCGGCUGAUCAGACCUCCUAAUGAGUAAAAAUAUAUAUAUUUUUUAAAUAAAUACAUAUAAAUAAUUAAGCAUUUCAAAAUUUUAAGUUUUAUCUUUACUAAAUUUAUUUUUUAAUGAAUAUAUAUAAUAAUGAGAUAUUUGAAAUUUUUUUUAUAUUUUAUUUAUUAAAUAUUUAGUUCUUUUAGAAAAUAUAUAAAAUUUUUUUCUCUAUGUUUAUAUGAUAUGAUUGGAUUUGUUUGAAAAAGAAUAAAUUUUUCAAUAGAGUAUAUAUAAUAAUUUAUUUUAUGAGAGAGAUAAAAAAAGAAGAAACAAAGUAUAUCACUUUUAUUAAUAUUUUUUAUUCUUUAUGUUUGUAAGAUUUCAUUGGAUAUAUUUUUUAAAAAGUAAAUUUUCAAAUAGAAUUUACAUAAUUAAAUAUGUGACGGUAAACAAUUGAAAAUUUUAAUUUAAAAAAUAAUAUUUUAUUGAUUUGUUUAUAUAUUUAUAUACAUUGAAAUGUUAUUUUUGUUAGGUGAGUUACCAAUAUGAUUAUUGUGUAGCUCACAAUAUUAUUUCGGCUCAUCAAACCUCCUAAUAAAUAAAAAAAAAUAGUUUUUAAAAAAAGUACUUAUACAUAUAUAAUUAAACAUUUCAAAAUUUUAAGUUUUAUAUUUAAUAAAUUUAUUUUUAAUGAAUAUAAACGAUAACGAGACAUUUGAAAAUUUUUUAUAUUUUAUUUAUUAAAUAUUUAAUUUUUUUAGGAUAUAGAUUAAAAAAAAGAAAGAAAAUAUACUUUGUUUUCUAGCUCUUCUAGAGUAGUAUCUCACUGAUGGCUCAGACUCCCCCGGAAAGGGGGCCUUCUUCGCCUUCCACCUAAGUUGUGCAGGAAAGGCCCAAAGCCAAUCCCAGGGAACAGUGAAGCUUCAUAGGGUCUUUCUGUCCAGUGCAGGUAGUCCGCAUCUUCACAGAUAUGUCUAUUUCACCGAGCCUCUUUCUGAGACAGUGCCCCGUCGACUUUAAAAAUUGUGAGGGUUCAAGUCCCUCUAUCCCCAAAAAAGGCUCGUUCGACUCCCUAAUUAUUUUUGUCCUAUUCUCUCUUUUCAUUAACAGUUCAAUUUUCGCGGUUGGAUAUUCGAGAGUCAAAAAUUCGUUAAACUAAUAAAUUGAGCAGUUUUUUUGAAUUAUUUGAUUUAUUAGAUCUUGAGAUGAAUUUCUUUUUGUUUUCAGUAAUUCAUGGAAGAAUAGAUCGAGGAAACCCCUAUGAAUGUACCAUUGUAUGAUAUGAUUGGAUAUAUUUUUUAAAAAUAAAUUUUCAAAUAGAAUAUAUAUAAUAUUUUAUUUAGGAGAGAGAUAGAAAAAAGAAGAAAAAAGUAUAUUAUUUUUAUUAAUAUUUUUGUUCUUUAUGUUUGUCAUAUUUGAUUGGAUAUUUUUUAAAAAUAAAAUUUUAAAUAUAAUUUAGCUAAUUAAACAUGGAAUGAUAAACUGUUAAAAAUUUUUAAUUUAAAAAAUAAUAUUUUAUUGAUAUAUUUAUAUAUUUAUAUAUAUUGAAAUGUCUUUUCUAUUAGAUGAGUUUUGAAAUAGUUUUAUUCUUAAUAGUAAUUUUUUAUUUUCUUUUUCGUUACUGAAUAUUUUGUAACUACUAUCAUUUUAAUUUAGUAAGAGAUAUAAAUCUCCCUUGCGAUAAAUAGAUGGUCUAUUGAUGAUUAAGCAUUUUUAAUUUUUUCUCUUAUAUCUUGAAUCUGUUUGACUUAAAAGAAAAUAGUGUUUAAGAAACUGUGAAAAAAAAAAAAAAAAAUUAGAACUAUAUAUUUCUAUUUGGAUAACUUUUUGGGUUUCAAGAAUUUGUAUGCAUGUGCGUAUGUUCCUUUUUCUGAUACAUUGGGUAAGUAAAAUUGUCACUGUAGUCAAUGUGAUUUUCAUUAUCAAUUCAGAUCAUUUUCUCAUUUAUUUUCUUUUAACCUAGCAGGAAAAAUAAUUUAUUAUUAUUCUUCAUUAUAAUUGUAUAUAGAUUUUGAUUUAAGGUUAAGGGCAGGGGGUUGGAGAUUGAAUAAUGACUUAAUUUUCUUUUUGAGCACCUAUUAGGGUUUUAAAAAUUUACAUUUAUAAAUUAUAGACUAAAGAAUUAAGUCUAAUGAUUGAGCUGAACUUUAUUCUAAGAUCACUUUAUUAUAUAAAAAUAAAAUUAAGUACAUAAUGAAUAGCAUUGCAAGUAGUUUGUAUAACAAAGUAUAAUAUAAAUUAACUACUUAUAUUUAUUUUAAUCUAAACAAAACUUAUUAUUUAAUAUUAUAUAAAUAAAAAAUGAGUAUAUAAUGAGUAUAGUCAACGUGCAACGCACGUCAUACAAAAUACUAGUACUAUAUAUAAAUAUGGGAAUAUAGGGGGAAUAAUGAGAUUUCUGAUAUCCUAGAAUAGCCUUAGUCGUAGUAAAUUCGAAAAUUACAUUUUAUACCAAAGAGUAUUUGGAUGAGUAGUUCGGUACUCUUCUCUCUUAAGUGAGUCGAGGGUUCGAUCCUCAUUGAUGAAAUAAAUACUCGCUGUGAGCACUUUAUCUCUUCUUGGACUGAUCCGGUGAACAGAAUUUAGUUUUAGCCCAGUGGACUCGAGAGACCUGUGGUUAGGACAAAAAAAAAAGAAAAAUUACAUUUUAUUAUUUGAUCGGAUAUAACUUCUAAAAAUUAUUUUUUAAAUAAAUACAUAUAAAUAAUAAAAAAGAAAAAAAUAUACUCUUCUUUUUCUGUGUAGUUGUAGGGAAAAUUGAUGGUUUAUUUGGCGAGAAUAGAACGUAUCUUUUAUAUAAUCUUUUUAUUAAUUAAUUAACUUAUUUAUUUAUUUAUUUUAAAUUUGCAACUUAGAAAAAUAGAGAAACAAAAUUAGAUCAUAGCAUUAUUUGCUUUGUAAUUUUCAUUUAUUGAAUGCUAUAGUCUGUUUUUUUUUUUUUUUUUUUUUGGUCUAUCAACAUCAAAUUUUAUUAAAUUACAGCAUUUCCAGUUAAAGAAAGGGUUAUUUUUAAAAUUCAAAUUGGUAAUUUUUUUAAUAUAAUUUGUUUCUUAUUAUAUAUUGAGUUUCGAAAAGAGUUCUAUUCUUAAUAAUAAUUUUUUAUUUUUUAUUUUUUAUUUUCUUUUUCAUUACUGAAUUAAUUUGUAACUACUAUCACUUUAAUUUAGCAAGAGAUUUAUAUCUUCAUUGCAAUAAAUAGAUAGCCUCUUGAUGAUUAAAUAUUUUUAAUUUUCUUAAUAUGUUUUCUAUUAUAUUUUAAAUCUAUUUGACUUGAAAGAAAAUGGUGUUUAUAAAACUAAAAAAAACUAUAACUACAUAUUUCUAUUUUAGAUCACUUUAUGGGGUUUCAAGAAUUUGUGUGUAUGUGCACAUAUUCCUUUAUCUAAUAGGUUGGGUAAGUAAUACGGUCACUAUAGCCAAAGUAAUUACCAUUAUUAAGGUUUGGGGUUGAGGACAGAAGGUUGGAGAUUAAGUUAUGACUUGAUUUUUUUUUUUUUUGGGGCACUUAUUAAGAUUUUAAGAAUAUGCAUUUUUAAAUUAGGAACUGAAGGAUUAGGUCUAGAGAUUGGGUUGAAUUUUAUUUUGAAACUACUUCAUUAUAAAUAAAAUAAAAUUAAUUACAUAAAAAGCAGCGUUAUAAAUUGUUGUACGAUAAAGUCCAAUACAAAUUAAGCAAUUGUAUUUAUUUUAAUUUAAACAAAAUUUAUGCUUUAAUAUUAUAUAGAUAAAACAAAUUAAAAUAGUAUAAAUAUAUAACGAGCAUAAUCAACGUGCAAGACACAUCAUAAAAAAGACUAGCAUUACAAGUACAUAAGAAAUAGAAAACAAAUUAUAUAAAAAUAAAAUAAAGUACAUAGGAAAUAACAUUGUAAGUAGCUUAUACAGUAAAGUUUAAUACAAAUUAACCAAUUGUAUUUAUUUUAAUAUAAACAAAAACUUAUGCUCUAAUAUUAUAUAGAUAAAAAAUGAAACGAGUAUAAAAAAUGAAAAUAUAACGAGCAUUAUCAACGUGCACGUCUUAAAAAAGAGUAGUACUAUACAUAAAAAUAGAAUGAGAGGGGAAUAAUGGGAUUUCCUAUAUCACAUCUCAUGAAAUUUAAAAUGUUCUAAAAUACCUUUAAUGAUGGCCAACUAAAAAAAUUAGUUUAUUAAUGAUUGGAUAUAAUUUAUAAAAUUAAUUUUAAGCCAAUCAUGUGUGGUUUGAUUGUCUUCUCACUAAUAUUUUUUUUUUGUUUUUAUACAUGAUGUCGAAAAAUUUAUAAAAAUACUAUUUAUUUGGAGUUUCAUCCUUCAUUUCAAUCUAUAAAAGGUGGAAAUUCGAGUGAAAUCGAUAGAAAUGUCAAAAUAAGGUGAAAUUGCAAAAACUCUUAAAGUUUGAGAUAUUAUCAUAUAUUAAGCCUGUAAAAUAUGGGAGGAUGUAAAAUGAGGUUCUAAAAUGAUACCAUUCACUUUAUCUCCUUAUUUUAGAUUAUUUGUAUGGAUUGGAUGAAAAUCAAGAGAGAGGGAGUAAACUAAAUUUAUUUUAAUUUAUUUUGCACCUAGUUGCGUUAUUUCACAAUUUUACCUUCAUCCUCAAUAAGGUAUUUUGCAAAAGCAUGUAAAUUUUUACUUGUUAUUUUACACUCAUUCCAAUUUUACACCAAACAAAACAAACUAUAAAUUUGUGACCUUACCGUGAGAAAGGAAGAAAAAAAAAUUGUUUGAUUGAUCUUUUCACUUAUAUAGAGAGUAAGGGGUUUCACGUUUGAUAUCUCUUAACUACGAGAGUUUUCACCAAUUUGGUGAAUGAAGGGGAAUGCUAUCAUUUGUUGUGUAGCUCACAAUAUUUUUUUGGCCCAUUGAUCUCCCAAUAAAAAAAAAUAAUUUCUUAAAACUUGCUGAAUCAUUAAAAUUACCCCAAACUUUGCUGGUAAUUUUAAUUGUAUCUUAAAUCCAACUUUCUUUUUUAAGUACUAUGAACUUCUAGCACUCUAAUUUCAAAUUAUAUCUAAUUUAAUAUAUAAAACAUUAUUUUCAUUGGACCUAUACUCUCCUUUAUGGUCAGAUUAACUAAAAUAUUAUUUUUGUUGGACCUAUACUCUCUUUUGACAAAUCUUCUUAUUUUAAUGUUUUGCUUCAUGAUUGUAAGACUCUAAUCAAUGGGUUCUCUUCAUCUUCCUUAGUUUUUAUGAAGAAAUUACCGAAUCAGUGUGCCCAUACCAUAGCAUGGGAUGCUGUCUCUAUGCCUGAUUUUUCGGAGUGGAGUACUACCCUCCAAGUUUUUCAGGAUGUUUUAUUCUUUGACAUUAAUAAUAUUUAAGUAUCAUUUUUAUUCAAAAAAAAAAUUAAAAAUUCACUGUUUAACACCCUAACUAAUAUAUUUUAGGAAUUUAAAUUUAUAAAUUGCCAAGUAAAAUAAUUAAUUUUAUUUAGUUAUAAACAUAAAAUAUUAGGUUAAUUUUUAUUUUGAAAUUAAUAUUAGUUUAGAUUUUUAUUUUGAAAUUUUUAAACAUAUAAUUCUGUUUAUACUCAUGUUAAAUCUCUUAUAAAAAUAAAUUUUAUUCACCAUGACGUCAUUGUACUUUUAGUGAAUUAUUACUUAUUGCAAUAUUAUAUCAAUAAAUACAAGUAUUUUAUUUUUAAGAUGAAUAGAUUAUUUUUAUUUUAAUAUUGAUAUAAAUAAAUAUAAAUAUUUAUUUAUUUAUAAGUAGUAGUGAUGAGAAGUAGUCUAAUUUGGAAAAACGGUUAAAUUGGGUGCCACAAAAAUAAUAUUUUAUUUAUUAAAUUGAGUACAAUUCGAAAUUAAUGUGCUAUUUUAAUUAAAAUUAAAAUUCAAGGUACUCAGAGAAGAAAAUUGAAUUUAAACUACAAUUAAAACUAUCCGUAAAGUUUGAGAAUUUUUUAAUGAUUUAGUCAUUAAAACCAUAUGUCAAAAAACAAUUUCUUAAAACCGGGUUCUACCAGUUUAACCCGAUUUUGUCCUUUUGAUUUUUAGAGUUAAAUCAAACUUAAUUAGUUAUCGCUUCACGAGGUAACUUAUCUGAUUGGCCGGCCAAAUAUGGUUUUCAAAAUAUUGGUUAACUCCAAUUAAAUUUUUAAGCUAAAUUGACAAAAAAAUAUCUUAAGUUUAAAGAUUAAUCUGAAAAAAGAAAAUAGUUUGGUUAGUUAAGUUUUUCUUCUAAGCAGUUAAAUUUUUUAAUCCUUAGUAAAUAGUUACUGCAUAAAUUUAUGAAAAAAAAACAACAGUACAUUAGUGUUUUAAAUAAACGGAAAAUAAUUUUUGCCUCAUAAUGAUUGGGAUCAUUAGUGGUUUUGACCGAAACGUGAAUAGUUUUAAAAUAUCCAAUGUCAAUAUUAUCUUUAUUAAAUAUUAUAUGUUGAAAAUUAAAAAUUAAAUUUAAAAUCUAUAUAUUUACUCAUAUACUAUUGAGAAUCAUAUUAAAGUAUCGGUGUAAAAUGUUUAAGACUAGAUGACAUUAAAUGCAAUAAGAAAAAUGUCAAACAUGCAAAUAUUAUCAUUAAUUGUCUGUGAAAAUCAUAGUUUCAUUCCAUAUAUACUUGGACUAUAUAGUGUCUACGGGAAGAGAGAAAAAUUAGUCCUUGACAAGAGUAAAAAAUAUAGUUAUUGGUAAUUCUAUGCUAAAUAAAAAUAUGUAUUAUCUUCAUAUUUACAAGGACGAUUUAGAACAAUGAAUAUUAGACUUUAAAUCACAUUUGAUGACAUUUGAAAUAAAAAAACGAUUUAAAUUAAGAUACUUUAAUUAAAAUUAAGCUAAAUUUUAAUUGAUUAAGUUAUAGUUAGGUACAUUUAAAACUAAAUUAAAAUAUCAUGAUUGUAAUUGUAGCUUAUCUAAUCACGCUUGAUCGCACUUGAAAUUAAAUUAAUUAAACUAAAAUAAUCUAAUUUAAACUGAAAUAAAUCGCAUCUUAUUAAAUUAUACUUAAAAAUUUUAUUCAAUGAGAUAUUCUAAUUGAAAUUAAAUUAGGUCAUACUUAAAUUUAGAUAAUUGAAAUUAAAACAUUCUAAUUGGAACUAAAUUAAGUCACUUGAUUAAGUUACACUUGGAAUUUUAAUGAAUUGUGACACCCUAAUUGAAAUUAAAGUAAAUCAUACCUAGUCGGAUUUGGGAUUGAAUUAAAUUAAGACACUGCAAUUUAAAUUUAAUUAAGUCAACUUUGAUCAUAUCAUGUUAACUUACAUUUGAAAUGAAAUUAGUUAAGAUACCCAAAGUAGAAUUGAAUUAAGUAAGAAUUCAUUAAGUUAUACUUAGUUUCAAGUUCUGUUUAGAAAAUGAAAUUAAGUUACACUUGAAACACUUAAAAUUAAAUUAAAUUAGGACACCUUAAUUGGAAUUAAAUUAAGAUAUAUUUAGUCACAUUUAAAAUUAAAUUAAUUAAACUAAGAUACCUUAUUUAAAAAUUAAAUUAAGACACACUUUAAAAUUUAUUAAAUUGAAAUAUCUUAAAUGAGAUUAAAUUAAUUCAUAUUUGAAAUAAAAUUAAUUUAAGUUGAAUUACCCUAAUUGAAACUAAAUUGAAUCACUUGAUUUAGUCAAGCUUGGAAAUUUAUUCAAUUGGGAUACCUAUCACGACCCGUUUCCAUGGGCCGGAACAGCACUAGGGCCCAGGUAAGUUUAAGGCCCCGAGGCCCGUAGUAAGUCUGAAUCACUAAAAUUUCACUUUUUCAAUAUAAAUUUCAAACAUUCAGUCCAUAUCACCAUGCAAAAUAAAUCUCAUAAUUAUUUUAUACCUCGGCCCAAAUUUAACAUCUUAAACAUUUCACAGAUCGAAUCCAAUUUACAAUACAUCACAUUUAUAAUAUGGGCCCUCAGAAUUAUUUCAUCUAUAUUAAUACACGACUAAAAGUAUAUAAAUUCUACAAUUGCGGAGUUCACAAACAGAUAGAUUCUUGUACAUAUAGCUACAUAAUUUAAAUAAUUGCUAACUCUAAAAAUUUAUUUUCUAGCUCUACGAGGAAAGAGACAGAGCUUUAACUGGGUUUAGAAGAAUCUACUUCCUGAAAGAUUAAACAGAAGACAUGUGAGUUUAUUAAUGAAUAAUAGUUAUUGCACAACACAUGCAUUCACACAAACGUGUCAUUGGUAGUUUCUACAUUAUGCUUACUCGUCUAAGCCUUAGAUUUUAAUUUCCCCUAACAAUAUUUUAAAAAAUUCCUAGGUUAACCAACAUAAACAUUAGCUAAGAAUUCUCAUUUCAACAUAAAAUCUUCUAAUUAUAACUAAUAUUCAUGAAAUGUAUUUAGCAAUAUUCAAUUUAAUUUAAUUAAAUACUCAAUUAAAUUCAUUAAUUAGUUAAUUCGGAAUUUAUAUGAAAAAUUGCGAAUUGAGUCUUAGAGUAUACCGAUUGAAAAUCGAACGACAAAUCCCCAGUCCACGAGAGGAGAGGAAGAUUUUGCCUUUUUGUGCCUCGCUAGAGUGUCGCUGACCAGUCUCCCGACCGCCGCCACCGCCGCACACGGUGGCCGAAAAAGUUAAAAUCGCCCAGAAUUGACCAUUUUUCACACCAUCCCACUCAAUUUUCAUCAAGGAAUCCGUUUUUGGUGUCAGUUGUGCAAGGUCGGUCCUCCAUCUAGUUGGAAUGGCCCCGACAGUAGCUUGGUGCUGCCAUUAAUGGUGGUUUCACCAUUUUUCAUCAGAUGUUCGAUUUAUCGGAGGGGAAAUGUUCGUGUGGAUAAGAGGAGUCGAUUAAGACUAUCUCCAGCACGUGAAGUCGACGGAAACAACGAGAUUUUGCCGAAAAAUCGAAGGGCAGGGGCUGUCGGUGAAAACAAGCCUGAUUCACGCCAUUGGGGCUCCGCUUACGUGAGAGAAGGCUGGAAACUCAGCCAGUGACACAAGGUGAGUCGCCCACCACCUCGUGCUCAUCGUGUGGUGGCUGGAAACGCAGUGCAUUGGGGGAGAGGAGGCUGUCGCUCCCCCAGAAGAAGAAGGAGAAGAAAAGAAAAAGGAAAGGAAGAAAAAAAUCUGGGGCUUCUAGACCAUUCCGAUUCGAUUCGAACCGGUUUGGUCUAAUUCAAUGUUUUGGCUCGAUUUGUUUGGUUCUCAGGUUUUUUCGUGUGGUUUUCAAAAAAUUCAAGUGGUUUAUGAGUCCGAUUUAGUAAUAAUAAUUUUUUUUUCCGUUGAUUUCAUUGGUUAGAUUUUAUGAUUAUAUUUUUAAAUGAAAAAUUUUCAAAAAGGAUUUUUCUGGUCAUUUCAAUACCCUAAUUAAAUUAAAUUACAACUAGUCAUACUUGAGAAUAAAUUAAAUCAAGACAUCUAAUUGAAUCCCUAGAUCAAGUCACAUUUAGUGGCAUUAUGAAUUAAAUUAAUUUAUGAUACUCAAAUCGAAAUUAAAUUAAGUCACACUUGAUUCAUCCGCAUUUGGUCACAUUUGAAAUUAAAUUAAAUUAACACACUCAAAUUAAAAUUAAAUUAAGUAAUAAUUGAUUAAGUUACAUUUGGUCACAUUUGAAACAAAAUUAAAAUUCGACUAAGACACCUCAAUUAGAAUUAAAUUAAGUUACAUAUGAAAAUUUAUUAAAAUGAGAUAUAUUUAUUGAAAUUAAAGUAAAUGACACUUGAAAUAAAAUCAACUCGAAUAUGGACUAAAUUAAAUUACUUGAUUGAGUCAUACUUAGAAUUUUAUCAACUGGGACACCCCAAUUGAAAUUAAAUUAAUUCACACCUGGUCAGACUUGAAAUUAAACUAAAUGAAGACACGCUAAUUGAAUUGAAUUAAGUUGCCAUUUGUUUCAAAUUAUAUUUAGACAAUUGAAUGUGACUAAAUUAAGUCACACUUGUUCACACUUAAAGUUAAACUAAAUUAAUGCACCCGUUUGAAAUUAAAAAAAGUUAUAUUUGAUCACAUUUGAAAUUAAAUUAAUUUAAUUUAAAAUACUAUAAUUUCAAUUAAAUUAAAUCAUAUUUGAAAUUUUAUUAAAUUUAAUAGAAUUUAAAAUUAAAUUAAAUUAAGAUUUCCAAAUUUAAAAUUAAAUUAAGUAAUAAUUAAUUAAGUUACACUUGAAACUAAACUUGAUUAAGUUACAUUUGAUAUUUUAUUAAAUUAAGAUAUCCUAACUGAAUAUAAAUUAAAUCCAAUUUCACUAAGUGACAUUUGAUAUUUUAUUAAAUUGUAACACCCUAAUUGAAAUUAAUUAAGUAUAUAUAUGCACACGCUAAAUUAUAUUAAAAUUAGAACUAAAUUACAUCAUAUUUGAUUAAAUUACACUUGAAAUUUCAUUAAAUUAAAAUAAUAUUAAUUGAAAUUAAUUUAAAUCAAAUUUGAUUAAAAUAAUUAAGUGUAAACUAAGUCUUCAUUCACAUCUAAAGCCCAUGUUAAUAAAUUAAUCAUUUAAUUUAAUUUGCAGCUCAUGACUAUGUCUAAAGCUUAUGACUACAUCUAAAGCCCAUGGUUAAUCUUUUGCUAAUAAAUUAAUAAUUAAAUUUUUGUUUCAUCAAUUUUGACCCCAAACAUUUCUUAGAGAGAGAGAAAAAGAGUUUUAAUAUGCAUGAAUGAGUGUGACUAUUUGUAGUGUGAAAUUGGCAUGUGUGUGCUUUUCUCUGCUGUGAAAAUGUUCUUUUUUGGUAACAUUAAAUGCGAAACAACUUAAAGGAUAAAAUUGUAUUUUAACUAAACUCUAAAGUGAUUUUUUUUCAAAAAAGUGGUUAUGAUCCGGAUCAUAACGAGGCGUUUAGCACUGCCCUUAAAUAAAACCUCAGUGCAAAUAAUAAUUAACCCAAACUCUAAUUUAAUUGCUCAAUUUCAAACCCACCUACCAAAUAAUUUACUGAAAAUUUUCCUUCUAUUGUCAGUGACUUUUUUUUUCCUAAAAAAAUUCAAACUAGAGUUUCAUUAAUUAGAAACUAUAUAUAAAUAUGAGAUAUAGAUCAAUAUAUUUUUAUAUUUUUAUAUAAAAAACUUAAUAAUAAACCAUUUAUAAAAAAUAAAAAAAUACAAUUUUAAUUUGAAAUAUUUAAGACAUCUUAUUUAAUUUAGAUGCUGUAAGGAGUUUAAAAAAGUAUAAAUCAAUUCUAUUUUUUCAAAGUCCAAACUUCAGAGUCUCCCAGAUUGGCUAUGGGAUCCACACUGAUUCCUUUCUAAUUGAUUGAUGUGGUCAUAAGCUUAUCCUUUCACUAUUCUAAGAAGAUUCCUCUCGCUGUGGAAUAUAUAUAUAUAUUAAUAUAUAAGAGGAAAAACCCAUCCAAGACGAGCUUUUUGCCUUAGAAAAAUCCUAAAAAUGGUUCAAAAAGUUAAUAAUCUUUAGCAUGCGCAGGUUGGUAUCAUGUCUACUUCACUAAUUACUUACCCUUCAAUUGAUUUAUUUGAUGAUUUGACUCUUGUUACCAUAAAACACCACUUGGUAAGAAUCUAUUUUUUCCCACUGAGUGCGUGUUUUAAAGUUUAUAAUAAUCCUUUUUUUUCCAAGUUAGUGUGUGAUUUGAUAUUAUUAUUAAAGAUUAUAAAAUAAUUUUAAUGUCUAGAUUUAAUAUUGCUAUCAGGUAUUGCUAUCAGGUCGGAGACAGGCGAUUCGCUGAUACAUUAGAGUUAAAAUUUCUUAUAACCAUGUUCGUUUUUAAAAUUUCUUAUUACCCUUUUAUAAUUUAUAAUGCAUUUUUUGGUUUGCGUAUAAAAAAAGUCUAUAAGAAUCUGAUUUGGUAAGAAUUUUAAAUCAUUACUUGUCUAUUUUCAUUAUCAAUUCAGCGAGCUAUUAAACAAACGUAGAAAAUAUUAUAUUAAUAAUUAUUUUUGGAGACAGUAAAAGGGAAAGUAAAAUUGAAAGCAGAACUUAAGCUUGAAGGCAAGGUUCAAAAGAUUGACCAUUUUUGUAUUAUUAAAUAAUUCAUGUCCAAGAAUAAAAAUUGGAGAUGGUUUGUAGUGGAGGGACCUUCCAACAUCAUGAUACUUUAGCUGGCAUCUAAGUACUUGGUCUAGUCAAAAAAUUGAAAUUGCAAUUGAUUCCCUUUUGUCAUUAACAAACCCAUUUGAAUGUCAAUCCAUGUUUUUAAAAUGGUUACUAAUAUUAAUAACAUAAUAAUAAAUUUGAUAUUAAAAUCGAUUUUUGAAAGAAUGAAAAAGACAUAUAUAUUAGAAUCAUAAUUAUAGAAUAUGACCGUAUUCAUUAAUUAAAAUUUAUUUAGUUAGUUCAAUUGUAGUCAUUUUUUAGAUUAUAAAUUUAAAUUUGCCUUAAUUUGUAAGAUGACUCAUUUGAUAAAUAGACUUUUAUGUUAUUCAAAUAGUAAUUCAGGUAUUUUUAAGUAAUAAAUUGAAAUAUAUCGAGAAUUAAGAAAUAUGUGAUAUAAUUCAGGGCUACAAGUGAAAAUAAGCAUGAUUUCUCCCCAUAUUCACAAGGGUAAACCAUAUACAAAAAUUUUUUCGUUAAUUUCGUUAAUAGUCUAAUUUUCAUCGAUUAAUAGAAGUAAACUUAAUACAAUAUAUAAAAGUUAUUCUAAAGUAUUGUCUUACUCUUAAAUUAAACAAAAUCCAAAUCUAGUUUAAAAUAUUGUAUUCCACUAAAUAAAUCUUGAAAUAGUAAAGAGUUUACGCAUAUAUUUGAAGAUUCGCAAAGCAUUAUCUGCAAGUAAAAUAAAAGAAAAAAAAAUUAUAAAAAUAAAAAAGAGAUUGUAAGGACAUUUUUUUAGUAGGAUUAAUAUUGCGGUUAGGUGGGUAAAGAGGCAAGCGAAUUUAGACAUUUAUACUCUUACAAGAGCUACCUAUAAUUAUGCUCGUUUCUAAGUGUGGAAGUCGAUCCCACAAUGUCUUUUUAUUUUCUUUAUAAUUCAAGUUAAUGAAAAAUGCAUUUUUCCUUAAAAAAAAAAAAAAAAGGAAAAAGAAAGAGUUGUGGUAAUGAGAGCACAUGCAAGUAUCUCAAAUUCACCAUCUAAAAAUCCCUAGUCAAAAUGGUGUGACAAGAAAGUGACUUAUCCAAAAAAAAAAAAAGGGAAAUGAGUUUUUAUUUUUUAUUUUUUGAAAAUGAAAUAAGUUUUUAUUUAAUAUCUAGCAGGCCUAAUAAAAGAUUAGAUGAUAAAUUAGUAAUUAUAUUAUUUAAUUCCAAGACUAUAUUCUAAUUUUUCCUUGGCAAACAAAAAAAAAAAAAAUGUAAGGCUCACUAUAUUCCAUGCAGAUGCAGUUGAAGCAGAUGUCAGAUGACAUAAGCCAAAUGAUGUAAGAUUCUGAAGUCUAUAAAGAUUUUGAUAGGCUGUCUUUAAAGUGACCAGAAUCAAAUGUUUGAAAAUUUGCCAUGAAAUUCCAUUCACAUAAAUAUUAAUUUUCACAAGGGAAAAUAGCUCACCAAAUGGAUGCCAAUGGACCCACAAACCCAUUUGAAUAUAGUUAUUUUGAAGUCAAGCUUUUCAAUAAUUCAUAAUCCAAAAUAUAUGGACAUUAAACCAAAUUCUACUUGAAACUACACAUCAUAGUGGGAACCCACCAUAGAAUGAUGUAUGGACUUUAUGUUAUGAGGACACAUUAUCUCUAGCCACUAAGCAAAUAUAAUAAAAGGAGAUUAGGUAAAGCAUAGGUUCACUUCCUUCUUUGAAUUUGAUUCUUUCUUGAUUGGAUCACUAAUAUCUUUCCAAAAGAGCAACUAGAUUUGUUCAAUAUGGUAUUGGUUUCAGGUAACUUAAGCCAAAGAGAAAUUAUUUGGUACCUUGAGUUUUUUCUUUUUCCCUUUUGUUUUAAUCAGAAUUUUUUUUUUUAAAAAAAUUGAAAAUUAUAAUUCUUAUAUACUCUAUUUAAAACAGCUAGUAACUUUUCAUGAAACGUUAAAAAUUUUAUAAGGAUUAACUUUUUAUAAAACGCUAGCAUAACUUUUAAAAGUAAUUUCAAAUGUUAUGUUACAAACACUAUAAAAAAUAGUAUUUAACGUUUUAACUAAUCAAAACGCUAAAAACUACUAAAAAAAACUGUCGCGGAAUAUAAUUGAGUAUUAACCAGUCGGACUAGUGCCCAUCCCUCGCUCUAUAAGCUCCAUAAACUUUAAAAGUAUAUAAUAAUUCUCUUAUUAAUUUCAAUAAUAUUAUUCUCAAUUACAAUUUCUUAAAUCAUUAUUAUCGUCUUUUUCUUUCACCAACUUGGAGCCCUGCAAGACUUGAAAAGCAGUUGCCAGUUGUUGCUAUAGACUAGUCUAACAAUAUAUAGAUAAAGUCCUAAUAGUUCCUUCCUCCUUUUGAUGAGUCAUCUCGAGAGUUGAAAAGGAAAUAGAAAAAGACAAGAUGGGAGUCUUGUGUGUAUCCUUGUAGAAGAUUUAACAAAUUAAAACCAAAUCUAAAAUCUUCUUUCUUAGCUACACAUUUAAAUAUGUGUCCAAAAGGAAAUAGGACUGGAUAGAGAUUAUGAAAGUGAGAUAGGCUACUUGAUGAUGACUCGAUGUAUAAUUUGCCCGUGACAUAAAUCAUUUACCGUAAAUUGAUUCAGAUUCAUUGUAUUGGUCCAACAUUAUGCAGUAAAUUGAUUCAGAUUCAUUGCAUUGGUCCAACAUUAUGCAACGACAUUGUCCUGAAGAAAAAUUGCAGUUUGUACUUCAAUAUAAAUAUUUUAAGCAUGUUAAGAAAAUAAAUUUUGAGCAUGUUAAAGGCAUUUUAAAAUUGCGUUUGAAAAUAACUUUUUAAAUAGUUUUAGUGUUUUGAUUUAAAUAUUAUUUUUUAUAGUGUUUGAUAACAUUAUCUUUGAACUGGCUUUUAGAGGUUAAGUGUAAUGUUUAGCUUUUUAGCGUUUUACGGAAAACCACUAAAACAGCUAAAAGCUAAACGCUACUAAGACGGCUAACAAUUAUCAAAAUAAUUAAUUUUACCGAACAUAUUCUAAGCUGCAUGUUGAGGACCACUAAAUAAAUUUGGCAUAAAAUUAAACAUUAAUUUAAGGCUGAGUUUGUUUUCUUAAAAAAUAAUGCAUUUUUUAAAAAUAAUUUAUUUAUUUGGUUAAUAUAUAUAUGUAUGUCUAUGAUUAAAUCAUAGUGAUAAAAAAUAACCAAUAGUGGUUGAUCCCCGAUGGGUGAGAUGGAAUAACAAAAAUCUCUUCUCCAUUAAUCAGAGGUCUCGAGUUUGGUCUCGAGUUUGAACCCUGAAUAUAAAUCCUCUCUCCAUUAACCAGCAACUAUUGAUCGUGGUAUUGUAAAAAUAACUUUUUAUUUUGAAAAGAAGAAAUUAUUUUCCUUAAAAUCAACCAUAACUUUUUCUUUUGAUCAAUCACCGUUCAAUUUUAUUGAACUCUUCUAAUACUAGAAAAUACAAAAAAUAUUUUCACAAAAUUACCUUCCAAGUAAUCUUUGAAUGUGCUCCUUAAUGAAUAUGCAAAACUAUUAUUUUUUUUAACUAAAAAAACAAAUUUGAGCCUGUGAAGAACUAAUUAUGAACCAAACCAGACAUAGAAAACAUUAACCACUUGUACAAUCUAUAUAUAUACAUAUAUAUAUAUAUGUGUGUGUGUGUGUGUGUGUGUGUAUAGAGAGAGAGAGAGAGAGAGAGAGAGCAUUAAAGAGACAAGUUUAGAAAAGAAGGGGAGGUGCCAAGCCUUGGUGGCAGGUAUUAAUCGAUUGUUUGAAGGAGAGUGGGUUUGCCAAAUUUCCCGUGUCUUUCGAGAAGUAAACUGUGACUGGUUGGCUACUAAUGCCUCUCUUACACAAGCUAGAAUCCAUGUUUUGGAUUUAUGUCCUCCUGCUUUAUGUAAUUAGCUCGACCAUGAUUUAAGAGGUGUUGCCUAUUGCAGGCGCACUAUGUAGUUUUGAUUCCUCAUUUUAGUACCAAAAAAAAAAAAAAAAAAAAAAAAAAGAGAGAGAGAGAGAGAGAGAGAGUGAGAGAGAGAGAGUGAAGUUUAGAUUAAGAGAAAGAAGUAGAGGAUUUUGCUUUUUAAAUAUAAUUGACAUUACAUAGAUUAUAGAACUGAGAAGUAGAUAUAGGUAUAUAUGUAGUAACACAACAUUACAAGUGAGUUCUCACAAGCUACUAAAUAAUGCUCUCCCCUACAGCAAUAAUAUCCACAGCUUUAUUCAAGAUUUUGCUUCUACAGAUCUAGUAACAGAGCUGUGAUCAUUGGCUUGCUUUCCACCAUAGCCUCCAUCUUCCUCGGUUGUUCUUCCUCCAAUUGAUAAACUUUUCACAGCCUCCAACAACUCAUCACGUAUCUUAACUUUGAUUUGCCCCCUCCUUGGUGGAAGGCUAGAUCUUCCUGUCUUCUCUACCUUGGUGGGUUUGCUCUCCAUUCUUGUCAAGAAAAGUUGGAUCCUUCUGUUGUCUGAAAAAAGAAAAGGUGAAAGAAACAUGAGACUUUGAAAGUCACUCAAGAAAAUGAAACGAGAUGAGAUGAGAUGAAAUAUUAAAACUGAGUGGGGCCUUUAUAGUACCGGUGAAUAGACUAAAGAUAGAGUGUUGGGUUAUGUUUUACUAAACAAAAAUAUCAAUUAGGUGUAAGAUUUGGAAUGUUGGAUCAAUUUUCUUUCCCCACUGAGAGUUUUUAUAGAAUUUUCUCAUUAGUCAAGAAAUGGUUAGAAUUACCUAAUUAAACAACAGUCGUGUGUGUAUAUAUAUAUAAAGAAAAAUCAAUUUAGUAUAUUCCAAGCAUACUUAUAUGUAGAUUUGUGUCCGUUAAGUGUGGUAUAGUUGGUCUUCUUAUUUAUACGAGGAGUAUGAGGUUUUGAAUUCGAACCCUUUCGACUAUAAAUGUUUUCAUAAAUUUAGUGAAUUAAGGGAGGACUACUCUUAUUGUAUAGUCCGCAAUGUUAUUUCGAUUCAUUAUACUUCCCAAUAAAUAAAAAAAUAUAUGGAUUUGUUAUAAAGAAAAUGAAAAGGAACAGGUUAGGCAUUUUUAUAAAAUGAUGAUUUAGAUAGUAGGAGGUAACUUAUAUAGAUAAAUAAAAUCCUAAAUGUUAUUUGAAUAUAAA
rnacentral:lncRNA from 1 species